CGAGAUCUACACUCUUUCCCUACACGACGUUCCUCUACCUCCUGGUAAAAGUGUUGUUGGUUGUCGUUGGGUGUUUAAGAUCAAGACUAAUUUUGAUGGGUCUAUUGAGCGAUAAAAAGCUAGGUUGAUUGCAAAAUGAUACUCUCAACAGUAUGGUAUGGAUUUUGAGGAGACAUUUGCCCCUGUUGCAAAAAUGACUAUUAUUUGUACUCUUAUUGUUGUAGCUUAGGUUCAUCAAUGGCAUAUCGCACAACUUGAUGUUAAAAAUGCCUUCUUAAAUUGAGAUCUUCAAGAAGAAAUUUAUAUGGCACCUCCUCUUAGUGUUUCACAUGACUCUGAGUAUGUUUGUAAGCUCAAGAAAGCGUUAUAUGGUCUCAAACAAGCACCUUGGCUUGAGAAAUUUUCUGUUGUGAUCUCAUCUCUUGGAUUUGUUUCUAGUGGUCAUGAUUCUGCCCUUUUUAUUAAGUGCACUGAUUUCGAUCAUAUCAUUCUAUCUUUAUAUGUUGAUGACAUGAUUAUUACUGGUGAUGGUAUUGAUGGUAUCUCAGUUUUGAAGACAGAGCUAGCUAGACAGUUUGAAAUGAAGGAUUUGGGUUCUCUUCGAUAUUUCCUAGGUAUUGAGGUAGCUUACCCACCUAGGUUACCUUUUUUCUCAAUUGAAACAUGUUGCAGAUAUUCUUAAGCAGGCUAGACUUACUGAUAACAAGACUAUAGACAAUCACAUUAAAGUUAAUGCAAGGUACUCUUCUUCUGAUGGUUUACCUUUGGUGGAUCCUACUUUAUACCAUAUUAUUGUUGGGAGCUUGGUAUAUCUCACCAUUACUUGUCUAGAUAUUGUAUAUGUUGUUCAUGUUGUUAGUUAGUUUGUUUUCUCUCCUACUACUGUUCACUGGGCAACUAUUCCUCGUAUUUUGUAAUAUCUUCAGUGUACAGUUUUUCAGAGUCUUUUCCUUUCAUCCACCUCUUCCUUAGAGUUGCAUGCAUACUCUGAUGCUGAUCAUGGUAGUGAUCCCACAUAUCGCAAAUUUAUUACCGAGUUUUGUAUCUUUUUAAGUGAUUUUUUUAUUUCUUGUUUCUUGGAAGAGCAAGAAAUAAUCUAUUGUUUCUCAAUCAUCCACCGAAGCAGGAUAUCGUGCCAUGACAUCUACUACGAAAGAGAUUGUUUAGUUAUAUUGGUUACUUGUUGAUAUAUAAGUUUUAUUUUCUCAUCCUACUCCUAUAUAUUAUGACAACUAGAGUUCUAUUUAGAUUGCUCAUAACUCGGUUUUUCAUGAGCGAACUAAGCACAUUGAGAUUGAUUGUCAUCUUACUCGUUAUCAUCUCAAGCAUGACACCAUUACUUUUCCUUUUGUUUAUUCUUCCUUGGACAUUGCAGAUUUCUUUACCAGGACGCAUUCCAUUUCUCAUUUUCAUUUUUUAGUUGGCAAGCUCUUAAUGUUUGUAGUUGUCGCAUCGUGAGUUUGAAAGGAGAUGUUAAAUAACAUUUAUUUAGCCUUAUUUAUUAAGGGUAGAAUAGUAUUUUCAGUUUAACCUAUAUAUAAUUUUUUUAUAUUUAGGUUAACUCUAAGCACUCAUAAUAAACUGAUUAUUAAGAAUUAUAGUUUUCUUUUUUUGUUUGAUCUGAAUUAUUUUAACAAUAAUAUGUAAUUAACAUAUACAUGGUGCAUGGAUACUUACUGUUACGCUGAAUUAAAAAAUCAGAUCUAUAAGGUAUUGUAAACAAAUUAGAUUGAAAAAAACAGGUGGCUUACAACAGAACACGCUUACACUAUGCACUAGAUAGCUAGAUCUCCACUCUAUAAAUAGGCCUGGUUCGUUCUUCUUCAAACCACUCUUCCCUAGCUACACACUUCUUCGUUCUAUAUUUAUUGUUUCUGUUUCCUUCUUUCAUUUUACUUGUCAAUGGAAAGUGGGCUUAAGGCAUUGUGGGUGCUGUCCGCGGUGUUGCUGGUGUCAAACUGGCAACACUGGACUUAUGGAAAGGCCGUACCUCAAGUUCCUUGCUACUUCGUCUUUGGAGAUUCUCUCUUUGAUAACGGAAACAAUAACUACCUUGACAAAUCAGCUAAAGUUAAUUACCUUCCUUAUGGGAUAGACUUUGAUACUGGGGCUACAGGAAGGUGCAGCAAUGGUCUCAACAUAGCUGACACCAUUGGUCUGCAGUUUUCUCUCCUCUCUUAUAAUACAAAAUAUAGUGUUUUAGUUUUCUUUAACAUAUAAAAUAAAUAUGUUCUCACUAGAUAGUUGUGAUCGUUUUAUUAAAUUACAAUUAGAUAUCCUGCUAAGUCUGGUACUAAUGUUUUUGUUGCUGAAAUUUACAUAAUUUAUUAGAAGGAUGAUUAGGUUUGUUCUUUUGUUUCUUGUAUACCUUGAAACAUAAAUUUACAACGGUCUGAACAUAACCGAGUUUAGUAAUGUGGGCAGUUAUGAUCUUAAUUAUUAUUCUUUUGUUUCAGCUGAGCAAUUAGGUUUCGACAGUUACAUUACGGAUUUUGGUGUCGGAGGUUGCACUAAUUUUCUAGAUGGUGUAAAUUAUGGAUCAAAUGGAGCUGGCAUCCUUAAUUCUACUGGCUCUCUUGCGGUGAUUACUGAUCAUAUGCCUCUCAUAACUAAAACCUUGUAUUAUUCCGUAUGAAUUUUGCGUAAUCUUGUAUGCUUUGGCAACGCUACUAUUCAUAUGUUUCUUUUGUGUAUGUGAAGGGAGAACUAUUUACAAUGGAUGCUCAGUUAUUUAAUCACAAUAUCACGGUUUCACGAAUUUCCAAGAUCUUGGGAAGCGAGGAAGUUGCUAGGAAGUACUUGAGCCAAUGCAUCUAUGUGUCUGAUAUGGGUCAUAACGACUACCUCAACAAUUAUUUCAAGGAAGAGUACAACAGCAGCAAGCAAUAUACUCCUCAAAAAUUUGCUGAACUUCUUAUUAAAACUUAUGAAACUCAGCUGGAGGUUAGCCCUACUAAUGUCUCUUGUAAAACAACAAUUAAUGUUUGACACGAUUGGAAACUAACAAAGACCCCACUUCAUUCCGUUUUUUUUCCCUUGCUGCCAGAAACUGUAUUGCUCAGGAGCAAGAAAGAUAGCUGUGUUCGGACUUAUUCGGGUAGGAUGUAUGCCGCACAACAGACAAAACCAUCCCAAUGACGUAGAUGCAUCUUCUUUAUGUGUAGAAAAGUUCAACAGUGAUGUUCAAAUUUUCAACGGCAUGCUUCAAGAACUGCUAAAUAAUCUUAAUGAAAAGCAUGCUGAUGCUGUGUUUACCUACAUAAACUCUUAUGAAAUUGAUUCUGAUGAUCAGACAAAUACAGGUACGAAUCCCCUCCCUCCCUUGCUCUCUCUCUCUCACGGCUGAAGACGACUUUUUUGUGAGACCAAAAUUAUUUUUUCUUGCUUGCAGGUUUUACACAUACCCGUAAGAGCUGUUGCGAGGUAGCAUAUGGUUCAGUCCCAUGUACAUCUCUCUCCGUGCCAUGUAGCAACAGGAGUGACUAUGUGUACUGGGACGGAGCCCAUUUUACUGAAGCUAAAGCUAGGGCCUUUGGAGAAAGAGCAUAUAAAAGUCUGUCACAAAAGCAUGCUCAUCCAUAUGAUAUUAGCGAACUAGCUAAGCUGAAGCUUGAUGAUUCUGAUGCUUACAAUAUCAACCAUGCCCAGCUCUGAUGGAGAAGAUGAUUGUCCAAUAAGUUCUUAGAGAAUAAAAUAUUGUGACUGUAAGAACAAUGGAAAGACAUAUCUACUGUCUUUUCAUAGCCUUUCACAAUAUAAUUCCAAUAAAAUUUGCCUUUAGGCAUUAGCCUCAAGGAGCAAUAAUAAUUACUUAAUUCCUUAAUCAUUUGGAUAUCAUUACUUAAACUCUAUUCAUAGAAGGAUUUAUUCUUAAAGUAUGGAAGUCGAUUCGGAGAUACUCUUGCCAUUAAAAUCGAAAAAAGGAUACAUCCGUACGUUCAUAAACCAAAACAACUUUACUUCUAUAUUUAUAUCUGCGAAAUCUCAUAUGUGGACAUGAUAGGCUAAAAGAUCAUGGCCUCUGCUGCUAGUUUAUCUUUCUGUGACUCACUUCGGCCUUAUUUUAACUAAAGUCUCAACAAAUUGCUAUACUGAUAACACAAAAUCAAGGUUUCCAACUUGAUGUGAAUUCGAUCACAACAAAUUUCUAAACUGAUUGUGUGCUGCAUGACUUUGAUAUAUUUUAUGCUCUUCUUAACUCCUUUUCCUCAUGAUUUUUUUAAAAAACUAUGCUUGAUUAUACUGGUAGUGAGACGAGAGGAAUUCAAUCCUAACACAAAGAUCCGAGUGUAUAAAUUAAAACCUUUUUUUUUUAAUUUAGAACUCUUUUAGCUUUAUAUAUGAUGUUUUUACUAUUAUAUAAACAACCAAACCAAAGAGAGUUGCGAUAUUCAGUAUUGAUCAUCAAAAUAUUGAGUAAUAAAAAAUAAAAUUUGUUUUCUUAUAGUAAAGAUUAAUUUUUUUAUAUAUAAAAUUCUAUAUAGAUAUAUAUAUAUAUAUAUAUGAUUGCUAUAUUUUUUGUGUUUUUUUUAUUUGCGUCAAACUGUUACCAUUAUGGGAUAUAAUAUAUUUUGGAGGCGCAAAAUAAAACUAUAACAUGAUAAACAUGAAUGUUUAAAUAGUAAUUUACCACAAAAAAUUACUCCACUAUGAUACUAUAUAUAACGUAUCAAAAAAACAAUUAAUGAUAAUCUAAUUAAUUAAUAAAAUGGGGAAAAUAGCCAGCAAGGAAGUGGCUUCAGAUUACACAGUCUGCUAAAUCAGGAUGACAGCCGAACUUCCAUGAGACUGGGAUUAUGAUAAUUGUCACCAAGGCCAUCUUCCAUUACUUCCCAGAUUACUUCCCAGUUGGCUUUUCAUUUCCAGUUCUAACCCUAGAAUCAGGGCUCAGAUGGUUUUUGCCUAGAACGCAAAAAGCAAUCAGACUGACAGACCCCAUCUUGCUACUCUAAUUUUCAUUUGUUUGCCUUUAAUGAUGUAAAUACUUGCUAGUAUCUCAGAAGUCCAUUGUUAUAAUAUACUUACUGAAAGUUUGCGCUACGGAUGCUUAUCUCCAAAUUAAGUUCUCUCGAUUGCAAGAACUUUCACCUCAUUUGAAUCUAUAGUACUAGAUAAGGAUGAAAAAAUGUAUGAGAAGUGAGUAAAGAUGAGCAGCAGCCAGUAAGAUGGUGGCCAAGACUGCAAAUGGAAAAGCAAUCUAUGGUCAAUUUAUAUAAUCAGAAUCUCUACCUGUUAGAACAUACACCUGCAAAAAUCUUGUGACAGCAAGAGAGACACAACAGAAACAAUACUCUAGACCUAGAAAUUAAACAGGGAAUAAAAAUCAAGUAUGCCAUUCUUUAAGCUCCUCUCUCCUGUUCUCAAUUUCCUGGAGUAGCUUUGCUAGGCCAUCUGCCAGUACAUUUCUAAUAACCAUAAAAUAUAUAUGUUUUUUACACUAUAUUUUUUUAAUGUAUUUUAAAUUUAUUUAAGCUUAUUAAAAAUUAUUUUUAUAAUAUUAAUACAUAUAAGAAACUUUAUAAAUUAAAUACUAAAAAAUAAAAAUUUCAACAUUUUAUAUCUUAAUCCUUACUUCUUGUCAAGGAUAAUAUAUAAUAUAAACUCAAAUCAUAAAAUAUAAUCAUUAAGUAAAAUAUCAUCGGCAGCUGGUCCAACCUCAACACCAUUGUUCCCAGACUCUUCAAACCAAAUCACCCAAACCCGAAACCAACAAGCCAUAAACCCGACUUUAUUGGUAACCCAAUUAGCCUCCUCCACUGUUACCGAGCAAGACCCAUCUCUUUCCUAGUGUUGACUGUUGAAACGGCUAGAAAAGAAAAAAAAAACCACAAUCAAGAAAUAGAUCGGUGGAUAAAACAAAAGAAAUAAAUAAAACGAAUUGCGUUUGUUGAUUUCAUUUUCUUGCAAUUCACGAUGAGAGCCACUACUAGCAUGAGAAGAAGGAGAUGAAAGAGAAGAUCCUGAUCCACCUAAUUUUUCAAUCAGACGAUCAAACGGCACGUGAAACCACGCGUCUCCUCUGUGUCUCUAUUUCUAUCACCUUGUAGCAAUCUCCCCAAGCUAUCAUCAGCCUCAGGAAGGUUUAUUUUGGAAUCCAGAAUAUUUAUUUAUUUAUUUAUGAUUUAUGUUUAAUUACAAUGAUAUGUAAAUAUUUGUAAAUAUAUUGGUGUGAGUUAAUUACUAAAAAGAUUGGGUGUGUGUUUGUAUUUUUCUUAUAUGUUCUUGAAUCUAUUAAGUUGCCUACAUGAAUCUUUUUUAUAAAAUUUAUUUGGAUACACAAGAUCAAUAGUAAAUUCUUUGACAUAAAUAAAUUUUAAUGCUAAAUAAUAGAUAUACUAUUAGUUAAAAACUUAUCAAAAUUUUUAAAUCACAUAAUAUAGCUUAUUUUAAAUAGAAUGCAUUAGAAAUACUAAUACAUUCUCACAACCAGUUUCUUGUACUUUAAAUUUUUUAUUAUGGAUUUUCUAACAACCUCAACCAAAUAAUUAGAUGGCGAGUCCGAUGAACUCUCAACACGUAGGGCUAGGAAAUCCCUUCUCUCUCUUUUUCCAAACUGUUAAUUAGAUUAUAUUUAACAAAAGCUAUUGCCAGCACUUUUAUGAAUGAUUAUUAGAAGGGGCCGAUGCUGUCGCUUUUCUUUGGGCACCCAUUUUUUGCUAAUUCAUAAUUGGACACUAUGUUUCUUCCCUUUUUCACAGAAAAUAGACAGCAAAGUUGAUUAAUAAAUAGAUCAAUGGAACACAUAGCAAGCUAUAACACCAUGCAAAUGUAACAACAGUGAAGGCAGAAUGCAGAGCUCAAAGCCAUCUGUAGCAGGUAAACGUGGUCAGUUUUCCCCUGAUGAGAAAAUCAAAUCCAGUGUUGGCAUGGAAAAUGGCAGCCAGGUAUAUUUCGCAGGUUUAAAGGCGGCAAUUCCACUACUUCACAUGUGAAAGAGCAUCAGUUUGAGUGAGGAAAAGCAAUCUGCAGCUUACUACUCUCAUUUAUGAAGAUGUAUAUUGGAAGACUAAUAACACGUUCCUCAUGACUAAUUUGCUUUCUUCCAUGAAGGUUGAUGGCUGUCAAUUUCAUGGGCGUGUUCCUUUGGCAGGCAGUCACGCUGUGCCUCCGAAAAAGCACACUAUUGACUCGUUGAAAACCAAUCCUGUGAAACUGUUCAUUAUCUUCUUUAAUAUUGGCCCAGUCCCUCCAUUUUGCUUUUCUUACAACAAAAUCUUGAGUUUGUAUAAAGGGAAACAAGAUUAGUAUAUAUCUAUUAGGGGGAAAAAAUAGAGAGGGAGAGGGGAAAAAGGAAAAGCCUAGAGAGCCAAAGAGUAGGCUGAAGAGGAUAAUAGCUGUGCUGACAAAAUUUAUUCAACACCAACACCAUAUAAAAAAUGCAUUAGCCCUCUGAAUUGAACGUCUAUAAAUAGACAAGAAAGAGGAUAAUAGGUGGCUGACAAAAUUUCUGCACCCUCAAAAAACUUGCAGAUGCAUUAUUUAAGAAAAAAUUGAGACAAAGGUUUUUCCUUGAACACCUUCAUAUUUUUAAACCUGAAUGAAUGGCUACAACUCCCCCAACGAGAUUCUCAUACUCAACCUUCUGAAAUCCUGCAUCUGCAAUCAUCGAAGCAAAUUUCUCUUGCAUUCAUCACUUGCAAUAAGUCAUUAAGUAUACCAGACAAAGGUACACACACAAUUAAACCCAGGUUAUCAGCGAGCACAUGCAAUAUAAGCUCCUAGAUAGUCCAUUGUCCUCAUGCCUCCCUCCCCUCUCUCCUCUCUCAGCUAAGGUAAUUUAAUUCCAAUCAGUUAACUCACAGGGAUUCACACAUAGGGUUCAAAUUUAUCAGUUGCAGAUUACUGAGCAGAAAAUAUCUUUCAAAGUGCACAACUAAUGAAUCUAAUAUAAGGCUUACAUUUUCUUCAAAUGAUACUUUAUAUAGUCUAAUUAGAGGGGGGGGGGGAAAAUAUAUAUAUAUAUAGUUAGAUGCACUGUUUCAGAUAAAAAUACAUGCCGAUAACACAUUACUGGCAGUUCAAUGUAAUAAAUAUGAGUUGAUUCUUUUCUUUUUUUUAGCAAAAUGAAUUUUAUAACCUUGAGCCAUGUACAAUGAUCAUUAAAACACUCUUGCAUGCCAUAUUAAAAUCACAUUCUAUCUUGUGCAUAUUCACAUUUGGAAUAUGCAAAAAGCAAUAAUCCAUGUAACCAUGUAAGGUUGCUAUAAAAAUAUCUAGUUUCCACAUUCAAGGAUAAGGCGUUCACUUGCAUACACAAAAUACACCAGUUGUUUUAAUUUUUAUUUUAUGUCUUAUUUUCAGAAAAAGGCUCCGCUGAAGUAUGUAUUGGGAAUAUAGAAAACUUCAAUUCCUUGAUUGAGUUAUAGCAGUAUAUGUAACAUCCAGGGUUCUACAAAGGCAGCACACUAUAGUGUGGACUCAAUUUCUUAGCUUCUAAGAUACUUUGGCAAAAUUGUGGUAAUAUUUGCAAAAGUACAUAGGACAAAAUUAUGACCUGUGGAGGAAAACGACGUAUGCUCUCAACUAAGUACUGAUAAGAAUCCCGAUCACCUGCAACUAGCUCUCCCACAGCUGGAAUGACUGAGAAUGAAUAGUAAUCAUAUCUGCAAGAAAAAGGAACAUUCUUGAAACAGGAUAGAUGAUGCAGUGUUCUGAAAAAUAUGGGGAAAAAAAACAAAUUGAAGUGGAAAGAAAGCUAAGCUUCACUAAGAUUAGCUGGGACAGUAGAAGUCAUCUGCAAUCCAUAGAAUAAAGCUUGAGCAGUGAGCAUAUAUCUUUUUCUUGCUACAAACAAUCAUAAAGUCUUCCAUGUGAGUGCUUUCCACAUGCCAGAGCAUGCAAGGAUUGAAAACUAAUCAACAAAAUUUCAACCACUCAAAUUCAAAUGAAACAGCAAGAUCUUCUUAACAAUUCAAAGUUCAUGUAAUUAGUAAAAGCUAAUUUAUUUCAGGAUCUACAUGCUAUUGUUGUUUUGUUUGUAUUACAACAUCAGCAUAAUGUUAAUCUGGUUCAAUCACAGUAUUUGCCACUUUUUGUACUUCGUCUUGCAACAUCUACAGAACACUAAUCUCCGUAGCCAUGAUGUUUUGACCAUAUUUUAUUAAAGUUCAUCAUCUUCUCAAUCAACAUUAUGCUCCCAGGUAACAAUCUGUUUGCACCCUAGUGGGAUUAAUUGGUUAGGAAACAACAAUUGUAUGUAGACCAACAGCAGGUAUGUAGUGCACAGAAAAAUCAAUUAGAGACAAUAAAAUAAAUCAAUCUACUCUUUAUAAACUUUAGAUUCAUAAUCAAUACAAAUAUAAACUCCUAUAAUAAUAUGAAUAUAGAAAAAUGAAUCCAGAACUCCAACGAGAAAGGUGGGUUAUGGGAGCAUGUGACUUGUAUUAUUGAAUUCGGGUUAGAACUAAGAUGUAAUAUUUCUCUGUCAAUCUCACUUCAUCACACCAAGGCCUUUGUCUCUAUGAUUGACUAUUUUCUAUGGAAAGGAAGAGGCUGGAUAGUUAAUAUUCAAUAAAGAUGAAGAAACCAUGUUAUAGAGCCGGGUAAAUUAGUAAACACCCUAGGUAUGGUGAACUUAUCAUUACAACUCAAAACUUUGAAGAUUUGCAAAAUAUAUAUAUAUUAAGCAUGAUAUUCUAAAUGGAUUUAAAAAUACUACUUUGACAGUAACAAUAUUUUGGGCAUAAAAGAGGGUUUUUAUCUUAUUUACUUGAACAUGGAGGGGGGAUUUUGUCAAAACUUCAAACUUUUGGGUGGUGGCUAUAGUUUCACCACACCUCAUGGGAGUUAUUGUAAUUUAUCCUUUUUGAUUUAAUUUGUAAAAAAACAUUUCACCACCUAUACACUACCAGAAAGGAAAGACUAGCCACUUCUGGCAUAAUUUAUUGACUUGUCAAUUUAUUAAAAUUGAGAAAAAAUUAAACACAGGAAAAAGGAUAUUUUUUGUUGAAAUAAUGCCUAAAACUGAUACUACAAGAAAUGCUAACAUUUAUCCUUUAAUGUAUGUAAGAAGGUGUACUCACAAUUCUUUAAACACAGGAACUUCAACGUGGCUCAGUUCAAGGCAAAGAAAUCUUCCUCCGUGUUUUAAUACCCUAAUAAAAUAACAGAUGAAGAUUGCAUGAAACAUUAAUGUAUAUAACACAAGCUGGAAAAUUUCUGAAGAAAGAAAGGGGACCUUAUAACAGAAGAAUAGCCUGCUGAUCAUACAUAUCGAAAGAGAAGACAUUUACUAAUUGAAUGGAAAACACAUAACAACUAGCACAAAUACACCAUAGUUUAGACUGAAAUAAGACAUUUUGUUUUAAUAAAUUCAUAGUCAUCAUCUAAACGAUUUUCUUGUUAGCUUCAUAUCUUUUAAAAACUCUCCAUGCAGUCGUUGGGUCUCAUAAAAUUUAAACCUAAUAUUUAACUUUCUCACUACCUAAUUCCACUUCUAAUUGUCCUUAUUUCAAAUUCAACAGAAAACAUUUAAUGCAAGUACCUAAUUUGGAGCAAACAAGGUCAACUCUCUAAGUGGAAAACAAAAAUUACCUAGGAACCUCUACCCUCUCAAAAUUUAAGCUGGUAGUGGAUUCAGAUCCCCUUUACUCAGACACUGAUGAAGGUCUUAUCCACAGUAGCACCAUGAUAACUUAAGUAACUUUCUAGACAUAUUGAUCUUGAUAAUAUGCAUGUUCAGUGCUAUUUUUGCAAUUGUAACCAACAAAUGUCAUUGUUAUAUGCAUUUUCUUUGGAGAAAAUAUGUUAUAAACAUUGAUUUUAGAAGAUAAAGGCUACAUUUCCUUUAAUUCAUAACAGUCCAUCGGAUCCUCUAAUUAGAUAAGCCAUCCUUAAAAGCCUGUAACAGAGUAACCUGAUAUCGCAUCAGUAGUGGUGAAAUGAUUAUUUGUCAUGGUUUAGUUUUACAACCUUAAUGAGAGGAUUGUUAGCUUGCUAUUUAUAAUUUAUGUCAAGAGGGUCUAAUAUAAUUUGGGUGAAUAUGUCAACAGCAAGCCACAAAAUUAUGAGUAUAGGUCAUGAGCAUACCUAUACGCUUCAGCAAGAACUUUCUCUAUGUGUGUAACAUUCCUAAUUCCAAAUGCUAUUGUGUAGCCAUCCAUGGUCUUAUCUCCAAAACUCAAGGCUUCAGCAUCUCCUUCCACCCAUAUGAGGGAUUUGUCUUCUCCAAGACCUGCAAGCGUCAAUUAAAAAAAAAGGAAAGAAAACCAUCACUCAUCGAGAAAUCGACAUUAAUAAACUGUAAUUAGACCAUCCAUGAAUUUCACUCAAGUCCUAAUCAUUCCUGAUUCAUACCUCUCUCUAUAGCCCGUUUUCUGCCAACAUUUAACAUGUUUGGGUUUAUGUCACACACAUGUAUCUGUGUUUCUUCCUGUAAAUGAUCAUUAAUGGGAUCUUGAUUUGCUCUACGCUUGAUACUACUUAUACCAUCCAGAAUCCUGAAAGCAACAUCUCCUGCAAUUAAGAAUUCCAAACUCAAGAUCUUAUAACUCAUAAAAACUAUGAGAUAACAAUGAAAAAACAACAAGAAUAAGAAGAUACCAAUCAUCAAUUUUAGCUGAACAAUUUGCUAGAUAGAAGUAGAGCGUGCAUAUUUAAAAGGUGGAUGUAAAGGUUAUAUGAAGAGGGUUUUCCAAGGAUUUAAUACUAGCAAAACUGAGACCAAAGGAAGACUUGGCAUUUUGGUUUCUAGAUUUGUAUGGAUAGAAUCUGAAUCAACUUGAGAUGAAAUGACGAACUUUAAGGGCUCUGGAGACAUUAUGUAAAUUUGCAGCAGAACCAGUUAGCCACUUGCUUUUACACCAUAGUUGAACAAGAGAUUUGCGCAAGCAAGUCUUCUCACUAUUAGUAUUCUUUUGGGUGCUAUGCAAAGGAAAGAGAUGUAUGGGCUCUGGAGACAUUAUCCUUGUAAAUCAGAUGGUUGUUUUUACACAUGGCCACAUGGUGUGGCUUCACCUCCCGAUUUCUAUCCAUUAAAGCUUUUCUAAUCAAAUAAAGUGCUUUUAUUUUCUUUAUAACAUGUCAUAGUUUUAUAUCAGUACUCACCUGUUCCCCCAGCCACAUCAAGAUGCUUCAUUCCAGGAAAUGGAUUCAGCAUAGAAACCAGUCUAGAAAGCAUCAUAGAAAAGUAGCUAAUGUCACCAUGAACCCAAAGUGAAGUAUAAAACAUAACAAGCAAUCAUUAAAAAAUGCAUCCUCAACGUAUUCUGACCUGUCCUUCCAUAACCUAUGUAAUCCACCACUCAUUAAAUCAUUCAUGAGAUCAUAAUUUGAGGCAACACUGCUGAAAACAUUACCAACCAGUUGACUUUUUUCUUCUUCUCGAACAUGUUUGAAUCCUGAAAUGAUUUUUUAAGAAUGUCUAACGUGUGGUUAAGAGGGUUCGUUCAGGAUGUUCAAUUUAACGAGACAAAUCAAAAUGAAAACAAACAAUUAGUAGUUCAAAGAAGGCAGACUAAAAAAGACACACAAGAAGAAGAGGAAUCAUUAAUUACUCAAGAACCUACCAAAGCUAGUGGCAUGUGAAUGCAGUGGAGAAGUGGAAGACAGCAUGGGCAAGAAUUUGCUCCCCAGCUUCCUGCUAACCAAUUUCAGCGCCAUGUCUGCCACCCAGACCGAGCCACACACACAACAUCAAUAAAUAUAUAUAAGAAAAAAAAAAUCAAAUUCGUUCUUAGGAUCAUGGAGCCCAGUUGGAUAAUGUGUCAAAUACGCAAUGGUCAGAAUGCUCUAGCUAUAAAAUUAAAUCGCAUUUGAGAAAAUUAAACUAAGAAAAGAAAGGCAAAAUGAAAGACAGAAAAAAAUAAAAGAAAGCAAAGGGGUAAAACAAAAUCUUUGCCCUCCAGAUUUCAUAAUUAUUUCUCUCAAAUCUCUAUCCAAAUUGGGUUAAAGAAGAAAGAGGAUGAAGAGAAGACAGUAUAAAUUACGUUCAUUCAUCAUACCUUAAUUCAACAGUGAUUUCUGUACCUACUAAUUUACAAACUUCUUCUUCUAUUUCUUUGCUGAUGAUCUCUUUGGUUGUUUUUUGGGCUCAAAGUUAAAACUGUGAAGGCAGUGGUGUUUCGUUUCGUCUCGAAGAAAGUGUUUUCAGAAUUCAAAAUUAAGGUGUUAGGUGAAUUUUUAAAGUAUUGUUUUUUUUUUUUUUGAAAAUAUAUUAAAAUAAAUGUUUUUAUAUUUUUUAAUUUUAAUAUUAAGAUAUUAAAAUUAUUUAAAAAUAUUAAUUUAAUGUUAUUUCAUGCCAAACACAUUUUUGAAAGAUACCUAACCAUAAUUUUCCAUAUACUAAAGUUAUAUGUUGUUAUAAAACUCAAUCUUAUUUAACUUAAUUUAAAGUUUGAUUUAUGAGUUGAGAAGGUUUGUAAUCAAAGAUUUGAAUUAAAAAAUAUAUAUAUUUAUAACAAUUAUAUUAUAAAAUACUAUAAAAGGUAUAGAAAAAGUAUUGUAGCUUUCCCCACGUUUUUUAACUUUAUUCAUUAUUAUAAUUAUAUUAUUAUUAUUAUUAUAUUAUAAAAUAUCUUAAAAAGUACUGUAGCUAUCUUCUUCUUCUUUUUUUAUUUUUUUUUUAAUUUAGUUUGUUAAUGCUAAAUUUGUUUUAUUUAGUUAUCAGACUUUCAUGACACGGAUCUCGGGUUUAAUGAGUUUACCUGGUUUGACGAGUUAACCUGGAAUUGUUUUUCUUUUUAAUUAAUUUUUUUUAUUUAGUUUAGUUUGUUAAUGUUAAAUUUCUUUAUAUUUAAUUAUCAGAUUUUCAUAACACGUAUCCCGAACUUGACGGGUUUACUUGGUUUAACGGGCUAACCCCCAAUUAAUUCUGGGUAAACGUCAAUUUUAUUUUUUCUAUUUAGUUAUCAAACUUUCAUGACGUGGAUCCCAAGUUUGACGGGUUAACUGGUAUGAAGGGUUAAUCCAGUUAAUUUAUAUUUUUUUUCAUUAGUUUUUUUCUUCCUAUUAGUUUUUUUUCUUUGGUUUUUUUUUUUAAUUAAUCUAUUUAAUUAUCAUAUUUUUAUGACACGACCUUAGCAUACCCACAUCUAAUGCUCUUGGGUCCGGUGUUGCAGCUAGACUCACUUAAACUUAAGUCAUGUAAGUUUAAUAUUAUUAUUAAUAUUAUAAAUAUUACUCUUGGGUCAAGCGUUGCAGCUAAACCCAAGACUCUUGGGUAUAACUUUGCAAAAAGACCCAACAAUUUUAAUUUUUAAUUUUUAAUUUUUUUUUAAUAUUUUAUGUUAAAAAAAAUUAACCUACGACAUCGCGCAUGUCAUGUAAUUAGUAAAACACUAAAAGAUGUGAAUUCUUAAUUGUGCAAACAUCAUUAUUCAUCAUCUCAUAUUUUAUUGUUCAAAAUUUUAGGAAUCAAAUUUAAGAGUGAUUAAAUCAAAUGUUUAGCUCUGUUAUCUUUGGUUAUUAAAUUGUUUUUUUUUCUUUUUAAUUUGAUUCUCAUAAGUUAAGUUGUCAUGUUUUGUUUUGGAUUUAUUUUGAUGUACAUGCUCUAUCACCAAUCUUAGUACUCUACUAAGCAAUUUCAUAAUUUUCUCUCCUUAUAGCCACAAGCAAUGUCUGCCUCUUUUUUUAUAGGUCAGUUGCCUCAUAACUCCUCAGGUAUGCCACAUUCUAAAUGGGUCUUGGAUUUUGGUGCUUCCCAUCAUAUGUCUCCAGAUUCUUCAUCUUUUACCCAUGUGUCCCUUUCAUCCUUCAUUCCUGUUAUGACUGCCAAUGGCAUUCUCAUGCCCUUAGUAGGUGUUGGUUUUGUUGUCACACCUUACUUGUCUCUCCCUAAUAUUUAUUUUAUUUCAAAACUCAAAUUAAAUCUUGCUUAUAUUGGUCAAAUAUAUGAUUCUAGUGAUUAUUUAGUCAUAUUUUUUUGGUUCUUUUUAUCGUGUACAGGAUCUGCAGUGUCAAAAUAUGAUUGGAACAAGCCGCAGGGAGAAUGGACUACAUAUUUUGAAUGAGUUAAAAGUGUCAGUUGUCAUUGCUACUACUACUACUAGUAUUGAUUUCUCUUCCUUUCGUUUGAGUCAUUCAUCUUCUAGUUUUUAUUUAUGGCAUUCUUGUCUAGGUCAUGUUUCGUCUUCUCGUUUAAUAUUUUUGGCAUUCACAGGAGCUUUAGGAAAUUUAAAAACUUAUGAUAUUUCUGAUUGUAAUGGAUGUAAACUGGCAAAAUUUUCCGCUUUACCUUUUAAUCGAAGUAUUUCUAUUUCUUCUUCACCAUUUGAUUUGAUUCAUUAUGAUGUAUGGGGACCUUCUCCUAUUUCCACAAAAAGACAGUCUCGAUAUUAUGUUUCAUUUAUUGAUGAUCAUACUCAUUAUUGUUAGGUUUAUCUAAUGAAACAUCGUUUUGAUUUCUAUGAGAUAUAUACAGCCUUUUGAGCGCUUAUUAAAACUCAACAUUCUAUUAUAAUCAAAUGCUUUAGGUGUGAUUUGGGUGGAGAAUAAACUCUUAAUAAAUUUUAUCAAUUGCUUUCCUUAGAUGGAAACCAUUCACAAAACUUCAUGUACAUAUACUCGUAAGCAAAAUGAUGUUGCUGAAAGAAAACAUAGGCAUAUUGUCGAAACUGCUCGUUCUCUCUUGUUGUCUGCUUCUGUUCCUAAUGAGUUUUGGGGAGAAGUUGUCCUUACUUCUGUAAGUUCGAUUAAUACAAUCUCAUCUUCUCAUAGUUCAAGUUUGUCUCCUUUUGAAAAGUUAUAUGGGCAUGUCCCUGAUUAUACCUCCUUUAGAGUUUUUUAUUGUACUUAUUUCGUUCUUUGUCCUCAUGCAGAAUGUAGUAAGUUGUUCUCUUGUUCUGCUAUUUAUGUCUUUUUGGGUUAUGGUGAAGGUAAAAAGAGGUAUCGUUGUUUUGAUCCAAUAACUCAAAAAUUUUAUGUGUCUCGUCAUGUUGUCUUUCUCGAGCAUAUACCUUUAUUUUAUAUUCCAUCCACUACUUAUAACUUGACUAGACUUGAUAUUAUUCAUAUCAAUCCUUUUUUAAAGGAUUUUGAUAAUAUAUCAUCACAGGUUCCUAGUACCUCAAAUACCAUUUCUCAUGUUCGACCAAUUUGUACUCAUCAUCCUACAAGUACUGACACUUUACUCUCUGGCACACCUGAAUCUCCAUUCUCAUCUACAACCCCCCAAGCUUAAUAUGAGAUUGUGGAUCCACCUCUACUACUUCAAUUCAUACGCAUUCGUAUAUAAACCCCAAGUUGAAAUUAAUUAGAAAAAAAAUCAAUAUUUAUGGAGCAAGAUUAAAAUAAGUAAAAAAAAAACUAGGAAGUCAAUCUAACUAUUAAAGUGUGGGAAUGAAAAAAAUUACAAGAUAGAGGAAGUAAAGUGUAUAAAACGAGAGGAAGAAAUUCUAGGAAUUAAUAAGACAAUAGCCAAACAAAGCCAAGUCCUAAUUAGAAAGGGGUAUAAAUACAUGUGAGAGAGUAAGAUGGAGACUUUUCUUCUCCAUAAAAGCUAGCGGAAACCGUAAAGAACAACUCUUCCCCAUUUUAAUUUCAAAACAGAAAUACUUUGUAUAUUCCCCUUACCUAGCGCAAGAGUGAAAGAAGAAUAAUUGUAAGGUGAAAAAUCAAGAAUUUGAAGUAGAGAAAGAGAGAUGGAACCGGCUGAAACAAAAAAUAAAAAGAGAAGAAGGAAAAUUGAAAGGGAGGAGAAUAAUAUCACCCAAGUACUCCCUCAAAAUGCUUCCAAAUUCGUGAGGUAAGAGUAAUCCUUUACUCUUGGAACUUGUCAUCGGAGGUGUUAGGUUGUAUGAGAAGAAAGCCCCAAAUGAAGUGAUUUAGGAUGCUUGAAUUUAAUUAGGGUAAAUGAAAAAUCAAUGCAAAUUCAUACUCUAGAGCAUAAAUAGUUUAGGAACACAACAUUUUUAACUAGGAUUGAUGAAGGUUGGAGUUGUUAGGAAACCCUUACCAUUCAACCAAAAGAAAAACAAAUAUAAGGGAAUGGGGAGUCUCCAAUGGUAUUAUACUAAUAUAAUGAUGAUGAAGUGUGCAGUAACUGAAAUUAUUAUUAUUUUUUUACUUUUUUUCAUAUCUCUUGAUUAGCACUUAUAUGAUUUAUGUUGGAGCUUAAAGUUGUAUGAAUCAUGUUAUAAUGAAAAUCAAAUAUAAAAAGAAGAAGAAGAAGAAAGAUUUGAUGUCUUGAUAAGGAAUGAGCUUCAAUUGCUAGUUCCUAAUAGAGUUUAAACGUAAUGGAAUCCUAUAAUGAUGAAAAUAUGCAUAGAAAAUGUUUGAUUAGUGUUUAAAUCCAUGAAUUCAAAUCUUGGCAAUUUGAUGAUGGAAAUACCAACACAAAUUGGACAUAGAAGAUGAUAGAAAUUGCUAUAAUGUUUAUAUGAAAGAUGUAGAGGAAUGAGUUAGCUAACAUUUGGCACUGGUCUUGCCUCAAUUGGAGUUGUAUAACUCUAGAUAUGGGCAAAAUACCAUCAAGAGGUCAAACUAUCUGUAACAGGACAAUUUGGUUCUCAUAAUUAAAACUACUGUUAGAUAUAGAAGAUGAUAGAAAUUGUUGUAACAUUUUAUAUGAAAGAUGUAGAGGAAUGAGUUAGCUAACAUUUGGCACUAGUAUUGCCUCAAGUGGAGUUGUUUUACUCUAGAUAUGGGCAAAAUACCAUUAAGAGGUCAAAUUGUCCGUAACAGGACAAUUUUGGUUCUCAGAAUUAAAACUAUUGUUAGACAUAGAAGAUGAUAGAAAUUGUUGUAACGUUUUAUAAACAAGUUUUAGAGAAAUGAUUUAGCUAACAUUGGGACCUAGUCUUGCCUCAAUUGGUGUCAUAACCCAAUUUUGGGUUAUUCCCCAAAUUUCACUUUUUUUGAAAAUAAAAAAUCAAAAAAUAAAAUAAAGGCCGGCAAUGUGGAGAAAGCCGAUAAAAAAGACUGCAAAAAUCGAAGGUCAAAUUAAAUGCAAAUUCGAAGGUCAAAUUAAAUGAUUAUUGGAUGAAUUUGCAUAAAAUUUAAGUCCAAUGACACAAAAAUUGAGGGACCAAUUUGGAAACCCGAAAAAAUGUUUUGCCUAUAAAUAGCAGCUUUUAACUCAAAGUUAAGGGGGGGUCAUUUUGUAAGGGGGUAAUUUUGACAACAUUAGAAAAAAAUACAAAAAAAAACCUAAACCUAAACCCUUUUUUCAAGAGCAGCCGCUCCCCCCACGUUUUUUGUUUUUCCUCUCCGAGCAGCCGCCACCCCCUUUGGCCUGCGAUUUUUUGCUCCUGAAACAGCCCCUUUGCCUUGACAAAAGCAAGCCAGCCAGCUGCUAUUUCCCUUCCCAAAAAAUCCAAUAGGUCGCCGCUCUCCCUUCUCUUUGACAGCACAGAUUAGCCGGCCACUCAUCCCUCCCCCUGAUUUUUGCAAAACGAAACAGAGGGCACAAGACAGCCCCUGAUUCUCUUCCUCAGAACCAUUUCCAGCGGCCGGCCCUAUCUUCUCCCAAUUUUUCCAACACUGUAGCCGCAGCCCCCUACUCCUUUUUGGAAAGGAAAAAAACGGAGAACCAAAGACUUCACCCCUUAUUUUUCUCCCUCACCGAUCUGCCAUCCUCCAGCUCCCAGAACCAGAGCCCCAUUUCCAUCUUCUCUAAAAACGAACCAGAACUGGCCGCUACCCCCAUUUACUUAUCUCCCUCUCACGGACAAGCUCUCUUCCUCGGCUAACAGACCCAGCUCUCUCUCCCUUAACCUUUCCACAGCCGGUGACAGAUAAGUAAUACCAGAACCCAACGCAGUUCCUAUGCCUCUCCGCCCCCAGCUGGAAUUUCUUCACCUUCAACCCACAGACCAGCGGCUAGGCCAGCAUCACCAAACAGCCCCAUCUCCACCGAUCAGAGAACGGGCAGAGCCGUUCUCCAUUUCUGCAGACCCACGGUCUCCUUCGGAUAGCAGGUUUUUCCUCCAUAGUCCCAGCCAUUUCCAGCCACACCCAGCUCACUGCCUCCAGCAGUCUUCGUCAUCUCCUUCGGCGCCGUCUCCAGCUCCUCCACCAAACACAGCGGCGGCCCCGCCGUCUUCUUGUCCCCUCAGAGCCGACCGCCGCCUGGGGAAACGAAAAGAACAGAUCUGUAAUGAGCAGAUCCGAAAUGGGCAGAAGAAAAAAAAUUUAAAAACAGAUCUGAAACAAAAAAACUAAAAUCAACUGCUUUGUUUGUGUUUUUUUGUGUGUUUGCAGGUGACCGGACCCUCACCGCCGGCUGAAAAUUGAAGAGGAGAAGAAGCCGCUCCAGGCGCCUUUGUUUUUUCUGGUUUCCAGCAGCGGCGCGUGAACCCACGCGCCGCCAGUGACGGUGGUGCGUGGAUCCACGCGCCGGCACUGUUCAUGCAGCCCCCAGAAGUCCUUCCCUGCAAUUCCUGGAGUGUUGGGGGACUAUUUUGUAAAUUUUAAGUUAUUUAAUGUAAUUUUUAUUUAGUUUUUGAAUUUGCAUUUUUGUAAAUGUGAAUGUAAAAGAAAAAAAGAAGAAAAGAAAAUAAUAAAAAAAAAGAGUGUGUGUGUUGGUGUUCUUUUGUUAUUUUAUGUCAUUGAAUUGUAAAAAAUAAAAAAAAAUAAAAAGAAAAAUGUUUUUAAUAUUUUAAUGCACAAAUUCUAAGGAUGGAUAAAAUCAUGUUGUAUUUUCCAUGAAAAUGUAAGAACAUGUUUCUACAUAUAUUCUGGGAAUUUAUAACUGAUGUAUCGUAGCUUUAGAAGUGGGCUAAAAUUCUAUUUUAAAAAUUACAUUAAGCUCACGAAGCUUGAAUGUGGUGUGUGUAUUUUGUUUACAAAUUUUUUAUGAUAAAAUUGCAAGAACAAAGAAGGAUUUAAUAUUUUGAUCGGAUCAAAGGUGUAGAAGUACAAACUUGUACGGAAGUUGUAUUUCUAAAUUCCGAUGAAAAGACAAAAUUUUAAAACUUCUUUAACACAUCAAGUCCACGGAGCAGCUUACCUCAGGUAGGGUGCGUUAGGGGUGCUAAUACCUUCCCUAACCACAAUCAGUUCCUUACCCACGAAUCUCUUACCAUGACCAGUCCACCAGGGUUUCCUAGUAACCUCAAUUAAAUACUAGGUGGCGACUCCUAACAAACCAAUUUAAGCAAUACAACAACGAGACAUAAAAUCGUCAGCCGAUGCCGCGCGCGGGAUUUUUUCGACGUGCGACAAUUGGAAUUAUAGAACUUCAUAUAUAGGCAAACUACCAUUUAGUGGACAAGCUGUUUGUAACAUGACAGAUUUCACUACCUGACUUCAACUAAUUUUAAAAUAGCUGAACAAUAGAAUUUUGGGCAACCUCAUAUAAGAAAGUUGUACUUAAGGAUGUUAAAUUUCACUAGGAUUUGGCCCUAUAUGAAUCGAAGCUCUAGAACUCCAUUUAGAGACUAAAAAUUACAGACUGGUCAAGUUGUAAAUUAAAGGUAAGACAAAUUUACAUGUGUGUAGAAGACGAGUGAUUUUGGGCACGCUAUUGAUUCAUGUUGAAAUUAAUUCUUCCGAAUCAUGGGAGAUGUAUAUGUCAACAUUCAAAACAAACAUAUAAAAAGGUCUAGACGGAAAUAGAUGCUGAAAUUUUGUUGACAGUCAUAGAUACUGAAAGCUCGUUGAUGCAAAACUGAGUCGUGCGAACACUUCAACGUGAUAUACUAACUCCAAAGAAAUACACUUGAUAUGUAUAUGUACAUUACGAUGAGGAAAUGAACAUGCAUAGAUAGUAACAUAUGUAUAAUGAAUGAAUAUAGAUUGUCUAUAACAUUUAGCUUGAAGGAAUCAUGACCAAAGACUUCUUUGUGAAUCAAGAGGAGCGAUCGACCAGGAUUGGAUCUUCUAUUGGAGGAAGUCAAGAGGCAAGCGAAGCAGGUGCAUGGUUUCCCUCUCCUUAAUGCUUAUGCAAUUUAAAAUCUCCUUAAUGAAUGCAAUUACAAUAAUAUUAUGUUCAAAAUAAAUAAAGUAUGGUGUGUUAAUGACACAUUAGCUUCGGCUAAUGGCAUCCAUGAUAGGGAUAUCGAGAAAUGAAAUACAACAUUAGCUUCAGCUAAUGGCAUCCGUGAUAGGGAUGCCGGGAAAUUAAUUAUAAAGAUAGCUUUUGCUAAUGGCAUCCGUGAUAGGGAUGCCGGGAAAUUAAUUAUAAAGAUAGCUUUUGCUAAUGGCAUCCACGUUAAGACACCUGGAAAUGAUCAAUAAGGCUUGAUUUGUAAAGGGUAUCCAUAUUUGGAUGACCUAUAAAAUUUGAUAAGUAUAAUUGCCUAAAAAUAUAUAGGUUGGACUAUGCAAGGUUGAAGAUCUAAUAAAACCAAUUAAUCAAAGUUACUAGGUUCAUGUAAGAAGAUAAGAGAAAUAAAUUAAGAAUAUAACAAUAUGGAUUGUUACACGUGAGUCUAUAAAACUACCAGAUUUUGUUUAUUCUUGUUAUUCUUUAUCAUUUACUUUCUUUUUAGCUUUUGUUCAUUGUCUCUCUGAGCCAUCUUCCUAUAAAGAGGCAAUUCUUGAUCCUCUUUGGCAGCAAGCUAUGGAUGAGGAACUUUCUGCUUUGCAUAAGACAGAUACUUGGGAUUGGUUCCUCUACCUCUUGGUAAAAGUGUUGUUGGGUGUAUAAGAUCAAGACUAAUUCUGAUGGGUCUACUGGGCGAUAAAAAGCUAGGUUGAUUGGAAAAGGAUACUCUCAACAGUAUGGUAUGGAUUUUGAGGAGACAUUUGCCCCUGUUACAAAAAUGACUAUUAUUCGUACUCUUAUUGUUGUAGCUUCAGUUUGUUGAUGGCAUAUCUCACAACUUGAUGCUAAAAAUGCCUUCUUGAAUUGAGAUCUUUAAGAAGAAAUUUAUAUGGCGCCUCCUCCUAGUGUUUCACAUGACUCUGGGUAUGUUUGUAAGCUCAAGAAAGCGUUAUAUGGUCUCAAACAAGCACCUUGGCUUGAGAAAUUUUUUGUUGUGAUCUCAUCUCUUGGAUUUGUUUCUGGUAGUCAUGAUUCUGCUCUUUUUAUUAAGUGCACUGAUGUCGGUCAUAUCAUUCUAUCUUUAUAUGUAGAUGACAUGAUUAUUAUUGGUGAUGACAUUGACGGUGUCUCAGUUUUGAAGACAGAGCUGGCUAGAUAGUUUGUAAUGAAGGAUUUGGGUUCUCUUCGAUAUUUCCUGAUUAUUGAGGUAGCUUACUCACCUAGAGGUUAUCUUCUUUCUCAAUUGAAAUAUGUUGCAAAUAUUCUUGAGCGGGCUAGACUUACUGAUAACAAGACUAUAAACACUCUUAUUGAAGUUAAAGCAAGGUACUCUUUUUCUGAUGGUUUACCUUUGGUAGAUCCUACUUUAUACAAUAUUAUUGUUGGGAGCUUGGUAUAUCUCACCAUUACUCGUCUAGAUAUUGCAUAUGUUAUUCAUGUUGUUAGUCAGUUUGUUGUUCGAAAAAUUCUGCAUGAAAACAACUCCUUGUCAAACCUUCCUUCACAUAGCCUCAUCCCCAAACCCGAAUUGAACACUUGGGGGCAUAAUCAAGCUAGGGGGCAAUAAAGAAACAUAUGAUAGGGGUGGCUCCAUGAUUCCCAUUCUAAGAAAAUGUCGAGCAAAAUUGGCAACCCUUGAGAUAAAGGGGCGGAGGACAAAGAAGUUUGAUGAUAUCAAGUCUUUCGUAGAGGUCAAAAUCACAAGAGAUGACUCGAGUAAGCAGGAGCGAAAAAGCCAUCGAAGUUCACUGCCAACACUCCAACUUUUGAGAAAAGAAACACACCUUGAAGAAAUGGGGACCUAUAUUUCAAAUCAGGUAAGGAUGCAUGCAUAUCAUCUAACCUAAAAAAAAAAAAAUAUUUGCACAUAUUUUUGAAUUGUUAUAGGAAAAUCCUUAAUGAGGUCUAACAAGAUGGUGGAAAAAGAAAGAAGCAUUGUGGUAAUGAAAUAAAUAAUCGGUUUUGAUCAUGGAAUAAAAGGACGAUGGGAUGAACCCUACCAUUAGGAAAAUCCCAAAGAAAUGAAUAGAUCAACCUUGCAAUCGGGAAGCCUCGAGUUUUCAACUCUUGCAGUCAGGAAACACCGAGUUUUCAAAUCCUAUGAUCGGGAAUUAUCAGGAAGCACCAAGUUUUCCAGCCCUGCUUCUGUCAUCCCCUCAAAGACUUCGCCAGGUAAGUCCUAUUUUUCACACUUGUCAUAUCACAUUUUUUCCAUUUGGGUAGGUCACCCAUCACAACGAGACCGCUUUUUCAUAUUCUUUCCAUCUGGGUAGGUCACCCAUCAUAAUAAGACCGUUUUUUCAUAUUCUUUCCAUCUGGGUAGGUCACCCAUUACAAUGAGACCACACUUCAUAUUCUUUCCAUCUAGGUAGGUCACCCAUCAUAAUAAGACCGUUUUUCACAUUUUUUUUUUCCAUUUGGGUAGGUCACCCAUUACAAUGAGACCACACUUCACAUUCUUUCCAUCGGGGUAGGUCACCCAUCAUAAUAAGACCGCACUUCAUAUUUUUUCCAUCUGGGUAGGUCACCCAUUACAAUGAGACCGCACUUCAUAUUUUUUCCAUCUGGGUAGGUCACCCAUUACAAUGAGACCGCACUUCAUAUUUUUUCCAUUGGGUAGGUCACCCAUUACAAUGAGACCGCACUUCACAUUUUUUUCAUUUUGGGUAGGUCACCCAUCACAACGAGACCGUUUUUCAUAUUCUUUCCACAUGGGUAGGUCACCCAUUACAAUGAGACUACACUUCAUAUUUUUUCCACUCGGGUAGGUCACCCAUCACAAUGAGGCCAUCAUUUUUUCUGGGUAGGUCACCCAUUAGAAUGAGACCAUUCUCCAUUUUUUUUUACCUGGGUAGGUCACCCAUAAUAAUGAGGUCAUUCUUCCCCCUGGGUAGGUCACCCAUAAGAAUGAGACCACUCUUCCCCCUUUCCACUCGGGUAGGUCACCCAUCACAAUGAGGCCAUCACUUUUUUUCUGGGUAGGUCACCCGUUAGAAUGAGACCAUUCUCCAUUUUAUUUUUACCUGGCUAGGUCACCCAUAAUAAUAAGGCCAUUCUUCCCCCUGGGUAGGUCACCCAUUACAAUGAGACCACUCUUCCCCCUUUCCACUUGGGUAGGUCACCCAUCACAAUGAGGCCAUCAUUUUUUUUCUGGGUAGGUCACCCGUUAGAAUGAGACCAUUCUCCAUCUUUUUUUUACCUGGGUAGGUCACCCAUAAUAAUGAGGCCAUUCUUCCCCCUGGGUAGGUCACCCAUAAGAAUGAGACCACUCUUCCUCCUUUCCACUCGGGUAAGUCACCCAUCACAAUGAGGCCAUCAUUUUUUUUUUGGUAGGUCACCCAUUAGAAUGAGACCAUUCUCCAUCUUUUUUUUACCUGGGUAGGUCACCCAUAAUAAUGAGGCCAUUCUUCCCCCUGGGUAGGUCACCCAUAAGAAUGAGACCACUCUUCCUCUUUUCCACUUGGGUAGGUCACCCAUCGCAAUAAGACCAUUUUUCCUGGGUAGGUCACCCAUUACAAUGAGACCACUUGUUACACAUUCUUUUGUUUUGGUUAAAUGAGGUCGCCAGAUGGGAUCUCAGGUAGGUUUGGUUAAAGGGAAUCGCUAGAUGGGAUUUCAGGUUGACUGAGCUACACACAUUUUUUAGUUCCAGUUGAAUGAGGUCGCCAGAUGGGAUCUCAUGUAGCUUUGGUUAAAGGGAAUCGCCAGAUGGGAUUUCAGGUUGACCGAGCUACAACAUUCUUUGGUUUUAGUAUAGGAGAUCGCCAGAUGGCAUCUCAGGUUAACGAAAAGAGAGAGAGAAAAAAAGAUAAAGAGAGAGAAAGAAAGAAAGAAAGACAAGAAAAAAAUAAGGUCUUAUUCAACAGUGUUAAAAAGACAAGCAAACAAGUUUUUCUUUACAAAGCUUACUAUGUAAAACAUUGAGGAGUUUUGCUUCGUAAGCAUUGUAAAGAGGGGGCAUCUGUUGCUACCCAAUUUUUGACCCAUGUUUUGAUAUAUUUUCAAAUAAAUCCAAAAAUAGAGAAAAACAAUGAAAAUCCAAAAAAAUAUGUUUUUUAAUAUUCUCGUCAUUUUAGCAUUUUCAACGUCGUCUAGAAAAGAAUUUAAAUUUUUAAGGUCUUUCGAAUGCGUUCGACUUUUCACGCGUCAUUUUUUAAAAUCAUUGAUUUUCCUCAUCGAGUUGAUGUUGAUAUUGCUCAUUUUCAAAAAAUACAAAAAAUAUAGAAAAAUCAAAUUUAAAUUAAAGGGGGGGAAAUUUGAUAAAGGUAGCAAUAUUUCUACCUAUAAAUACUGGUUUCCUCAACACACUCAAGGGGGGGAAUUUUGCAAUUAAAGGGGAGGCAACACCAAAGAGAAAAAACCUAGAAAAGGCUUAGCUUUCUUCUCCCUCACCCGGGAGCAGCCGCCGCUCACCCCCCAUCCAAACAGAGACCAGACCCGACCAUUCCUUCCCCUGUCAUCUCACGCUCAACCCUCUCUCCCAAAACCAGAGCAGCCACCCAAACACCCCCCGAAUUUUGUUCUUCUUCCUCUUCUCCGAUAGGCUUGCCAACGGCCACAACCCGAAGCCACACAUAGCUUCCCCUCACAAAUAAACCUCCAGCCUUCCACCAUCUCCUUCUCACUUCCCCAUCACCCAAAAAGACCAAGCGGCCAUCUCUGCUCUCCCUCUUCUAAGCCGACAACACAGACGCCUCCACCACCAGCCAGCCACCACAGCCUUCCUAUCAGCAACGACUGCUUCCCCUUCGGUUUCCUCUCCCAGCGGCGGCCGAACAGCAGCGCCGGGGCAACACUUUCAUCACUCCUCCAAGCCAUCAACAACGCCUUCUUCUCCCUCAGCAGACGACCAACAACAACGGCGAAGCAGCACCGACAGACCAGCCGCCUCCCUAUCUUCCCCGAUCUCUUCCUCUCCAUCAACACCGGAGAUUCCUCCAGUAGCAACCAACACACGGCGCCCACAAAAUCACCUCCAGAACUGCCCCGCAGUGGCCACCGCAGCCGGCCAUCACUGGAUCUGCAACCAACGAAGGAAGAGAAACAGAUCUACAAAACAAAAACAGAUCUAAAAAUGAAACAAACAAACUAAAAUCAACUGCCUGUGUUGUUUUCAGGUGCUUUGCAGGUCGCCGCCAGUGUUGGGAGACUGAGAAGAAGAAGUCGAUCCCGAUCCCCCCUGUCUCUGGAGUUUCUUGCGGCGGCGCGUGGAGUAGACGCGCCCGCUGUUUGCUGCCCCAGAAGCCUUCCGCCUAUGUUCCCGUGCACUGUUCCUGCAUAUUCUAGAAGCCUUAGGAUGUGUUGGGGCUAUUCUGUAAUUUUAAAUGGUUUUUGAUGUAAUAUUUUUAUUUAGCAUUGAUUUUUAUUAUUUUUAUUGUGGAUGUAAAAGAAAAGGAAAAGAAAAGAAACAAAAAUAGUGAAAGUGUAUGGGUGUACUUGUAUUUGUUUUAUCAAUUGUUUUAUUUUUUUAUGAUAAAAUUGCAAAGAUUAAAGAAGAAUUUAAUAUUUUGAUUGGAUCACGGUCAAGAAUUAUUAACUUAUACGUAAGUUAUAUUCUAAUAUCCGAUAAAAGACAAAAUUUUAAAACUUCUUUAACACGUCAAAUUCGCGAAGCAGCUUACCUCAGGUAGGGUGCGUUAGGGGUGCUAAUACCUUCCCUAACCACAACCACUCCCUUACCCGCGAAUCUCUGACAAGACCAGUGUAUCCGAUUUCCUAAUAGCCUUCAAUAAAUUACUAGGUGGCGACUCCAAACAAACUCAUGCAUGCAUAACGCAACAACGAUAAAAAAUUGCCAGCCCGAUGCGGCGUGGAUUUUCCGACGUGUGACAGUGAGGAUGACAUGUCCUUAGAUGCCUAUCAAGAAGAGGCACAUGCGCCAUCAACUGAUUUUGCCUCUUCCAGCGCGGUUUCCCAACGCAGAGGCGGCGUGCCUUCGCAGCGGAAUCAAUUCACCUACAAGUACGAGGCACAGUGGAAGGACGAUCUUUCAAUGUAAGUUUGUUAAGGUUUUAUUUUUUUUUCAAAAAAUUAUAACAUAAUUUAUGAACAACUAAUCAAUAUUUCAUUAAUUUAAUUUAAUUUCAUGUUCACAAAAAUUAAGGGCGUCCAAGUAAUAUGAUCAACGUUUAAAUUGUAGAUGGAGAUUCCAUUAUUUCAAUGGAGUUACGUAUCUAGACAUCCUGAAUGGAUACCUCAAAUCGAUGCAUGGUUUGACAGAUUUUAUGUUGGUGUUAAUUUCUAAUUUCCAAUGUAUUUCUAAUAAAUUAUUAAUAUAAUUGUAAAUAAAUUAUUAUUUUUAUUUAAAAUUAAUUAUUUAUACACAGGACAAAUUCGACUGGUACAGUGUGCAUGACACUAUUGUGAGGAGGGUGCGGGAAAAUCACGCAACAACUAGGUAACAUCGAAAACAAUACAAGAUUUUUUUAGAAAAAAAUUUAUGUUUCAAAAUCUAAUUUCUUGUUGUGGAAGUAGGUUGCGUGAUUUUUGAUAGGAAGCACAAAAAAUGCAAAAAAAGCUACGAGGGAUUUCAAACUAAUAUACAUCCCGGUAGAUAUAUGGCCGAACUAUCUUGAGCUCGUGAUGUCUGAGCGGUUCACACGAUGCUCACAGUCUGGUGCUGGCAACCGGAAUCGGCUAAUUCAUGGCUCGGUGACAAUGCACACUGGCGGCUCCGUUCCAUUUGCUGUAUUUGCGAAACGGUUGGUAAGAUUAAUUUAAAUGAAAUAUAUCAUUAAAUUAAGUUGUUGUUAAUUAAUUUGUUUCAUUAUAGGCUACGUCUCUUGGACAUGAGCCGAGCCCAAUGGAGUUGUUUGUUGAGACGCAUAUGCGGAGUCAAGAUCGUCAAAAGGGGGCACAAUAUUUCAUUGACAGUCGUGCUCAACACUUUGUGGUAUGUUUGUUCAACCAUUUUAUUUUGUAUGUUAUUAUUUUUAUUGAAUUGAAUAUGAUGAUUACUUUUUCAUUUUCAGGAGACUUAUAAUAGCCGAUUGAGGGAGAGAUACAGGGACAAUCCUUCGACCCAUCUGGAUUUCGAUCCGGAUUUGUUGAUGGAGGUUGGAUCAUCUAGUGGACCCGAUAAAAAUCAGGUGUACGGGCUCUCCAACAUUACGGCCGAAAACUUGCGGGCGGCCCGUAGUGUCUCAACCAUUGGGAGCUCCUAAUUAGUAUUGUGCAGCCAAUCUAAAGAGUUUGUGGCCUUGCAGCAACACAUGGCUUAGCUCACCAAAAAAUACAACCACCUAUAGGCAAGGUAUACACAACUCUCGGUGAAAUUAUGAACAACUUCGUCAAAUGGUCACGAACAUGACAUCACAUAAUGGUGAUACAUGUGUGCCUCCUCCUUUUUGGCCGUAUAACAAUCAACCUCCUCCUUCAGCUCCACCAUUAUGUUAAUUUGUAAUGAAUAUUAUUUAACUUUAAUAGUUAAUUUAAUAUAUUUUUUAAACACAUUCAAUUUGUAAUGAAUAUUAUUUAACUUUAAUAGUUAAUUUAAUAUUUUUUUUGAAACACAUUCAUUUUGUAAUGAAUAUUAUUUAACUUUAUUUUUUUGUUUUUGAUGUUUAAUAAAAAAUUUAUCUGCAUAAUUGGUUUUUUUUACUAUUAAUUUAUAUAAUUUUAUAUUAUAUAUUCUAAAUAUUUUUUAAAAAACAUAUUUAAAAAUAAUCAUAGAGGGUUUUACCAACGGACUGUAUCGGUCGGCAUUUGACAAAGAGCAGGAAAUGUCAAUCUUACGAAUUAAUUUACAGAUGGAAUACAUUUUUUGGCAUUUCACAGUAGUUGGGUGCAAAUUUCACAAUCAACAACGACUUGACCAACGGAUAUCGUCUGUCGGUAUUUCACACACUCAUCGAAGGAAUACAUCCGUCGAUAUAUUUCAAGCGGGAUUUUUUUUACGCGUAAUUUCCAUUUGUAAAACCAUUGGCAAUUGUUUUUUUUUACCAAACGAUGUAGCGACUGAAUGAGGUAUUACCAAUGAAAAGAAAGCAAACAGAAGAUUUCUGUAGGGAAUGUCGUUGGUAAAAAAAUUACUAACGAACUUGGAAUCAUAGACGGAUGGAAUAGUUCCGUCUGUAAAACAGUGAAAUCUUGUUGUGGGAAGUGGCAUAGUAAAGACAUCUGUCCUGCAGCCCAGACACUGUUCAGUGUUCAUCCCAUAUCAUGAGUUUUAGAAGUCCAAAUGACCUCCAUUUUUUUUUUCCUGGAAAGCUAAGUCAAUUUCCUACAACUUUAAUGUUUUCAAGUGGACCCAGUUCUGAUGCUAGAAAUUUCAUUUUAUUCUGACAAUAAGAUAAGGAUUUUCACAAAGUCAAGAGUUGGCCACCCACUCAACAAUUAGUCAUCAUAUCAAUAAUUCCGAAUUUUGGCCUAUAAAAGGAGGCAUUUGCCAUGUAUUUUGGGGCUUGGUGGUUCAGAUCAAGAAGCCCUUCCUCUCUCUCUUUAUAGUUUUUGUAAUUCUUAAGUUUUGCUUUCAUUAAUAUCUUGUUUAUGUUUUUCAUUUCCUUUCCUUUCCUUAGUUAACUUGUAUCUUAUUUAUGUUCUUGUUGUUUAUUUAUGUUUCUCUUCUUCAUUAUGUUUAGCUAAGUUUAUUAUGUCAAGGUAAAAAGGUUACACUAAUGGUGUAAGAAUAAGUAUAGUGUAAACUCAACAUGAACCUUAAUGUUUAAUAUUAACAUGUCUUAUCUUUUUAUCUUACUAAUUCUUAAUACCUUGCUUGUUAAAUGGUUAAUCUAGAUUUGUGUUGUUUAACACUUGGUACAACAAAUGCUUGGCACUCUCAUAGCCCAACCGUAUGGUAUUACCUACACCUGUGCUAUGAAAGGAACUUGAUUUGUUGUUAACAUAAGUUAGCAUCAUGAAUUCCUGACAAUAUUUAAAAGUUUGGUGUUAUGUAAACAAGAUAAUUAAUAUGAUCAUGUUAACAAUUUAUAAUGAGCUAUUAAUGACAAAUCAUCCGAUUGGAACCUCCUUCGUGUGUGGUUUCCAGUUGAGUAAUAAGAGUUUAUACUAUACUUGUUUCAAAUACCAUCAGUGGAUACUCUAACCUUGACAUUUGUUUUUAUCAUUGUUUAAUCCUUACAUUAAUCUUCCAUCUCAAAGUUCUCAUUAAUUUAUUCAUCCUCUUCUUUUUAUUAUUAUUAUUAUUAUUAUUAUUAUUAUUCUUGUUAUAUUUUAUGUACGUUAAGUAUGCUCUAUGUUUGAUCAAGGAUCCUGAUAUUGUUGAUCGUGCCUUGUUCAUUCGCAUCAGAAAUCUGUUUAUAUUAUAUAAUAUAUCUCUUUGAUCUUUUCAUAAACUUAGUAUAUAGGCUGGAAACCUGUGACUCGAUCUUUUAGAUUAUUCUCAGGUAUAACAACGCCACGUACUGAGUAUUAUUAUUAUUAUUAUUAUUAUUAUUAUUACUAUUACUAUUAUUGUUAUUAUUGUUGUUGUUAUUGUUGUUAUUAUUGUUGUUGUUGUUGUCUUGUUAUUUAUAAUUUAUACAAUUAACCUCUCUGUGGUUCGACCCAAGUCUUGCCGGGUUAUUUAUUACUUCGACACUCCUACACUUAGGAGAAGACAUCAAUCUUUUGGUCGUGUCAAGUUUUUGGCGCCGUUGCUGGGGAGGUAAAUUCUUGUACAAAUUAUAGUAUUUAUUUUGUUUUCUCUUUUCACUUUUCUUGUAUCUAACUUUGUUUCUUUUUCUAUUGUUUUGUUCUUCCUUUUAUUCUCUUUCUACACGUGCAUGAGUAUUUGGUCACAUACAUUAAGUGGUAGACUUUGUAGGGUAUCCUCAUCAUUUUUCAAAAAAUAUGGCUGAAGAAGAUAACCAGUCACUUCAUAAUGAGAAUAAUGAGAAUAACCGUGUUAGGACACCUAGAGACCACAUGAAUCCCACAAGAACAAGUGCACCCUCAUGCAUAGUUUUCCCUCCUGAUGCAUCCCAUUUUAAUUUUAAGCCAGACAUUAUUCAACUUUUACCUUCUUUUCAUGGCUUAGAUCUAAAAAAUCCAUACUUGCAUUUGAGAGAAUUUGAAGAAGUUUGUAAUACAUAUAAUGACUUAAAUUGUAGCAUGAAUACCAUUAGAUUAAAGCUUUUUCCUUUUUCAUUAAAAGAUAAAGCUAAAACAUGGCUAUAAAAUCUUAGGUCAAGAUCCAUUCGUGCUUGGGAUGAAAUGCAACAACAGUUUUUAAAGAAGUUUUUUCCAUCUCACAGAACCAACUCUUUCAAAAGACAAAUCACCACUUUCACCCAAAAACCAGAUGAAACAUUUUACCAAUGUUGGGAUAGGUAUCGAGACUUGCUUAAUACUUGCCCGCAUCAUGGUUUUAAAACAUGGAGAUUGGUUUCACAAUUUUAUGAAGGAUUAACACCUAAAGAUAGGCAAAUGGUUGAAUUGAUGUGCAAUGGAACUUUUGAAGAUAAAGACCCUAAUAACGCAAUGGAGUACCUAGACUUGCUAGCUGAAAAUGCGCAAAAUUAGGACACUACAGGCACUUAUGAGGCACCAAUUAAAACCCAACCUCAUACAUCUAGUGGAGGUAUGUAUAACCUUAGGGAAGAUCAUGACCUUCAAGCCAAGUUUGCAUCUUUAGCUAGAAAAGUCGAGGCACUAGAAUUAAAUAAGAGUGGUCAAUUAAAAUCUAUUCAAGACAUUGUGUGUCAAAUCUAUAAAACAAAUGAACAUGCAACCAAUGACUGUCCAACUUUGCCUUCUUUCAAGGAAUGCCUCCAUAAACAAGCCCAUGCUUUAAACAGUUUCCAAAGGCCCAAUCAUAACCCAUACUCGCAAACAUACAAUCCUGGUUGGAGAAAUCACCCAAAUUUCAGUUGGAAGAGUGAUAACAAUAAUGCACAAACUUCACAGCCACCGUUUCAAGCACACCAUAAUUUCCAAAAUUCUCAUGGAUAUGCACCUCCUUAUGCUCCACCUCCUAGAAGAAAUCUUGAGGAAACAAUACAUGCAUUCAUUGAAAAGCAAGAGACAAUCAACACUCAACUUGCUCAAAGCAUGACAAAUUUUAAAGAUGCUCUUGAAAAAUUCACAUUUGCUCUUAGUUUUCAAGAGAAAGGUAAAUUUUCAUCUCAACCACAACAAAAUACAAAGGGGCAAUACAAUGCAAAUGCAAGUAGUUCCAAAAGCCAACACAUGGAUCAAGUCAAAUCAGUCAUCACUCUUCACAGUGGUAAGGUUAUUGAAAAACCCAUUCUUGAACCUUGUGAGAAAGAUGAUGAGUCAAUCUCUAAAGGUAAGGAAGGGGUUGAAUCUGAACAUUGUAAAGAAAAGACUGAUUCUCCGCCAACACUUCCAUUUCCUCAUGCCAUGACCAAACAAAGGAAAGUCAAUCACAAUUCUGAAAUCCUUGAAACUUUCAAACAGGUAAGGAUCAAUAUACCUUUGUUGGAUGCUAUUAAACAGGUAAGUUUCUAUGCUAAAUUUUUAAAAGAUAUAUGCACUGUGAAGAGAAAACUGAAUGUGAAAAAGAAAGCAUUUUUAGCCGAACAAGUAAGUGCUAUUCUUCAGAACAAUAAUGCUUUGAAAUAUAAAGACCCUGGUUUUCCUACAAUUUCUUGCUUUAUUGGAGAACGUAAAAUUGAAAGAGCUUUACUUGAUCUUGGAGCUAGUGUGAAUUUACUUCCAUAUUCGGUUUUUCAAAGUCUCAAUCUAGGUGAGUUAAAACCAACUUUUAUAACUCUUUUACUUAUUGAUAAAUCUGUAAAAGUACCUAGAGGAAUAGUUGAGGAUGUGUUAGUACAAGUUGAUAAAUUCAUUUACCCUGUAGAUUUUAUAGUCUUGGAUACACAACCUGUUGAAACAUGUAAUUCAAUUCAUGUCAUUUUAGGACGUCCAUCUCUUGCAACUUCUAAUGCAUUGAUUAAUUGUAGGAAUGGACUGAUGAAACUAUCAUUUGGAAACAUGACAUUGGAGAUGAAUAUUUUCAACAUUUGCAAGCAACCUAGAGAUGAUAAUGAUUUAUAGGAAAUGGACUUUAUUGAAAAAUUAGUUCAUGAUCAAUUUCAAACCACUUCUAGUGAAACUGAGGUUGAUGAACCUGGCGAGUUGCAAAUGGUUUAUUUUCAGGAAAAAGCAAAGGCAUGUAAUUGGAGACCACAAAUUGAAGAACUGCCACCACAAUCAAUUGAGUCCAUACCUUCAAGUGUUCAACCACUAAAACCUGAUUUGAAGUCGUUACCAGUCAAUCUCAAAUACUCAUUUUUGGGAGAAAAUAAAACUUUUCUGGUAAUAAUCUCUUCCAAACUUAAUGCAUAUCAAGAAGGUAAGUUAUUACAGACUCUGAAAAUGCACAAAAAUGCAUUAGGAUGGACCAUAGCUGAUAUAAAAGGAAUUAGUCCUUUGAUUUGCACAUACAGAAUUUAUUUGGAGGAAAAUUCUAAACCAUCUAGAGAAAUGCAACGAAGACUUAAUCCUAAUAUGAAAGAAGUAGUGAAAAAUGAAGUCAUUAAGCUUGUUGUAACCCAUUUCUGGGUCCCCACAUAAAAAAUAAUAAAAUACAAAAAAAUUCAAAAAAAUAUAUUAUCAAAAAAUAUAACAGUGAAAAAAUGCCGGAACGCCCUAAAAAUGCUCAAAAAUUGAUUGAGGAUUUUUAAAAAUAUAAAAAUUAUUUUUUGACAGUAUAUCAUUGACUGAUGAGAGCCCCGAUGAUAAAGAAAAUUCAAUUUGAGGAAGAAAAAUGCAAAAUCAGAAGUUUAUGGACUCAAUUAAAUUUUAUUAAAGGUUUAAUUGCAUUUAUGAAGAUUUUAAUUGCAAGAAAAAUUGAUUUUGGAGUUAAUUUGGGCUUUAAUUAGGAGAAAUUAAUUUUCUGGGGUUAAAUUAUAAUUUUUGGAAGUUAAUUUGGUCAAAUCAGGGGCUUAAUUGCAUAACUAUUGAAGUUUAAUGGCCAAUUAGGGACUUAAUUGAAGAAAUCCGAGACCAAGGACUAAAAUGCAAAACGCGCGCAAAUUGAGGGACUUCUUUGAAUCUGAUGCGUUUUGGUGCCUUUUCCUUUUAAAUGAAACGGCGCGUUUUGACCAAAACGGCGCCGUUUCAUCCACUGUUGCAAAAAAAAAAAAAAAAAAAAGAAAAGAAGAAGAAGCCCAAAACGGUGCCGUUUUGAAGGCACUGUAGGUCUUCUUCUUCCUCUGGACGCGCGAGGCAGGGGAAGAAGAAGAUUUUUCUUCUCCCUUUUCGCCUACUUUCUUUCCCCUUUUUUUGCGCAAAAAGACGCCCACCAUUGCCUAACGUUUAUCCUUUGAAACGGUAGUGGAGGGGGCGGCCAACAGUGGCCGCCCCACCAUGACGUCUCCCCUGUUUUUUGCCUAUAAAAACAGGGGAGAACCAAAGAAGAAAAAAAAGAAAACAGAAGAGAAGAAAGGAGGAGACCGAGAGAAAGGAGACUGAGGGAGAGAGAGAGGGCAAAGAAGAAGAAGAAGAAGCAGAAGCAGCAGAGAAGAAAAAUAAAAAACAGAAGAGAGAGAGAAGGGAAAUGCAGAACCACCGUGCCUCCGCCACCAUCGCCUCCGCUGCCACCAGCAGCACCGCCUCGAUGCCACCGCAGGUAAUCUCUCGCCGCCUUGUCUCCUUCUCCGUUUGCUGCCUCCCUCGUUUGCAUGCAGAACGUGAAUUAAUUCACGUUCUGCAGCUGAAGAGGGCUGGUUACUGUGCUUAGGCACAGUAACCAGCCCAUUUGGUAAUGGGCCGGGUUGGCCCAGCCCAUUGAUAUGGGCCGGACCCGGCCCAUUUCAAUUUUUUUUUUCUCAGAAGUUUUUUUACAAUUUUUUGGCACAUUUUUUUUUAUCAAUUUUGCUUAAUAUCGGUCUAUAUUUUACAUCGUAAAAAUAUAAAUUCGGUAUUAAAAUACCCGGUUUUCGUCCUGCGGUACUGUUCACACAACAUAAAAAAUCAAAAAUAUUUGUUUCGACAUUUUAUAAUUUUUCCGCGUCAUUUUUAUGUCAUUUUGAUUGAUAUCGGGCAGUAUUUUUACAUCGUAAAAAUAUAAAUCCGGUAUUAAAAUACCCGGUUUUCGGCAAAAACUUCCAAAAAUAAAAACAAAUUAAAAAAAGAUAAAAAAAAUGUUUUUGUGCAUACGGCCAAGUGUCUCAAAUCUAAAAAAUCAUAUCGUAUUUUUCAUAUGUCAAAAAACAAUAUUUUAGCAUGCAUUUUGGCUUUAAUAACCAGUUUAUUAAAGUCAAGAGAACAUUGGCCAAAAUCUCAAAAACAACAAAAUAUUUUAUUUUGUUUGAUUUUAGUAUCAGGGAUUAUGAAUUUAUACGUAAAUCGUAUUCCUGAUAUUAAAAAGAUAUUUUCUUUUUGACGACUUUGAAUAGUUAGUUUUUUACCCGAUAAAGAUAAGGAUCUCCUUACAGAGGAGGACUUUUCUUAAACCGUAAACUAACCAACAAUUCAAAAACCACAACACGAUUUUAGAUUUUAUCAGACAUUAAAACAAUGCAGCCUACCUUAGGUAGGGCGUAGUUGGGGUGCUAAUACCUUCCCUUUACGCAACUAGUCUCCGUACCCAAUCUCUAAAGACCAGUUAAGGUUUCUAGUAACCAGAAUACUAGGUGGCGACUCCCAGUCCAUAUUUUCACUUGUAGAGACAAGAAUUCCUUGUCCCUCCCUAUUUUCCAGGAAUAAAAUAUUCCGAUUUUUCCUUGAGGGUGGACGAUCGUCGCGCCGCCGCACACGUGCGACAAAGCUUCUAGUUAAUGGAAUCAUUUAUCCUAUUUCUGAAAGCAAAUGGGUAAGUCCUACCCAAGUUGUACCCAAAAAGUCAGGAGUCACUGUGAUAACAAAUGAGAAAAAUGAGUUAAUUCCAACUAGGACUAUUACUGGUUGGCGCAUGUGCAUUGACUAUAGGAAACUUAAUUCAAUGACUAGAAAAGAUCAUUUCCCUUUACCUUUCAUGGAUCAAAUCCUAGAAAGAGUUGCAGGUCAUGAAUUUUAUUGUUUCCUAGAUGGUUAUUCAGGUUACAAUCAAAUUGAAAUUGCAUUGGAAGAUCAACAGAAGACUACUUUCACAUGUCCAUUUGGUAUUUUUGCAUAUCGAAGAAUGCCUUUUAGGUUAUGUAAUGCACCAGCCACGUUUCAAAGAUGCAUUCUUAGCAUAUUCAAUGAUAUGGUUGAACGUUUUCUUGAGAUUUUUAUAGAUGAUUUUUCUGUUUUUGGUGAUUCAUUUGAUGAUUGUUUAACUAACUUAGAAAAGGUUUUGAACAGGUGUGAAGAGAAGAAUCUUGUACUGAAUUGGGAAAAAUGUCACUUUAUGGUAACCAACGACAUUGUACUUGGUCACAUUGUUUCAUCGAAAGGAAUUGAGGUUGACAAAUCUAAAAUCGAGUUAAUUGCCAACUUACCAACACCAAAAUCUGUUAAAGAUGUUAGAUCAUUCUUAGGACAUGCUGGUUUUUACAGAAGGUUCAUCAAAGAUUUUAGUGUAAUAUUUAAACCAUUGUAUAACCUUCUAACAAAGGAAAAUGUUUUUGAAUGGACUGAACAAUGUAAAAAAGCCUUUGUUAAACUUAAAAGCUUGCUUACUUCUGCUCCUGUCAUUCAACCUCCUGAUUGGUCACUUCCUUUUGAAAUAAUGUGUGAUGCUAGUGAUUAUGUCGUGGGUGCUAUCUUAGGACAAAGAAAAGAUAAGAAACCUUAUGUGAUUUACUAUGUAAGUAAAACUUUAAAUAGUGCUCAAAUGAAUUACACUACCACUAAAAAAGAAUUACUUAUAGUAGUAUUUGCAUGUGAUAAGUUCAGAUCUUAUCUUGUUGGCUCACCUGUUGUUGUUUUUAGUGAUCAUGCAGCAUUGAAAUAUCUUCUCUCUAAAAAAUAUUCUAAGGCUAGAUUGGUGCGGUGGAUUUUGUUACUUCAAGAAUUUGAUAUCACAAUCAAAGACAAGAAAGGCACCGAAAAUGUUGUUGCAGAUCAUUUGUCAAGAUUGACAACCGAUUCGAGAUCUGACAUCACACCAAUCGAUGACUACUUUCCUGAUGAAUCUUUAUUUUUUGUCUCUACAAUGCCUUGGUUUGCUGAUAUUGUUAAUUUUCUUGUUUUAGGACAAUUGCCAGCUCAUUGGAGUACCCAAGAUAAAAGAAAGUUCUUAAACGAAGUGAAGAACUUUUAUUGGGAAUCCCUCGAGCCAUGAUAAGUGAUGGUGGAACACAUUUCUGCAACAAGCCAUUUGAGUCUUUAAUGAAGAAAUAUGGAAUCACACACAAAGUUGCCACCCCUUAUCACCCUUAGACGAGUGGACAGGUAGAACUUGCUAAUAGGGAGAUCAAACAGAUCUUAGAGAAAACAGUGAACCCUAAUCGGAAAGACUGGUCUUUAAGACUUAAUGAUGCACUUUGGGCUUAUCGAACUGCAUAUAAAACAUCAUUAGGUAUGUCACCUUAUAGACUAGUCUAUGGAAAACCUUGUCACUUGCCUGUGGAAAUUGAACAUAAAGCUUAUUGGGCUAUUAAAGCUUUCAAUUCAAACAUUGAUGAUGCUAGUCAGCUGCGAAAAUUGCAAAUAAAUGAGCUUGAGGAAAUAAGAAAUGAUGCAUAUGACAAUUCAAGAAUUCAUAAAGCAAGAAUCAAAGAGUUUCAUGACAAGAAAAUACUGAGAAAAACAUUCAAUGUUGGUCAAAAAGUCUUGCUUUAUAAUUCUCGACUCCAUUUAUUUCCUGGAAAACUAAGAUCAAGAUGGAGUGGUCCUUUUAUUGUGAAACAUGUGUAUCCAUAUGGGGCCUGUGAUAUCGAAAAUCCAAAGAAUGGUAAUGUUUUCAAGGUAAAUGGCCAUCGUUUGAAAGUUUAUUUUGAUAAUUUUUCAGUUGAAAAUGACUCUAUUGAAUUGGGUGAUCCUGUAUAUAAAGAUUGAUUCUUUUUCUCACAUUGUUUUUGUGUGACUUUUGUUUUGCUAGUCUCUCACCCCGGUCAAAUGGCGGAUAACGGUACUCCGUGACUCUUUUAAGUCGGUUCUUUCAGUUUCCCAUGAUAACUGAUAUCUGUGUAUAUAUUUGUGCAAUUCUUUGCUCUUUCUCCUUUCUUUGAAUCUCUCCCCCAAUUCUUAGUUGAAAAUGGACACCACUAUUGAAAAAUUGAAAAAGUAUUUUCCCGCUCUGCCUCAGAAUGCGAUUACAAAAAUUUACCGUGCUAGGUGUGAAAGAUUGAGGUUGUUAAUGAACCAUGGAAUUCCUGAAGAUAUUCAUUGGCUAAUUGAAGCAAAGGUCCGAUUAUCAGGUGAGUCCUCCAAUUCUUUCAUUUCAUACAUGCCUGGAACAGGUAAAAGCACUUUUGCAAAGAAACGUCAUGCAAAACGACUGAAAGUCUGUCAUAGAUGUGCCAGAUGGACUUGUAAUGCGACAUGGCGUUCUUUAGGAAUGAUAUCUGUAAACCGUGAAGAUAAAAUACAAUUAAUUAAGGAUGGCCUAAGUAAGGGGUCUUUAGAUAAUCUUCUAUUGACUCUUGAGACGCACCCUAGUGGAGAUGUGCAUCGUGCAAUUUAUGAUUUAUGGCCACAAUUCCAUAAAGAACAUGCUCGACUUAGUUUUGGGAAUCUGACUAAAAAAGACCUUGUUUGCCAGUUUUUAAGAAAACUGGAUGGGAAGCCUAUCCCCGACCCAUAGAGGGCGUUUAAGCCGUUCUUGGACGUAAAACCAAGGAAAGAUGUGAGCCACAAUCACAACUACCUGUACAUACACAUGCUUUUUCAAAAUAAAUAAUAAAGAGAGAGAGAGAGAGAUGAGACUACACUGGCCUACAUAUAGGUGGUAUGAUUGCAUUUUCAAUUUCUCAUCUAUAAAUUCUUCUCUUCCUUCCCUUCAUUUCUACUCAACCCAUACAUUCAUCAAAUAUAGAAGUGUGUAGAAAUGGCAGGUUCCUCAAGUCAUCACAUAAACAAUAUUUGUGUUUUCGGUGGAUCCAGUCCUGGGAAAGAAAAAGAGUUUUUAGAAUCAGCAAAUCAUCUUGGUCAGGUACUAGCUGAGCGAAAGAUUCAUUUAGUGUAUGGAGGAGGCAGCCUUGGGUUAAUAGGGGGAGUGUCAAUAGCUGCAUUUUUAGGAGGUAGUCAAGUUUUGGGGGUUGUCCCCAAAGCUUUAGCACAAGGGGACAUCAUUGGAAAAACAAUUGGAGAGGAAUUACAGUCCCCACAAUGUCUGAUCGACUGAAUGCAAUGUUUAACCAUGUGAUGCCUUCAUUGCCUUACCAGGUGGUCUGGGCACAUUGGAAGAGAUCUUUCAUAUUUCCUCUUGGGCCCAACUGCACAUUCACCAUAAACCCAUAGGUUUGUUAAAUGUUAAUGGUUUUUAUGAUAAGUUGUUGUCUUUUCUUGAUCAUGUUGGAACAGGAAUUUCUAACAUCUUCAGCACGACAAAUCAUAAUCUCUGCUGCUACUGCUGAACAAUUGAUUGACCAACUACAAUCUUUCAUCCCUGUAAUUAAUCCCUCCAUGAGUCGCAUAAAUUGGUCAACUAAGGAAAGCCGUAAAAAGCUUAGAUUGGAUUUGAGCCUUCGUUUGUAAAAACUUUGUAUCUUUUGGUUUUAUUAUUGUGUUUUGUUGCUUCUUAUAUUUGUUUAAGUGUGUUUCAGGUUUGUUAGUGUUCGCUAUUUCAGGUGAUGUCUUCUAUACUCUAUCUUUCUACCUUAAGACAUUGAGGACAAUGUCUCAUUUUGGUUAGGGGAAAGGGUAGUAGUUGAUAUUUAAAAAAAAAACUAUGUUUUCUAUUUAAUAAACUAUUUGCAAAACUGUUGUUACUAGGAUGGCAGAGUAAAAGGAGUUCUUUUGUUAAAGUGACUCUUGAGAUGCAUCUUAGUAAACAUUCUUAACAAGGUCUAUCAGAAUACUUCUUGAAAUAUUCAGGUUUACAAACUCUCGUAUUGUUAGCACUUGAUUAUGCUCAUAUGCUUAUUUAACAAGUAUUUUUAAAUCUUCAUUUUCACACACACAUACACACUUUAACAUAUGAUUGUGGGUUGCACAUUGGAUUAUUACAUUAUUUAUGUUCUUUUGUUAAAGGUAACAACUAAGGAAAAGGGAUAGUACAUAAUUUGCAAAAAAAAUAACAAAAAAAAAUAAUGAUAAUAAAAAGGUAGAUAAUUUUGGUUUCGUAGCCUCCCUAACCUAACCAAUUAAGCCCGAAGGGGUGUUUUAACACUUAAUACCCUAAAGUCAACUGACUUGGGAGCUAUUGGCCCAACGCUUGUUACAUGGGUUAAGGAGAAAAGCUUAAGGGAAUCAAACAUUGCACUAUCUAUGUAUCAGUAUCUGCAACCCGAGUUGCUAAGCUCGUAGGGGUGUCUCAACACCUAAUGCCCUAAGACCAACUGGUCUGGGAGUCAUUAGCCUAAAGCUCGUUACAUGGGUUAAAGAUACAUUGUGUUUUAAGUUGUAUGUGUAUAUAAAUAAAAAAUAAAUAAAAAAAAAAAAAGAAAAAAUAAUCCCAACCCAAGGAAGUUAACCUUAAACAUUAGAAAAAAUUUUUUUUCUUCUAAAGCCCCAUAACUAUAUGUUGAUAUUUUGAGCACAAAAGAAAGGUUUAGUAAUAUCUUGUUUAGAGGUAUUGAGCAUAUAUAUGAAUUUAAUGAGAGUUUGUUUAUCUUGAUAGAUUAAAGUAAGUUGAAUGAUGAAUGCCUUGCUUUAUGGAAUUUGCAAAUUGUUUUUUCUAUUUUAACGCUUUGAUUACUAGGAACUAGUAAUAAGCUGGUUGGGGGGUGUGAUUAGUACUUAAAAGCGCAUGUUUAUCAAAGGUUUAUAUCAUUAUUUUGCACUUGAAGUAUCAAUAACUCCUUAACUAAAGCAUGUUUUAUAAUAACAAGUCUAAUACUAUAAGAUACCUUAAUAUAUUGUAAAUGUUCAUCUUAAAUGCAGACAUAUCACAUAAAUGAAAGGAUUGAUUGAUGAAUUCAACUACUGAAAUUUAUGAAGAUAAAGAGAGGGUGAAGCUUAGAAAAGAGAUGUUGGUGCAGUCCAAACUGGAACACUAUUCGGUAAUUGGGUCAUAUCUCGAGUUCUAGAUGUCCAAAUGAUCUCAAAGUUUUACACAAAUUCAGUAAGAAAUAGGCCUACAACUUUCAUGUGGACACCAAGAUCUAAGAAGGCCGUUUUGAAAUCCAAAUUAUAGCAACAACGGAGAAGUCCGAAUUUGUCCUGCAGCCCAGACACUGUUCAGUGUUCAGCCCAUAUCUUGAGUUUUAGAAGUCCAAAUGACCUCCAUUUUUUUUCCUGGAAAGCUAAGUCAAUUUCCUACAACUUUAAUGUUUCAAGUGGACCCAGUUCUGAUGCUAGACAUUUCAUUUUAUUCUGACAAUAAGAUAAGGAUUUUCACAAAGUCAAGAGUUGGCCACCCACUCAACAAUUAGUCAUCAAAUCAAUAAUUCCGAAUUUUGGCCUAUAAAAGGAGGCAUUUGCCAUGUAUUUAGGGGCUUGGUUGUUCAGAUCAAGAUGCUCUUUCUCUCUUUAUAUUUUUUAAUUCUUAAGUUUUGCUUUCAUUAAUUUCUUGUUUAUGCUUUUCAUUUCCUUUCCUUAGUUAACUUGUAUCUUAUUUAUGUUCUUGUUUUAUUUAUGUUUCUCUUCUUCAUUAUGUUUAGCUAAGUUUAUUAUGUCAAGGUGAAAAGGUUACACUAAUGGUGUAAGAAUAAGUAUAGUGUAAACUCAACAUGAACCUUAAUGUUUAAUAUUAACAUGUCUUAUCUUUUUAUCUUACUAAUUCUUAAUACCUUGCUUGUUAAAUGGUUAAUCUAGAUUUGUGUUGUAUAACACUUGGUACAACAAAUGCUUGGCACUCUCAUAGCCCAACCAUAUGGUAUUACCUACACAUGUGCUAUGAAAGGAACUUGAUUUGUUGUUAACAUAGGUUAGCAUCAUGAAUUCCUGACAAUAUUUAAAAGUUUGGUGUUAUGUAAACAAGAUAAUUUAUAAUAAUAUAUAAUAUAUUAUAGGGUUGGGCCGGCCCAAAUAAAUGGGCCAGGCUCAGCCCCAAAAAAGGGGCGGGCUGAGAUCGGCCCGAAAUGUCAUGGGGCCGAUCUCGGCCCAAACAAUGAAAUUGGGCCGAUCUAGCCCGAAAAACUUCUACAGUCUCGGCCAAGACCGGCCCAGACUUGUAAGGCUGGGCCAGCAUCGGGCUGGCCCAACACCUUACGACCCAGCGGGGGGGGGGAAUUAAUUUUCUUCUCCCCCGCCUCCUGCAUGCAAAACUUUGCAUGCAGGAGGCAACGCCUGCUUCGAAAGCAAAGAGGGAAGAAGAAAAUGUACCUGGCAUGGAGGAGGCGGUCGCUGGUGGUGCUGCGGUGGCGUGGCUCGUGGACGGCGGCUCCGGGCGGCGGUGCUGCGGCUGUUUCCAAGUGCUCGGUUCUCUCUCUCUCUCUCCUCCCUUCUCCCUGUUUCGGUUCUCUCUUUUUUCCUUUUGUUUUCAGUUUAGUUCCAGUAUUCCCUUCUCUCUCUCUCCUGCCUACUGUCUCUUCUCCUCCCUUCUCGGUUUUUUUUUUUUUUUGUUUCCCGGUCCUCUUUUCUCUUCGGUUUUCCUUCCUAUUUAUAGGGGGGGGAAACGGUGCCUUUUGCUAGUGCGUCUUGGGAGUAAAUCACGCAACGGCUGGUCGGCCAUUGACGCGUUCGGUGGUGGUGGUGGGGCGAGGAGAGAGAGGCGGGAAGUUUGAAAAGUUUAGUUUUUUCUUCUGUUGCAGGUUCGGGGGGGGGGGGAGAGGAAGAUGAACAGUGUCGUUCAAAAUGACACCGUUCUGGUCCUUUUUUUUUUAUAUAUAUGAAACGACGUCGUUUUGGAUAAAACGCGUCUUUUUUCACUUUGGUCCUUGGCCUCUGAUUUAUGCAAUUAAGCCCUCAAUUGAUCAAUAAACUUCCAAUUUCUUCAAUUAGACCCCUGAACCGAAUAAUUUCAGCCCCUCCAUUUACGCGCCUCUUCCAAUUUGGUCCCUGGUUUCGGAUUUUCUUAAUUAAGUCCUUAAUUGGCCAUUAAACUUCAAUAUUUAUGCAAUUAAGCCCCUGAUUUGACCCAAUAAAUUCCUAAAAAAUAUAUUUUGGCCCCAGAACUUAAAUUUCUUCUAAUUAAAGCCCAAAUUGACUUAAAAAUUAAUUUUUCUUGCAAUCAAAUCCUUUAUAAACUCAAAUAAAAAUCCAAUUAAGUCCAUAAACAUCCAAAUUUGGGUUUUUCUCCUCAAAAUUCAAAUUUUCCUUCUCAAUAGGGCUUUCUUUCUUCAAGAAUAUACUGUCAAAAAUUCAAUCCUUGUAUUUUUAAAUUCCUUGACCAAUUUCCUGACUGUUUUCCGAGCGCUUCUGCCUCCUGUUAUUUUUCUAACCUCUUUUGGCUAUUUAUUUUAUUUUUCAUGGGGACCCAAAAAUGGGUUACAACACUAUACUUGUUUGAAAUACCAUUAGUGGAUCCUCUAACCUUGACAUUUAUUUUUAUCAUUGUUUAAUCCUUACAUUAAUCUUCCAUCUCAAAGUUCUCAUUAAUUUAUUCCUCUUAUUUUUAUUAUUAUUAUUAUUACUACUACUAAUAUUAUUACUAUUAAUAUUAAUAUUAAUAUUAAUAUUAUUAUUAUUAUUAUUAUUAUUAUUAUUAUUUUUAUAUUCUUGUUAUAUUUUAUGUACGUUAAGUAUGCUCUGUGUUUGAUCAAGGAUCCUGAUAUUGUUGGCCUUGCCUUGUUCAUUCGCAUCAGAAAUCUGUUUAUAUUAUAUAAUAUAUCUCUUUGAUCUUUUCAUAAACUCAGUAUAUAGGCUGGAAACCUGUGACCCGAUCUUUUAGAUCAUUCUCAGGUAUAACAACGCCACGUACUGAAUAUUAUUAUUAUUAUUAUUAUUACUAUUAAUAUUAUUAUUACUAUUACUAUUAUUGUUAUUAUUGUUGUUGUUAUUGUUGUUGUUAUUGUUGUUAUUAUUGUUAUUGUUGUUGUUGUUGUCUUGUUAUUUAUAAUUUAUAUAAUUAACCUCUUUGUGGUUCGACCUCGGUCUUGCCGGGUUAUUUAUUACUGGAAAUCUAAUUUAUGAGCAUGAUAUGGAUGCAAAAAGAGGAAACAAAGACACCUAAAAGUACACAAAAAGUUAUAAUCAGGAGUGUGAUAAAACAGACACUCAAAUGAAGAUUUAUUUUGGAGAACAACAUUAGGCAUGCAAUUAAUAAAAUAUAUCGAUGAUUCAAAAACAUGGAUCCAAAAUCGCAAUGGUGCACUACACCGGGAUGCGAUUAACAAAAUAUAACGAUGAUUCAAAAACAUAGUUCAAAAAUCACAAUGGUGCACUACACUGGCCUAAACUUGUUAGGACAAUUUUGAUAAUAUGUUGAUGACGAUGUUCGACAGUGCCAUUUUGUUCAUGAGUAUGAGGACAGUUUAACCAAUGAUGAAUACCAAUGGACUGAAAGUGAUCCAGAUUGGGAUCUCUUGGCAGACACCUCCUCUCAUUUACCUGCAACAUCAGUGUACUCUAAAGGUGGCGAGUCAGUGAGACUUCGAGAUGAUUCAGUGUCCCGUCAAGCAGAUGUGUCCAUUCCCAAUGUAUUAGACAAACAGGGGGGAGAUAAUAUACCCCUACUACUGGAACCGGUAGUUGGAUCAAACCCAUUUUAGAUCCUCCUUUUACGGAAAAUAGUUAGAGCUGUAGCAGCAGGAAUGGCAACGGGAGCCUCAAGUACAACUUCUAGAUCAAGGGGAGUUGUCACUAUAGUACAAUGGGUGAAGGGUAUGAGAGAGAUGGGUUGUAUGACUUACCAUGGCGAAGAGGAUGUUGAUGUUGCUGGGAAUUCGCUGAGGAAAGUGGAAAGAGUUAUAAAUCAGAUGCAGGUGCUAGAGGAGCUACGAGUGGAUUGCAUGACUCAGCUAUUGGUUGAUAAUUCCCACUCUUGGUAGGAGACCAUUAGAGGGAGGAGAUCAGAGGAGGUAUUGAGAUGGAGGGACUUUUGUGAAGAGUUUGAGGAGAGGUACUAUUCUUGGGAGCAUAAAAGGGAGAAAGAACAUGAGUUUUUGGAUUUGAGGUAGGGAGAUUUGACAGUUCUAGAGUAUGAGAGGAGAUUUCAGGACUUAGCAACUUUUGCCUCCAUUUACCUUCCCACAAAGCGCCACAUGGUAAAGAGGUUCAAUGUUGGAUUGAGGUGGGAACUAAGAACAAUAUUGAUAGCUAUGCAGUUUCAGUCUGUGCGGGAAUUGGUACGGGCUACUCAGGGUAUGGAAAGGGUAAUAAGGGAUACCUCGAAACUAGUGGUUGAUGUAACCAUAUUAUUCGAUAGUUUUACCCGCAUUUAGCUAGUGUUUUGCGUAUGUUAUUUAUAUAAAAUGCCUUGAUAUUCUUUGUUUUAUAUUUUGAAGGCAUUUUUGGAUGAAAGAUGCAAAAAGGAGUAAAUUGGAGAAAAAUAAAAAGAGAAAGAUCAUGGAAAUCACAUCCUUCAAAGUCAAAUCUCGUAGUCUGCCAAUGUUGACCUUUGCCCAUUCAAAAUUCAAUAUCUGGAGCUUCAGAAGUCCAAUUGAUGCAAACUCAAUUUUGUUGGAUUCCUUACUCAAAGCUCUAUAAACGCUCCAAAUAUCAGCCAAUGUCAUAUGAGGGAGAUAGGAGUUUUCAAAGAUGACAGCUGAAUUCUGCCAGCAAGCAGGUUGCGUGAAGAUUCAGAAGCAUCCAAACUGACAUACAAGUGUUUCCAACAAUUUAGCUCCUUUAGUAAAUAUUCUAGAAGGUCAAGGAAGGCAGCCACCAACCUCAAGCCAGUCGCCUUCACACUACCACCAUCUAUUGAUGUUCACACUUGAACUUUGAUUUUCUUAGUUACAAUUUGUGUAUAAAUAGAGGGAGAGUGGAAGGAGGUGGAAGCAAGAAGUGAGGAAACACAAACUCUCCUCUCUACAAAUCAGAAAUUAUGUAUUCUUUCAUCUUUAGGAGUAGUUGUUCAAUAGAUAUGCAAGGCUAAGCUCGUUUUCUUGGUUGCAAAGACACAACAAACCUUCGGAUUUCAAGAACCGUGAGAUUUAUUCUUCCUUUUAUUUUUAGUUUAUGUUAUGAAUGAGUAUGAUUGUUUUCCUAUGCAUAUUUCCUAUGAUUGUUUAUCUUAAUUGCUAGAGCGGACUCUAAGUUAUUAUUGUGAACAAUCUAUUGCUAAGUUUGAUAUCAAAACCGGAGUUGUGGUAUAUAAACUUGCGAAGCAACUAAGCUUGAUAAUUGUAGCGGAACUACGUUAUUAAACUUAGGGAGAACAUUCGAUCAUAGCAACACAAAUUGACAACUUGGUUGUUAAGAUUAAUGAAUUUAUCUGAAUCUUAAGACUGCCAUUGGAUUAAAUCAUUAGUGCGGACACUAUGAUUGUUUGUUGGUUAGGGCUAGUUAUACGGUGGAUCCAUUAAUUAACCAAUAUCAAGAAAAGAUAAAAUUCAUAAUAUAAACUGGAGUUUCGUUUCAAGGAUCGGUUCUAAUUUCUGUUGGUGGAUAUGUGCUUGCAACCAAGGUUUGUUUUCUUGAUAUAUUUCAGUUUCAAUUGAUUUUGUUUGCUAGUUUAAUUUCUGCCAUAGUUUAAAUCAUUGCAAAUCAAACCCCCCCAUUGCAUAACGUAUAACAUAAAAAUCUGAACUAAACCUUCCUCGUGGGAUCGACCCCUUGCUUGCUCUAUACUAUCUUGUGUGUUGUGUUUGAAGCUAGGGUAAUUAAUUUGUACGACCGCGACAUCGCAACAGUGGUCAAGCAGAGUCGGGUAAUUGGAGCUAAGAGAAGAGAUUUUGAGUUUUUGACUGGGAGACCUCCUCUCCCAAAGAAAGAGAAGAGCGGGCAAUCAUCAAGACAAUUCCAGAGAAGAGGCGAGAGUUUCACCCCAAGAGGGAGCUUAGGAGGAUCUAGAUGAGUCAGUGGAAGAGGAUCUUGGGGAGGAUAGUCUAUACAGGAAGUCAAAAUUGUUGGAGGGUCUAUAGAGCAAAAUGGACUAGUAUAUCCAUUUUGUCAGAGGUGUGAGUAGCGACAGCUUGGAGAUUGCUCUGCGAUGCCAGGGAGAUGUUAUAUUUGUAAAGUGAGGGGCAUCGAUGGAAAGAGUGCCCGCAUGUAGGCAGAGGCUGUUACUAUUAUGGGGACAUGAUUCGCAAGAAGAAGGAUUGUCCUCGUAGAACUAUCGAGGGAGCCCAUGGUUAGAGGAUUAAGGUUUAAAGCCAGCAGCAAUUGGUGACAAUUAAUCGUACUAUCAGGCCUACCCAGUCAGGGACGAGUGCUACUUAUGGGAGGCCUAGAAAUCAAGAGGGGAGGACUUAGGGUCGGGUAUAUCACAUGACCUACGAGGAUAUGGGAGAUGUACCUGAUGUGGUGGCAAGUACUUUAUAGUUAGAUACGAUGCAAGUUUAUGCUUUAAUUGAGCCUAGAGCUAGUCAUUCCUUUGUACCUUAUAGAAUUGUGAAUAACUUGCAUGUGUUAUCUAGUAACUUGGGUGUAGGAGUGACGGUUAGUACACCUCUAGGGAGAAAAUACAUAUUGAUGAUAUUUAUAGAGGGGUAAAACUAUAUAUUGAAGGGUUAGAAUUAAAGGUAGAUCUUAUGCCGUUAGAGCUAUAUGAUUUUGAUGUGAUUCUGGGCAUGAAUUAGCUAAGUAAACAUAAGGCACAAGUGGAUUGUUUCACCAAGAUGGUGACAAUCCAAGGAAUAGGUGAUAAAAGAGUAGUGUUUAAAGGGGAAAUAAAAGUAAUUCCAAGUUGUGUAAUCUUUUAGUCUUGGUGGCAACAAAAUUACUGAGGAAGGGUUGUUCUACUUGGUUAGUCCUUGUAAGGGAGCUGGAAAAGGGUAGCAUAGAUUUGGCUAGUAUUUCCAAAAAAGUUGCCUAGAUGGUCCAGUUAGAGAAAUUGAAGUUUUCAUAGAAACUAUCCCAAGAGUUUCUCCUAUAGCCCAGUCUCCUUAUAGGAUGGUGAUUAGUACUUAAAAGUGCAUAUUUAUCAAGGUUUUAUAUCAUCAUUUUGCACUUAAAGUAUCAAUAACUCCUUAACUAAAGCAUGUUUUAUAAUAACAAGUCUAAUACUAUAAAAUGCCUUAAUAUAUGGUAAAUGUUCAUCUUAAAUGCAGGUCUAUCAUAUAAAUCAAAGGAUUGAUUGAUGAGUUCAAGUAUGGAAAUUGAAAGGACAAAGAGAGGGCCAAACUUCAAAAAGAGAUGUUGGUGCAGUCCAAACUGGAACACUAUUCGGUAAUUGGGUCAUAUCUCGAGUUUUAGAUGUCAAAAUGAUCUCAAAUGUUUACACAAAUUCAGUAAGACAUAGGCCUAUAACUUUGAUGUGGACACCAAGAUCUAAGAAGGCUGUUAGCAAGUCCAAAUUAUAGCAACAACGGAGAAGUCUGAAUUUGUCCUGCAGCCCGAACACUAUUCAGUGUUUGGCCCAUAUCUGGAGUUCUAGAAGUCCAAAUGACCUCCAUUUUUUUUUUCUGGAAAGCUAUGUCAAUUGCCUACAACUUUAAUGUUUUUAAGUGGUCCCAUUUCUGAUGCUAGCAAUUUCGUUUUAUUCAGACAAGAAGAUAAGGAUUUUCACAAAGUCAAGAGUUGGCCACCCACUCAAUAAUUAGUCAUCAAAUCAAUAAUUCCGAAUUUUGGCCUAUAAAAAGAUGCAUUUGCCAUGUAUUUUAGGGCUUGGUGGUUCGGAUCAAGAUCAUGCUCUUUAUUUCUCUCUUUAUAUUUUUUUUUGUAAUUCUUAAGUUUUGCUCUCAUUAAUAUCUUAUUUAUGCUUUUCAUUUCUUUUCCUUUCCUUAAUUAACUGGUAUCUUAUUUAUGUUCUUGUUUUGUUUAUUUAUGUUUCUCUUCUUUAUUAUGUUUAGCUAAGUUUAUUAUGUCAAGGUGAAAAGGUUACACUAAUGGUGUAAGAAUAAGUAUAGUGUAAAGUCAACAUGGACCUUAAUGUUUAAUAUUAACAUAUCUUAUCUUUUUAUCUUACUAAUUCUUAAUACAUUGCUUGUUAAAUGGUUAAUCUAGAUUGUGUUGUAUAACACUUGGUACAACAAAUGCUUGGCACUCUCAUAGCCCAACCGUAUGGUAUUACCUACACCUGUGCUAUGAAAGGAACUUGAUUUGUUGUUAACAUAAGUAAGCAUCAUGAAUUCCUGAAAAUAUUUAAAAGUUUGGUGUUACGUAAAUAAGAUAAUUAAUAUGAUCAUGUUAACAAUUUAUAAUGAGCUAUUAAUAACAAAUCAUCUUAUUGGAACCUCCUUCGUGUGUGGUUUCCAAAUUGAGUAAUAAGAGUUUAUAUUGUACUUGUUUGAAAUACCAUUAGUGGAUCUUUUAACCUUGACAUGUGUUUUUAUUAUUGUUUAAUUCUUACAAUAAUCUUUCAUCUCAAAGUUCUCAUUAAUUUCUUCCUCUUCUUUUAUUAUUACUACUACUACUACUACUACUAUUAUUAUUUACAUUCUUGUUAUAUUUUAUGUAUGUUAAGUAUUCUCUGUGUUUGAUCAAGGAUCCUGACAUGGUUGGUCUUGCCUUGUUCAUUCACAUCAGAAAUCUAUUUAUAUUAUAUAAUAUAUCUCUUUGAUCUUUUCAUAAACUCAGUAUAUAGGCUGGAAACCUGUAACCCGAUCUUUUAAAUAUUCUCAGGUAUAACAACGCCACGUACUGAGUAUUAUUAUUAUUAUUACUAUUAAUAUUAUUAUUACUAUUACUAUUAUUGUUAUUAUUGUUGUUGUUGUUGUUGUAUUGUUAUUUAUAAUUUAUACAAUUAACCUCUCUUUGGUUCGACCCCAGUUUUGCCGGGUUAUUUAUUACUUCGACACUCCUACACUUAGGAGAAGACAUUAAUCUUUUGGUCGUGUCAGAUGGCACCUAUGGAAUUGGCAAACUGAAGGUCCAGCUUCAAGAAUUGUUAGAUAAAGGCUUCAUCCAACCUAGUAACUCGCCCUAGGGAGCUUCGGUGUUGUUUGUAAAGAAGAAGGAUGGCACCUUUCGUUUGUGCAUUGAUUAUCGUCAAUUGAAUAAAAUGACGGUGAAGAACAGGUACCCACUCCUAUGAAUAGAUGACUUGUUUGAUCAAUUGAAGGGUGCUAGGGUGUUCUCUGAGAUAAAUUUGAGAUCUAGAUACCACCAGUUAAGAAUCAAAGAGCAAGGCAUACAAAGAUUGCAUUUCAAACCUGUUAUGGGCAUUACGAAUUUUUGGUGAUGCCUUUCGAGUUAACCAAUGCUCCUGUAACAACCCUAAUUUUUCUAUUAGUUUAUUCAUUAAUCUCUCCCCCUAUAAAGGGUAGAUGAAGCAAAAUUUUAUUUUUAUUUUUUACUCGCCGAAAUUUCUAAUGAAAUUUCGGCAGAGUCUCCUCUAUACCGAGAGAUCCCAAGUUAUCGACAAUGUACCUGCACACAUUUAGAAUCACAUCUCAUCCACAAUCACAUUCAUGUUUAGUACAAUCAACUGCAUAACUCAUUCUAGAUUAUGCUCAGGACCAUAUUCAUUCCCAAACUCCAUCUUACAUCACAUACACAAGUUAAUAAUUAAAAGAGCCAAUUUCAACACGAAAUUUCAUAUACAUAUAUAUAUACACAACACAGUUUAAUAUUCUAACAUAGUCUAGUACAUUCUAAUAUCCCAAGCAUAGGUUGGUACAUUUAAUAUUUCAGAAACAAAAUAUUAUGAAUAGAAUAUUCCAUAUAGGUUACAUGUUUACUGCAUGACAAAAUUACACCACUAAUUCCUAAGUUCCUAACUUAUACAAAAAGGGAUCAAAGGACUUUAAAUCUAUUCCUAACGUGAAUGGGAGGGACCUGCAAAAAUAUAAAUUUUCCAUAUAAUAAAAAACAAAUGAUUAAAAUACAAGGAAUUUACAGAAUAAAAUUAAACAACAUAUAUAUCUACUUAAAUCAUAUAAAAUUCUAAAUACAACCACAAACCCCUUUUAAUGGUUAUAUAAGAAUUAUUUAUUCUUCUUCUUUUUCUUCUUUUCCUGUUAACUACUUCUUCCCCCCCCCUUCAUCAAAAAGACUAUUGCUGACACCAAUGACCUCCAUUAGUGUCUUUAGUUGCCCGUCCUGGAACAACUAAUUAGUUUCAUGAAAAUGCCGACACAAAUGUAAACGUUUGUGUCAUUAACUAUUUUUAAAACUAAAAUAGUUAAUCAUUGUUCCAUAUUACCUUGGGAGGUUCUCAGGUAUGCCGAUGUCAAAAUUCUUGACAUCAUUAGCUUCCACCUCGAAAAGCUAAUCAAGUUUAUAAAUUUUGCCGAUAUCAACGUCACGUGCCGAUAUCAUUAACUAUUCUGAAACCGAAUAGUUAAUCAAGUUUAUAAGUUUUGCCGAUAUCGACGUCACGUGCCGAUAUCAUUAACUAUUCUGAAACCGAAUAGUUAAUCAAGUUUAUAACUUUUUGCCGAUAUCGACGUCACGUGCCGAUAUCAUUAACUAUUCUGAAACCGAAUAGUUAAUCAAGUUUAUAUUUUUCCUCUCACGUACCAGUAAUGCCGAUGUUAUCCAGCUUGGUUAACAUCAUUAGCCUCCCAUAUCAGGGACAAACAAAUCAAAUUCGAGAAAUAAUCAUUACCAAAAUUCCUUGUUACGAUCUAUUUCCUCCAAAAGAACCCAUAAAUUAAAUCUAGUUCUCCGUUCCAUUUUAUUUUUCAUCAUUUAACCUUUCCUUUCCCUUUUUUUUUUCCUCAUCAAUAAGCACCAAAGUUUUAUAGUUCAAAAGUUAGUUAAAAUAAUUAUUAACUAGAGGAGAUAUAGGUACCAAGUACCUACCUGUUGUGGACGCUCGACUUGCGUUCCCCUGUGGUUGUUGUACUCCUCUUGCGGUUCCUCCUGAAACCACAAACACCCAUCAUUAUUCCAUAUUAAUCCACAUAUCACAUGCAACAUCAACAUUGAAAAUAAUAUUCAUUUCUCUUUUACCAAAUCUUUUCUUUCUCAUCACUUACAUUCCCCAUUAUUAUCCUUUAACUUUUCAGCUCAUUAGUAGUCCAAGUGGACAUCAUAAAUUCAAUUUUUGAUUACAGUUUAUUCUUUUUGAAGAUCAAGACACACUUUAUGAAAGGCAAGAAAACAAAUUCUACCCUUGAUAUGGCUAAAUUUCACGUUUUAUCAACUUGGCCGAAUCUGCCAACAGGGUGGCAGCUCGACCUCUCAGUUUUUAUUUGUAUCUGGAGUUCUAGGACUCCAAAUUAGGCGAGGUCAGAUUCGUUGGAAAGCUAACACUCCUAGAUACACUUAUAUGAGGGGAACCUCCCUGAAUUUUGUAGUUUUUAGGUCCAAAAUCCCCCCAGGAAACAGGGCAACGAACCUGCCCUGUUUUGCUAAUGGAGAAGGUAUCUCCAAUUCAUCUUAAAUCCCUGCUUCCUCAUCAGUCACAGCCAUGCCUUCCCUUUAUUCAUGGCAUUCCCGUCUCAUUUUAUGUCCUCUUAAGGUCACUGGUACCAAAUUAAUAAAUUAAGCACACCAUAAGUUCUCAUUCCCUCUGCAGUAUCCAGCAGAGAAUGUGGCCAAGGGAACCAAGAGUUCCCGAUGAUGAUUUCUGUCAAAUGGAGGGUUCCUUCCAAUCCCACCGGUCAUUAGUAGAUAAGUGUAAUAAGAACAACAUAUCCAAAACUUAUCAUGAUCCAACGGUGGAGUCCGGAGAUAUGGCCACUGGAGUAUUAUUGGUUUUACUCCAAAAUCUGCAGCUCUUUCUAUCCAUUUUUCUCUUCAUCUUUUUCUUUAAGGCACUUAGAUUAAUCUAAUCCAUUUAACCUCACUCAUUUCUGCAUUUUCCCAACAUUUUAUGUUAAAGAACCCUAAUUCCCAAUUCAAGAAAGGCAUAAACUUCUAAUCAAAUUGAAGUUGAUUUCAUAGAAAUUGGAAUUAGAACUCCUUGGAUGGAAAUCUAAACUUUACUUCACAAAUUUUAGAAGAAUCUUAGCCUUCUUCUCCUUGUAUGUUGUCAGCCACUUUUCCCCCUCUUCUCUUCACAAUUCUUCACUUUUCUUCUUGUUAAUUCUUCCACUCGAUUGUGUUCCUCCACUUAAUAAUUCCAAGGCUUAUUUGGGUUUACUAAUGUUAGGUGUUUACUCCAAGUUAUGAUGAAAGAAAAAUCUAAAAUUCUCCCCCCUCCUUAUUCUUAUUAUCAGCGGGCCAUGGAUGAGAGAAGGGAAGGGUAUUUAUAGUCCCAUCUCUUUUUAAUUCCAUUUUGGCCACAUCUUUCACCUUUUUGUUUUUUUUUCAGUAUUAUUUUAUUAUUAUUAUUUUUGCUUUAUUUUAUAUUAUAACAAUUUGGAAUUAUUAUAAACCUCCCCCUCUUUGUAUACUUUAUUCUCGAGCUUCACAGCUCCGACUAUGCUUAUGGACUUGAUGAAUUGGGUGUUUCGGCCUUACCUGGACCAAUAUGUGGUUGUAUUUAUUGAUGAUAUCUUAGUGUAUUCAAACUCUCACUUGGAGCAUGAACAACUUCUAAGGGUUGUGCUACAGACCUUAAGGGAGAAACAAUUAUAUGCAAAGUUGGAUAAGUGUGAGUUUUGGCUCCAGGAAGUGGUAUUUUUGGGCCAUGUAAUAUCCACAGAAAGAAUACUUGUGGUCCAAAAAAGGUUGAGGCCGUGUUAUAAUGGGAAAGGCCUAUCAAUGUGACAGAAAUCCAGAGCUUCUUGGGCCUUGCUGGAUAUUACCGCAAGUUUAUUGAGGGGUUCUCCACCAUAACAUCACCUUUAACUAAGCUGACCCGUAAGGAGGUCAAGUCUGUUUGGUCAAAAGACUGUGAAGCAAGCUUUAGAGAACUAAAGGAGAGGCUUACUUCUACUCAUGUGAUGGCCCUCCCAUCGGGGACAAAAGGCUUUGUGGUAUAUAGUGAUGCCUCAAAAAAGGGUCUGGGAUGUGUAUUGAUGCAACACGGGCAUGUGAUUGCUUAUGCAUCAAGACAGCUAUAGUCGCAUGAGGUGAAUUACCCGAUUCAUGACCUAGAACUUAUAGCGGUGGUGUUUGUCUUAAGAGUAUGGAGACAUUAUUUUUAUAGGACACAAGUUCAAAUCUUUACAUACCAUAAAAGUUUGAAGUAUUUGAUGUCACAGAAGGAGUUGAACAUGCGGCAGAGAAGAUGGGUAGAGUUAAUAAAAAUAUUACGAUUGCGUUAUUGACUACCAUCCUGUUAAGGCUAAUAUAGUAGUUGAUGCCUUGAGUAGGAAGGGAAAAAUAGUGAUGAAUGAUAUGGAGCUUAAAGAAUAGGAAAGUAUAGUGGAAUUAAAGAGAAUGGGCUUGCAGCUAAGUUUAGGGCCCGAGGGAUCACUAUUACCUCAGUUAAAGAUUCGAUUUGUGCUUUGAGACAAGGUCUUGGUGGUCAACAGGCAGAUGGAAAAGUAAAAGAGAUCAAGGAGAGGGUAAACAAGGGUAAAGAGACAUCAUUUCAAAUGUUAUCAGAUGGGCUAAUAGCUAUGGGUAGGCGGAUUUAUUUGCUUGAGGAUAAGACUUUGAAAGAUGAAGUGUUAAGAGAAGCUCAUAAAUCUCGAUUUUCUACUCAUCCUGGGAGUAAAAGGAUGUAUAGGGAUUUAAAGGAAUACUACUGGUGGCCAAAUAUGAAGAGGGAAAUAACAAAAUUUGUGUCGAACUGUGGGAUCUGUCAACAAGUAAAGAUAGAACACUAGAAACCUGCAGGGGAAUUACAAUCAUUAUCAAUUCCAAAAUGGAAAUGGGAGAAUAUUUCUAUGGAUUUUAUGAUGGGAUUACCCAAGGGAGUGAGGGGGAAUGAUGCCAUAUGGGUGUUCGUGGAUCGACUAACAAAAUCAGCUUUAUUUUUUUCUAUGAAGAUGAUUGAGUUGGUAAAUAAGCUGGCAAAAUUGUAUGUAAAUGAAGUAAUCAGACUUCAUGGAAUGCCAGUUUCAAUUAUAACAGAUCGGGAUCCAAGGUUCACAUCGCGAUUGUGGCCGAGCUUGCAACAGGAAAUAGGGGGCAUAGUUGUAUAUGAGCAAAACAUUUCAUCCCAGAUGAAUGGUCAAUCUAAAAGGACCAUUCAAACUCUUGAGGAUCUCCUGAGGUCCUGUGUGCUGAAUUUUAGAGGGAAUUGGGAGAAUCUCGUACCAUUGGUGGAGUUUACUUAUAAUAAUAGCCAUCAAGCUACUAUUGGUAUGGUUCCAUAUGAAGCCUUGUAUGGGAGGAAAUGUCGUACCCUAAUUUGUUGGGAGGAAAUAGGAGAAAGGAAGCUUUUGGGACCUGAAAUGGUGCAACUCACAACUAACAAGGUAAGGGUGAUCAAAAAGAUGAUGAAGGAAGCCUAGGAUAGACAAAAACAUUACGCAGAUAGUCGAAGAAGGCCCUUGGAAUUCUAAGUGCAGGAUAAAGUAGUUUUGAAGGUGGCUCCUUCGAAAGGCAUCAUUCGAUUUGGAGUAAAAGGGAAAUUAGCCCCGAGAUAUAUUGGCCCUUUAGAAUUGCCUAUAUAUUUGGACAAGAUUCACAAUGUGUUCCAUUUUUCAUUGCUAUGAAAGGCCAAGAUAGACCCCUCACGGAUAUUGCCACAGGCUCCUAUGAAGAUAAAAGGGGAUCUAACCAUGAAAACUAAGCCUGUCAAGAUCUUAGAUCAAGAUGAGAAGUUGUUGAGAAAUAAGAGAGUUCCCUUGGUGAGAGUAUUAUGGAGAAGCUCUUGAAUAGAAGAAGAAACAUGGGAAAAAGAAUCCAAGAUGAAGGAGAAGUUUCCGCACUUAUUCUCCGACAUGGUAUGUAACUGGAAUUUCGAGGAUGAAAUUUUUUUUAUUAGGAAGGGAGAAUGUAAAUCCCAAGAAAAUCAAGGCUAGAUUAAAUUACAGAAAAUAAACUAAACUAAAAAGAAGUGGGGGCAAAACAAAUACACUUAAAGAAAAUGGGGUCUAAAUGCAAAUAAGAAUAUUUAUAGAGCAUAAAUACUCUUCUUUCAAAAAAAAAACAAAAAAACAAAUAAAUCUGAAACUAUCGUGAAGAAAGAAAAUGGGGAGUUUUUGUAUCCAUUUUUAUAGAUCAAGAGAGAAAUACAAAAAUUUCAAGAACCCAUCCAAGAUUAAGGGUUAUAGGUAGAAUAAACACUAGAGGGCAAGCGAUUAACAAGAAAAAAAUUGAACAAGAAAACAAGAGGGGAGGGUCAACUGUCAUUAAAAAGAAAAGGAGGGAUCGAGACCUUGAUUCGUACCGGGUAAGGUAUUCUAAACAUAGAUUUAUGAGUCAUUUUAAAGUCGAAUAUAUAUUGAUGCCUGGAUGUUAAAUUAUAGAUUUGAUUUCUAUAACUCUAGAUAUGGUUAAAAAUCUAAGGAGAGGUCAGACAGUAACAGUUCAAAAAACGAGACAGUAACAGUCCAAAUGAUUAUUGAUGAGCAAUUUUGAUUAUCUUAGAGGUAGAACUGGGUUCUUCUUUCCUCAGAGAACUUGUAGGCUCAUGUCUUAGCUUUCCAACGAGACUAAUCUUGCUUGAAUCGAAGUUUUAUAACUCCAAAUAUAGUUAAAAAUGUGAGAGAGGUCAAACGGUAACAGUUCAAAAAAUGAGACAAUAACAGUUCAAAUGAUUAUUGAUGAGCGAUUUUGACUGUCUUAGAGGAAGAACUAGGUUCUUCUUUCCUAAAGAACUUGUAGCCUCAUGUCUUAGCUUUCAAACAAGACUGAUCUCGCUUGAAUCAAAGUUCUAUAACUCCAAAUAUAGUUAAAAAUCCGAGGAGAUGUCAAAUAGUAACAGUUCAAAAAACGAGAUAGUAACAGUUCAAAUGAUUAUUGAUAAACAAUUUUGACUAUCUUAGAGGCAGAACUGGGUUCUUCUUUCCGUAAAGAACUUGUAGCCUUAUGUCUUAGCUUUCCAACGAGACUAAUCUCACUUUAAUCAAAGUUCUAUAACUCCAGAUAUAGUUAAAAAUCUAAGGAGAGGUCAGACAGUAAUAAUUCAAUGUCUAGACAAUGACAGUUCAGGAUUUAAACAGAAACAGUUCAAAUAUAAAAAAAAGAAUGAUAAUUGGGGUUGGACAAAGAAUGACAAUAUUAAUGGGUGAAAUGAGAAAAACAUAAAAUAUUAAGAAAUGACUGAAAGAAAGAGUUAUUGGUUUGAUAUGGUUAUUAUAAAACAUAUCCUUGAGUGAGGAAAAUUUAUGAGAUUGAACCUGUGAUUUGCAGGAUAGACCACAGAUGUGGUGCAUAUGCAGCAACAAGGGAGCACGAGUAGAGCUUUUAUUGCAGGUAGGUGAAUCGCACCUAUACCUUCUAGUUAAAUUCCAUGAUUAAUAUAUAUUACUGAUGUGAAAUGUGAAUUACUGAAUGUAUGUGUAUUCAAGGGGAAAGGUUGUUGUGUGAAUUGCUAAGUGAUGAAAUUAUCAUUGAGAAAGGAAAAAUGAGAAGUGUGAUUUGAGGCAUAAACUAGCAUACAUUUAGUGUAAGUUAGGAUUUCAGGUAAGGGGAUCGCCACGUUUGGACUAACAUACAUUUAGUGUAUGUUAGAAUCCCAGGUAAGGGGAUCACCAUGUUUUGGCUAGCAUACAUUUAGUGUAUGUUAUGAUCCCGGGUAAGGGAUCACCAUGUAUUGGCUAGCAUACAUUUAGUAUAUGUUAGGAUCCCGGGUAAGGGGAUCACCUUGCAUCGACUCCUACGGGGUGAUGAUGAUGAUACUAGUGAAAUUUGUAUCAGUAAUGUGUUAAACAAAAAUAAUCAUGUUUGAUCUUAUAAAGUCUAGAAUGGAGAUUAAUAGUGGAAGAUGGAACGGUUAUUAAUAUUUGAAUAAGGAAGAGAUUCUAAUGUAAACCAGAAGGGAGAAGUGAACAAAAUAUGAAUGCAUGUUACCCUGAUAAAAUUGUUAGAUAUUCGAGUUGUUAUAAUUAUGUGAUAUUCACCUUUCAAUAAUAUGUAUUUUAUUUUAGGAUCAUCGCAUGCACGACAGGAAUAGAUCAUAGAUUAUGUUCGUUUCUUGUAAUUUAGAUUCUAGGGGGUAUACCCAUGUAUUUUGUAAACAUUAAAAUGUUUGUAUAACUUAAUUUGUAUAAUUAAUGUUUAAACUUGAUUGAAUGAACUUAAUUCAGUAGUUCAUAUAACCAUAUUUCAUGACUAUGCAUUCAUAUUUUCUUGUUUAUCCAUCCAUAAUGAUAUUUUGUUAUACAAUGUAUAUCAUAAACAUUGUGGUUGAUAGGUGUGAGAUUAUUUGUGGAAAUUGAAAAUCCAGGAUGAUUGGGUCGGAAUUAAGUUAUGACAUCUGAGUUAUUAGAAGUGUGAACAGGUUACAUGUCGAUAACUUGGGACCUUUCGGCAUAUGGGGGACUCCGUCAAAAUUUUUAGUAGAUUUUAAUACGAAAACCAUGAAUAUAUAUAUAUAUAUAUAACUCUGUUUUUCGGUUGACAUGAGAUUUUUGUUUUAUCCCGGAAUGGGGGAUGUUACAAUAGAGAAGCAAAGAAGAAGAAGAAGAAGAAACGUCGGUCAGCUGCUCUCAGUUCCCUAGUUCGCAGCCGCCGCCACAAGCCACUGUCAGCCUAGCUCCCAGAGCACCUCCAUUCCAGGUAAUUCUCUCCCCGUGUCUCUGUUUCCCAUAUUCAUCUUCUUGCAUGCAAAACGUGCACUGUGCACAUUUCUGCAAGCAAGGAAAAAUAAUUGCCCAUAGUAACCGGCUAAUUAUAUGGGCAUAGUAACCAGUCCGGGUUGGAUCAUCAGCCCAGUCCACGCGGCUGGGCUGAGUCCAACCCAUUAUAAGAUAGUUUAUAUUUUAUUUUGGGCUGAUCUUGGUAUAGUUUUAUUUUGGGUCGGGUCCGGCCUAUUCAAAAAACAAUUAAAACAUAUUUAAAAAAAAAAAUUGUGAUUCCCCGCGUAAAUUUUUACGCAAUUUUGAUUAACAUUGGUAUGUAUUUUUAUACCGUAAUGAUACAAAUCGGGUAUUAAAAUACCCAGUCUUCAUAAAAAAAAAAUGUUUUCAUGCGUACAACCAGGUCUCUAAAAGUUAAAAAAAAAUUCAUAUUGUAUUUUCAUACAACAAAGAAAACUUCAAAAAAUAUGUUUUAGCAUACAUUUUGGCUUUAAUAACUAGAUUAUUAAAGUCAUGAGAACUAGGCCAAUAUUUCAAAAAACUCAAAAAAGUAUUUUGUUUUGUUUUAGUAUCUAGGAUUAUGAAUUUACAUGUAAAACAUAUUCCUAAUAUUCAAAAGGUAUUUUCUUUUGUUGACAUAGAACGGUUAGGUUUUAUCUCGAUUUGAUAAGGAUCUUUUUACCGAGAAAAAAAGGACUUUUCUUAAACCAUAGAUAGACCAACAAUUAGAACUACAAUACAACCGUACCAUAUAUCAAACAAUAAAACAAUGUAGCUUACCUUAGGUAGGGCAUAUUUAGGGUGUGAAUACCUUCCCUUUACGCAACCAGUCCCCGUACCCAAUCUCUGAGACCAGUUAGGGUUCCUAGUGACCAAAAUACUAGGUGGCGACUCCCAUUCUAUUUUUCCACUGAUAAGAGACAAGCAUUCCUUGUCUUUCUACAUUUGCCAGACAGAUAAAAUACCUAAGUGAGGGUGGAUGAUUGCCAUGAUGCCGCACAUAUGCAACACUAUUAAUUAAUCAAUGAGAUCCAUUUUGAAAAGAAAAAAAGAAUACACAAGUGAGAGAAUAAAAUCCACAACCCACAAAAAAUAAUAAAAUUAUCUUCACCUAGUAUUUCUCUCUCCUAUUUGGAUCUAUUUAUUUCUAUAAAGUGGAUCCCAAUAAGUAACUAAUAGAAUAUCACUAGUUAUAAUUUGAUCACCAUACAAUUUCUCAUUCAAUUCCUCUCAUUUUAGAAGGAAAUAACGGUAAACAAAUACUUUGCAAAAUUCCUAAAAUGUUUAUGUUAUUAUUAAUAAAAUUAAAUGUAAGCUAAUCAAUUCAAUAUUGAAAAUAUAUGUAUCUCAUUAAGAAAAAUAUAUUUAAUUCCAGAAAAUAUUUGGAAGGAAUUAGUAUUAAAAAAACAAACACUUGGCAUUUCAAAUUCCUCACCCUAAAAAUCUUGAAAAUAUCUAUAACAAGUAGUGGAUAUCACCAUUCCCUUUGAAUUCUUAUGCUUAUUCUCUUUCUUUCUCAAAUCUUAGUAGCCUAUCUCUCACUCUCUAUAGUUGGGUAGCACUUUGCACAAUUUUAUUCGAUUUCAUUAUUGAAAAUGUCGUAGCAAUGAUGGCUUUGUUGGGCUUAGAGAGCGUUUGAAAACGCGGUUGUACCCGUGUUUCUAAAAAAUUUAAAUUUUGUUUUGCUAAAAGUUAAUUUCUUUAACGUUUUAAAUCGUUUUGAUGCACUGAUCUCAAAAAUGAUUUUAAAAAAAUGAAAAAACAUCAUUUUGAUGCAUUUUGUCAUGAAAAGCACUUUGAAAAGCAACCACGACCACACUUCCAAACAGGCCUAGCUGGGAGCCCAUGGUUAUUUGGUGGUGCAUCUUUAUUAUACAAUGUAUGGCAUGUAUAUAUAUGUAUAAGAAUUAAUGUAGGGUUAUUCCAAUGUUGUUAUCCUUACGGUUACUGCCGUAUACUGCCACAUAUAUAUAAAUAAGAAAGGUUGGCUAAGACACAACCUAAGUCAUUAUAUUAUUCUGAACUUGGUAUAAGAGCCCUAACUAAGCUAAAACACCUAUUCUCCCCUUUGCAAUGGACUCCUCAUCCUAGCCACAUGUUACCUCUCCUAUCGUAGCAGCACUGUCUUCCUCAGCUUCUGUUUUGCAGUGGGCACAACUCAUAAAUGGUGUUCAUGCUCUCUUCAACCCCAACAAUGCUCUUUUGUUGCAACCCUCUUCUGAUGCGAUCUUUGCUACUACAAUUGUCUCCCUCUCCCACACUUACCAAGUCAUCUCUCUCAAAUUAACAAACACCAAUUAUCUAUAUUAGCGAAUGUAGAUGAAGUUGUAUAUUCUAGGCCAAGGAGUUUUCGGCUUUAUUGAUGGUUCUUACUCUUACCCCUCUCUACAUGUUCUUGCUACCAAUGGUGUCUCUCUUCAGGUAAACCAGCUCUUUCUUCAUUGAAAACAAUAGGACCAACUCAUUCUGAGUGCUCUAAUUUCUUUGCUAUCCAUGGAAGUUCUUCAUGUUGUUGAUGACUUCCAAUCCUUACAUUCUAUCUAGCGCACACUUAAGCAAGCUCUAGCUUUCACAUCCAAUUCUCAUAUUAUGCAACUUCAUGGCUCCCUUCAAGACCUUUGAUAAGGUGAUGAGUCGGUAACUCACUUUAUGCAAAAAUCUAAGGCCUUAUUUGAUGAGUGAGCCAAUGUUGGUUGGCCUGUUUCGCUAGAGAAUUUAACUUAUAUGUGUUUUGUGGUCUUCACGGAGAGUUUAAAUUCUUAGUAACAAGCCUUGUGACCAAGUCAAAACCUCUCUCGCAUGCAGAUCUAUUUAGUCAUCUUUUAACACGUAAAUUUAUUCACAAAUCAUUCCAUAUGUCCAUGGGGUCUGCUGCCAUCAAUGCUCCUCUAUUGCCCAUGCCAAACACACCUCCUUCAACCCUUAUCUAUCAACAUCAGUCUAUUGCACACUUUGGUCGCAAUAAGGGUUGUUUUCAUGAAUCUUGGCGUCUAAACCACUUCAGCCACAAAGGGCACAGUUCUACAACGUCCAGACCAAACUUUCGCAGCUUCCACAACUCCUCUACCAAUGAUGGCAGACAAGGCAACUAGCAUGGAAAUUUGCAGCACAGUAAAGGGCAAAAUCCAUGCUGCUAAUUAUGCCAAACAUUAGGUCAUACUGGGCCUCACUACCCUCAGCUUCAGUACCAUGGCUAUGGACAGCAACUUAGUGCAAAUAUAGCGUUGCGUAAUCCCAUAAGUACUACAAAAUGGUUUCUGAAAACUGGUGCCAAUAACCACAUCACACCCAACCUUGCAACCUUGACUACUGACACGACCAAAAGCUUGAUGUCUUUUUCCAAGUGCAGGAGUGUCGAAGUAAUAAAUAACCCGGCAAGACCGGGGUCGAACCACAGAGAGGUGAAUUGUAUAAAUUAUAAAUAACAAUACAACAACAACAACAACAACAACAACAACAAUAACAAUAAUAAUAAUUAUAAUACUCAGUACGUGGCGUUGUUAUACCUGAGAAUGAUCUAAAAGAUCGGGUCACAGGUUUCCAGCCUAUAUACUGAAUUUAUGAAAAGAUCAAAGAUAUAUAUAUUAUAUAAUAUAAACAGAAUGUAAAUAAUAAUAAUAAUAAUAAUAAUAAUAAUGAAAGCAGAAGAUGAAGAAAUUAAUGAGAACUUUGAGAUGAAAGAUUAACGUAAGGAUUAAACAAUGAUAAAAACAAAUGUCAAGGUUAGAGGAUCCACUAAUGGUACUUCAAACAAGUAUAGUAUAAACUCUUAUUACUCAAUUGGAAACCACACAUAAAGGAGGUUCCAAUCAGAUUAUAAAUUGUUAACAUGAUUACAUUAGUUAUCUUAUUCGAAUAAAGCUAAUACUUGUAAAUGUUGGCAGGCAUUCAUGAUUAUAACUUAUGUUAACAACAAAUCAAGUUCCUUUCAUAGCUCAGGUGUCGGUUAUACCAUACAGUAUGGGCUAUGAAAGUGCCAAGUAUUUGUUGUACCAAGUGUUAUACAACAUAAAUCUAGAUUAACCAUUUAACAAGCAAAGUAUUAAAAGUGAACAAGAUAACAAAUAUAAAACAUGUUAGUAUCCAACGUUAAGGUCCAUGUUAAGUUUAUAUUAUACUUAUUCUUACACCAUUAGUGUACCCUUUUCACCUUGACAUAAUUAACUUAGCUAGACAUAAUGAAAGAAAGAAACAUAAAUGAACAAGAUAAGAACAUAAAUGAGAAAGAGGUUAACUAAGUAAAGGAAAGGAAAUGAAGUGCAUAAACUUGAUAUUAAUGAAAGCAAGACAUAAGCAAUACAAAGAGAGAAAGCAAGAGCAUGAUCUUGAUCUGAAACCAAGAUGCCUCAAUACAUGGUAAGUGCCUCCUUUUAUAGGCCAAAAUUUGGAACUAUUGAUUUGUUGACUAAUUGAUGAGUGGGUGGCCACAUCUUGACUUGAUAACAAUCCUUAUCUUCUUGUCUGAACAAGACGUCAUUGCUAACAUCAUAAUUUGCCCAGAAUCCUCAGGAAUGUUCUAGGAAAUUGUCUCAGCUUUCCAACAAAAAAAAGAUGAGGUCAUUUGGACUUCUAGAACUCAAGAUAUGGGCUGAACACUAAAUAGUGUUUGGGCUGCAGGACAGCUUCGGACUUCUUCGUUGUUCCUUCAAUUUGGACUUCAAAAUGACCUUUUUAAAUCUUGGGCUCCUCAUGAAACUUGUAGGCCUUUGUCUUACCUUUCCAUCCAUAUAAAAUGGACCUAAAUCCGAGACAUAGAGCUCCAGAUAUGAUCCAAUUACCGAGCAAUGUUCCGGUUUGGACUGCACCGACAUCUCUUUUCUAAGUUUGGCCAUCUCUUUGUCUUUAACUUUCAAUACUUAAACUCAUCAAUCAAUCCUUUUAUUUAUGUGAUAGUCCUGCAUUUAAAAUGAGCAUUUACCAUAAAUUAAGGUAUCUUAUAAUAUCAAACUUGUUAUUAUAAAACAUGCUUUAGUUAAGGAGUUAUUGAUACUUUAAGUGCAAAAUGAUGAUAUAAAACCUUGAUAAACAUGCACUUUUAAGUACUAAUCGACUACUUCAUAACCAUACCUUGGUAAUGAUAAUUUGCAUGUUGAUGAUGGUAAGGGACUUCCCACAUCUCAUAUCGGUCAUACCAAAAUAUAGACACCACAUCGUUCUUUCACUUUAUCUAAAUUUCUUCAUGUUACUGCAAUCACGAAACAUUUGCUUUCUAUUUAGAAAUUUUAUCUCGAUAACAAUGUUUAUUUUGAAUUUCAUCCAUUUGUGUUUUAUGCCAAGGAUCUCAACACCAAUGGAGUACUCCUCUCAUGUUAGAGUAAAGAUGAUCUCUAUGCUUUGUCCAGGUCUUCCGUCUCGUUAGUUCCUCAAGCAUAUUGGUCUCCCUGUAUUUAUGCUUUUGCUGAUUUAUGGCAUUGUCGACUAGGUCAUCCUCCUCUUGUAUUUUUCAAUUGUUAGUCUUGAAAAAUAAGAUCAUUUGUAACAAUAAACAUCUUAAUUUUCAAUGUCAAAGUUGUCCAUCAGGAAAAUCAUCGGAUUUGUCUUUAGUGAUGUGCGGGGUCCUACUCCCCUUUUUUCUUUGGAUGGCUAUCUUUAUUUUGUUAUCUUUGUUGAUGUUAUAUGUGAUGAGAUCAAGGUGUUGCGUUCUAAUCACACUUGGUCUCUGGUUCCCUUUCAUCUUUCGAUGAAUGUUGUUGGCAACAUAUGAAUGUAUCGGAUCAAACAUCGUGUUGAUGGCAGCAUUGAGCGUUAGAAAGCCCGUCUAGUUGCUAGAGGCUUUACCCAGCACAAAGGAAUUGAUUAUUCUGAAACCUACAAUCCAGUUAUUAAACAGACCACCAUCAGAUUAAUCUUCUUCAUUGCGGUUUCACGCAAUUGGAAAAUUCAUCAGCUCAAUAUUCAUAAUGCAUUUCUCAAUGGUGCUCUUACUAAAGAGGUCUACAUGAAACAACCUCUAGGUUUUGUUGACUCUACUCUUCCAUCUCAUAUGUGCAGAUUGCACAAGUCGUUGUAUGGUUUAAAACAGGUAUCGAGGGUAUGGUACACUCGUCUGAGUGACUUUUUGCUCUCCAUUGGUUUUAUUGCCUCCAAGAUUGAAAACUCCUUAUUUAUCUUAUCUGAUGAUACUAAUAUCUUUUAUAUCCUGGUGUAUGUUGAUGAUAUUCUGCUUACGAGUAGAAACUCUACUAUGCUUCAUCACCUAAUAUAGUUACUGAGUUUUGAAAAGCUCCGUGACUUGGGCAUGGUUCACUACCUUUGGGGUAUUGAAUUUCAGUCUACAAGUAUGGGUUUGAUGUUGCGCCAGCACAAAUAUAUUCUUGACAUCCUCACUUGGACUGGUAUGACUUCCUACAAACCUGAUGAUACUCCAGUUUCUCCUUCAAAAGUUACUAUACUGCCAGAUAAUCCAUUCUCUAAUCCUACACGAUUUCUUCAAAUCAUGGGUGGUCAUUAGUACCUUACCUUCACCUGACCAGAUAUCUAAUUUGUUGUUAACAGUCUGUCAGUUUAUGUAUGCUUCUACAGAUUCUCAUUAGGCCAUCGUUAAACGCAUUCUACAUUACCUUAAAGAUAUAACAUCUUAUGGUUUUCAUAUCACUCAAGGUUUCUCUUUUGCUCUACAUGAUUUUAAAUGCAGAUUGGGUUGGUAAUAUUGAUGAUUACAAGUCUAUAGGUGGUUACCUUGUUUUUUCUUUUUUUGUCAGACGUCGAUCUCAUAGAAGUCAAGCAAGCAACGCAUAGUUGCUCACUCAUUUACUUAGGCUGAGUAUAAAGCCUUAGCGAACGGCAAUGCUAAGGUCAUCUGGCUUCAAUAUUUAUUAACAGAUCUGCAGGUUCCCUCCGUCUCUACUCCUACUAUUUGGUGUGAUAAUCUUGGUGCCUCUUAUCUCUCUGCAAAUUCUAUUUUUCAUGCUUAUACUAAACAUGUUGAGGUGGAUUAUUAUUUUUUCCGAGAUUGAGUUGUGAAGAAAGAAAUUUAUAUUUGUUUUAUCCCUUCGCAGGAUCAACUUGCGGAUGUCUUCACCAAGCCACUUUCUACUACUUUCUUUAUUGCUUUCUGUUACAAGCUUCGGGUCAAUCCUCCACCCUUAACUGGAGGAGGUACAUUAUAGAAUGUAUAGCAUGUAUAUAUAUGUAUAAGAAUUAAUGUAGAGUUAUUCCAAUGUUAUUAUCCAUAUAACGGUAUGUUUUCCAUUCUAUUAUUACAUAAGAUUGAGCUUCAUUGCAAGAUUUAAUGAGCCUUUUUUGGAUCGGUUAAUGGGUGUGCAAUGAUUGUGCAUUAAAUGCACACCCCACUUGUCAUCUCCCUACCCAAUUUCUGGUGUGGAUUUUGUGUUUCUUGCAGGGGCUUGGAGUUGUUUUCAUCUUGGAUUGGUUAUCUUUGAUGUCACGAAAAAAUAAUAACAUAGAGGAAUUUUUACAGCAUUUCAUAGUUUGGUUAACUAUUUUAUGUCUUCCUUUGAUUGACCACCAUGAUUAUAGGCAAAAAAACACAAUCUUAAAAAAUGAUAGAAAGUGAAAAGAAACCAGAUGUUAGGCUGAAUAAACAUAGCCACGUGUAUCAUAUUUUAGAUUUUAAUAAAAAAUAUCCUCUUUAGUUUGUAUUUUCCUUUAACUAUCCAGUUUGUGCAGGGCAGCUCUGUACAACAGUCGACGUUGCUCUUUGCUUUCUCUUUUAACUAUGGUGAGUCAUUUCUAGUCUUGCUCUCUUUUUAUUUAGUUGUCAGUGAAGUUUGUGUCGUAAGGUUUUGAAUUCUUUAGGGAGUUCUGAUUGUUGUUAGGUGAUUAGCUGGUGACAACUUGGCUAUUAGCUAGCUUUGAUCUAGGAUUAUAGGUUGCUCCUGUCAACUUUUAGACUGUCAUUUGUUUGCAUUGGAUGCUGUGUAGAUAAAGCAGCAAAAGAAUGAAGUUUUCUUACAAAGACAUAGCUUUGAAGCUCUUUUUAUUCUUUUUAAACUUCCUUGUAAGGAAAUACGUGUUUAUAUACUUUUCACGAAUUCAUUAUUGUUUUAUUUUUUUUAUACAACCACAUAAAAAUCAUGAACUCGUGAUUUUUUUUAUUUUUGUUUGAAACUUGCUCUUUAGAUUAGGAUAAGUUAUUAUUUAGAAAAAUAUGCUCCUAAUAAAACGACAUGUUUUUGUAAGAAAAAAAAAACAAUAAGAAAAUGAUAGUUUUUUUCCCAAGAAAUAAAAUUUUCCCUUCUCAAUUUAAAGUAUUGAGAUUGUUACGGAUAUUUAUUUUAAUUACUUUGAUUUUUUAUUGAAAAAAUGAUGUUGCCUUUUCAUAAAAAAGAAAUUAUAAAUAAGGAAUGGGGACUUCAAUUUAAAAAAAUACAUUUUCUUCUUCAAAAGCUAAAUCCUUUAAAAAAUACUUUUGUACGUGUUCAGAAUCUGGUGGUGGAAUCAGAUUCUUCAAUUCUUGUGGGAUGGCUGAGCCAUGGAAAUAUGCUCAUGAGUUCUUCUCUAUUUCAACCCUCUUUAAGCUCUUAUUUCAUGUUCAGUUUGUACCUGUUCUGCGUGAAGCUAAUGUUGCAGCUGAUGUGAGGGAAUGAGGCUCUGUAUAGAAGGAGCUGCUAUAGAAAGAAUAUGGUAUGGUUGCAUCUAUUGUUUUUAGUUUUAAUUUUGUGUUCUCUCUCUUCGUGUACUUUAUCAUCUUGUUAUGGAGUCCAAGGGCCUGUAUAACAAAAUAAUUUUUCUUUUUCUUUUUCAGUUUUGUUUUUCAAGUUCCAAUAAAAAGUCAAAGAACAUGUUCAUCUCUAAAGUUUUAAAACAUUUUUUCAACCCAGGAAACUAAAAAAUAUGUUGAUGCUAUAUUGUUUUUCAUUUCGAGAAAAAUAAACACGUAGAAAUCGUCUAGUUUUUUAUGACAUUCUUAAUUUUUUAACGUACACUAUUUUUUUAUCAUUAAUUUGAGAAACAUCACCUAAUUAAAUUGUACAUCUAAUUUUCCACUCGAACAUUUUCAAUUUUUGUUAUUCAUUCAAAGGUCCUCUCUACCUAUGAUCGAAAGUCAAUGGAACCAAAGUAAAUGGAGCAAAAGUUAAAUGGAACAUUAUUAUUAAUUCAUUUAUGAACCCUUCACAAAAAAAUAGAUGGUGCUUACAAUACUGAAAUGUUGGGUCAGUGCCUGCACUUUCAUAGCUUGGUUUCACUGAUUGUAAAAUCCUCGACCACUUUAGAAAACUCACCUUUUAUUUUUUUAUUGUUUUUUAAAAUAUUUUUUAUUUAAAAAUAUAUUAAAAUAAUAUUAUUUUUUAUAUUUAUACAUCAAAAUAAUGGUAUGAAAAUACUUAAAAAUACUAAUUUAAAAUAAAAAAUAAAAAAAAUUUAAAUUUUUAAAAACAUUUUUAAAACAUGAAAUAUGUGAUAUAUCAUACUACUCAGUAAAGUUUCUUCCAUCUGAAAACUCAGUAAUUAUCUUCAUCACACAUGAAAUCAAUGUCAGAAAACCCACGAGGUAGUCUUCCUCGUUAACCAUAAACUUACGAACUCGUGAAUCAAAUUCAAUGGAAAAAGAGAAGGAGAAGCGCCUUUUCCAUGGUUGUCUUCAGUUGGUGGAAAAUUUGGAGUAAAUGAUGUUUUCCAAGUUUAGCUUUAUUUAUAGAAAAAUGAAAAAUACUUGUUUCUUUUUUUCUAAUUUGUAAAAAGAAUGAAUUUGAACACAAACUCUAUUUUUCAUGUUUUUUUUUGUUUUUUUUUAUAAAAAUGGAGUAAUACUCCAUUAUUGAACACUGUUGAUCAAUUUCACAAGUUCAAGAAUUAUAACAAGUAAUAAAAUGAUGAGCAGAAUAAUAUCGUUCCACAAGAAUUUGCAAAAAUUACUACUAAUUACUAAAGUCUUUUAAACUAUGAUCUAUUUGAGGAAUCGAAUGAGAUAAUAUAUAAAACAAAAAUUAAUGAUUAAAAACAAACAGUCAAUUGAUUAAAUAUUAAUGAUUUCAAUUCUACUAGUUAUAAGAUUUUUGACUUACCAUAACUAUUCAUAUGUGAAGUUUCUCAAUUGAAUUAAUUACUUCUACGUUGAUAAUCAGAUUUUUCUAACUUAAACAUUAAUCUCUCUCUAGUAUCAAUGAAUUAUUUCGAUAAGCAAAUUUCAUAUACUCUACAAAAGUUCUGAACUUAUCGAAAUUUAUUAAGUACCGUAAAACCUGUAACGAUUACAAAAGUUUCUAGGAUAACUAUAUCCUAUAGAUUUCUUAAGGUAUUUCAAACAAUAGCUAAAACAAUUAUAUAUCACUUCUCAAUCUCAAAGUGAAUUCUAAAUCACGCAAAUGUUGGCCAAACAUACACAAGCAUUACACAUAUAAUUAAAUACUCAACAACGUAAUGUAAUAAUUCAAUCGAAGAAAUUGUUUACAUAUUCAUAGUAAGGUUACAUCAAAAUUCCCAGAAUAAAAGUCUACUUCAUAGUUAAAUUAAAGAGAAACAAACUUAAUACGAUGAAUAUCACUCAAAAGCAGAGAAUAGCAGUGAAAUAGGUAGGUGUCCUCCAAAUCUUCUCUAUUUUUUCCUCUAUUUUCCUUCCCUCUUUGUGCCACCUAUUCUUCUUUGUUUAGUCUAUUUUAGGGUCUCUCUAUGUAUGCACGUCUCCCUUGCAGACCCCUCCCUUUUCUUUGAUAUUGUGGCCUUUCUAUCCCUGCUGGAAUGAAGAUAGUUUUCUUUUUUUAUUUGAAUUCCUUCCUACCCAGACAUUGCGGGCCAGAUUUGAGGUAGGAAACAUACGAAUUCAAAUAUCUCUAUUUCUGGAGAAAUUGUAAAAAAUUAAAUCUUCUUUCCAACAACACUGAUCUUACAAUUUUGAACCUCUGAGACUUGAGAUAAGGCGCAUAAACCGAGACAGUAUUUGAAGUGUAGGAAGUUCAAGUCUACUUCAAUCCCUGUUUUUCGACUUGUUUUUUUGGCUUCGAAACAAGAUAUUUAAAAAUGGUAACGAACAUCUGGAACUGAGUUAUAUAGCUUCUUUUGCAGCAUAUAGUAAAUCAAUGUUCGAUUUUACUGUCGAAUUCUUCGUGCUCAGUAACCUAGUAUCUGAAAACACAUUAAUUUCCCACGAGGUUAAUAGUUCAAAAAAAAAACCAAAAUUCUAAUUAUCUUGUGCUACACUUCUAAAAUAUUUUAAAAUCAAGCAUGAAUAGUAGAAAAUAUACAUACUAAAAAUUCCUUUAUCAUACACACCCAAAACUCCUGGAGUUACAAAUCUCUAAUAAAAAAAAAAAUCAUACCAACAAAUUAGAUUUAAAAAGAUAAAAUUUCUGGUAGAGUUUUUAAAAUUCGAGUCUAGGUCUUUGUCUUUUGGAUUUUUAUAAAUGAUUGAUAAGUUUGUACCAAGAGAUUUUAGUAUGGUAUGUUUCAUGUGGGCCCCGACGCAUUGAUUGAUAAACGCCACUUAUGAUAGCCAAUGAAUAAAAUUUCUCUUAAGAAAUAAUAAUAAUAAUAUUAUCAAAUUCCAUGGCCCUUUCUCCUUUGUACUGAUCGCUUUAUUUUUGUUUUUCGAAUUAUGAUUUUGAUUGUGGUCGUAGUGUAGCGAGACGUCGACAUAGCAGCUGUAUGGAGACUGGACAGGCCCUAAAGCAAAGGAUUGAUUUUUCGCUUUUAGGACUUCAAAGCACUGCAACUAGGUUGGUGAAGAAUUGAGUUUAACUGUGUGGCCUUCCUUGGGAAAAUUAAUGUCUUCAACAUGGAAAGAGAAAUGGAAAACUGCAAGGCAAAUGGGAUAAGAAAUCAAGAAGAGCAAUGAAGCAGUGACAAACCAUUUCUUUUUACAUGUGGGUCUUCCAAUUUUUAUUUUAUUUUAUUUUCCUUUCUGUGGACAUGAGGCAAAAUUCGUACAAGAUAUUGUGAAAAUUAAGGUUCCAGAAAAGCUGAACCGCACUAUGACAUUAACAGCAGUGACAGGCCUGAAGAUGUAAAAUAGCGAGUAAUUGCCAAGAUUGAUGGAGCUUUCUAAAAAGAUGUGGAGAUAUAAAUAUGUGGCGUCAAUUCGUUUCCACGUCAUAAAUGUGAUUGAUAAACGCCACUUAUAAUUACGUGUAUAGAGCCAAUGAAUAAAAUUUCUCUUCAAAAAAAAAAAAACAAAAUAUUAAAUUCCAUAGCCGUUUUUCCUUUGUAUUGAACACCCUAUAUUAUUUUUUUUCGAACUAUGAUUUUGGUUGUGUGUUUGCAGCGUAGUACGUCGUAGCUCUGAUACAAGGAUCAGUGGCGGAGUACUAUAAUAAUUAUAACAUCUUAUAUUAUAAACCUAUUCUAUAAUACGGAGCCACAUGGGAACCAAAAGAGUUAAUUGCCUCCUUAAUUUUUUUUAAUAUUUUUUAUAUUGAAAUAUUAGUAUAAUAAUUUAGUGAAUGGUUUAUAUAAAAAAGUUAUUAUUGCAUUUCCUUUUCUUUCUUUUUCUUAUCCUAACUAUGCAAAUUUCUCUUUUGCUUUCCCAUAUGUCCAGCUCGUUCAUUUCUCUUCAAGUAAUUAACUUUUUUGGUUUUUUACUUUAUAUUUUAGAUAAAUUUCCUUCAUUUUUUUUAUUUGUUUUAUUGUUUAUUGUUUAUUGUUUAUUGUUUAUUUUUAUUUUUUUAUAAUUAGUUAUUAAAAAUAUCAGAAUUUAUAAUAAUUUAAGUUUUUUAUAUGAAUAUGUUCAAAAUAAAUAUUUAAAUUUUAUAAUUUAAUCAAUUAAAUGUUUUAUUUUCUUAUUAUAAAAAGAAUAAAUUAAUAUUCAUGCAAAACCAUUAUUAUUGGCAUCUCUUGCAUUGGUAAAGUAAUUUAUUAAAAUAUAAUAUUUUCACAUGAUUUGUUUGUAAGUAAAAUAUCAAGUAGAAACCAUGUUUUUCAAGUAUUGUUUCUCUUAUACAGACACUAUAUAUUAUUCCUCAAUUAAAUGUCUAUAAAUUAUUAAGUAUAAUUUAAUCAACAUACUUAUUAUAUACAUAUAGAUAUGUAAGUUUUAUGAAGUGAUUUUAAAAUAUGAAAACUCGAAUAGAAGAAUUACAAUGUAAUUAAGUUUUUUUUCAUUUUAAAGUAUUUUUAAAUUAAUUUUACUUAAUAUAAAUUACUAUAUAUGUUUUGAAUUGAUUUCUAACACAUAUCUACAUAAUAUAGUAUUUGUUAUUAAUUUGCCCUCUUAUUUCAAAAACUCUGGCUCCGCCACUAAUAUACUUUGUAAUUUUUUUUUCUUUUUAUCUUAGUUAAUAUCAAUAAUUAUUAAUUAAUAAAGCAUUACAGCUGUAUUACCAUGCUAAUUUGAACUAAUGAAGUUAUUUUGAUCUUAUCUUAUAAUAAUAAGAUAUUAUUUGAAUUGAUGAAGUUAUAUUUAAAGUAUUGCUAUACAAGAAAUCUGCUGGUUAAUAGAUUGAUAUUUAUAUAAAUUAAUUAAUAUCGAGUCAUUAAUUGUGAAUACAUAAUAUAACCAAGACAUAUUGAUAAUUAAUAUCUUGAAAGAAAAAAAUCAAUUUAUUAAAGAGUAAUAGUAGAUAAGGUCAAAAUGUAACAAGGUUCAUCAUUUGUAAUGGCAAAUGUUGUCACCAUGUAUGCAGACCAUUUUAUCACAUUAUAAAAUGCACUAAUGAGAGUUUAUAAUUAUAUCACAUAACAACCAUUUUAAAAAAUUCAUGUUUUUACCUGUCUCUUUUAUUUGCUUAAAUCGUACAUUAAGUUUUGGAAGAUGAAUUUUAUAUAUAAAAAUAAUAUUUUCAAAAAAAUAAAUUACUUUUUAAUAUUUAAAUAUAUAUAUAAAAAAUGAGUUGAAUUUUUUUUUUAAUGUUUAAUUAGAUAAUAAAAAUAAGCAAGAAAAUAGAAGAUUCUGGUUAUGAAUUUUUUUAAAAUUAACAAAAUAUUUUUUUGUUGUCAACUUUAUUUCAGCUAUUAUUUAUUCAUGAAAAAUAUAUUAUUUUUUGGUUUUGCAAUGAAAAAUUAAUUAGAAAUAUAAGGACAUGAGAACUCCAAAAAAAAUCUGCACACAAAAAUUCUGCACUUUUCAAUAAUAAUAAAAAAUUAAUUAUUUAACUCGUCGACCCUUCAUGCGGGCGUGAAAUCCUUUUCGCGUUAUAAAUGAUUGAUAAGUUCGUUCCAAGAGAUUUUAGUAUGGUGGGUUUCAUGUGGACCCCGACGCCUUUUAAAUGAUUCAUAAACGCCACUUAUAAUUAAGGCUCGAGAAAAGCUGAACCGCACAAUGCUGCAUGUGCCCUCUUCUUCAGGUAAAGGACAUUAACAGCAUAAAAAAAUAUCCCAUAAAAAACAUUUCCUAAACAAAGUAUAAAGGCCUAAACCAGAAGCCAAUCUGACCUUUUUUAUUGUUAAUAUAGGAGCUUGAUCAUUAUAUUAUGACUUAUUAAUUUAAAAGAAGAAUUAUUACUAUAAUCUUUAUAUUUAUUGAUGGAAUUUUUUAUUGGUAUUUGCAUUAUCAUUUUGUUGGUAAUUAAUUUACCAAUAAAAUUACCUACAAAAAUGCUAUGUUGGUGAAUCCUUCGUCGGUAAUUUUUUUCGUCGGUAAAUCCAUAAUUAAUAAAAAAAUUAUUUUGCCGAUAAAAAAAGCGUGCAAAAAAAAAAUUAACUGCUUCAUUCCGUCAGUAUUUCUCUCGAUAAGUUUGUAUGUAAUUCCAUCAAUAAUUAUUUUAAAAUAUUUUUUAAAAAAUCUAUUUUACAAAACUAUAAAAUAAUUAAAUUAAUAUAAAUGAGCACUCUAUAAUAUUCAAAACACUUGAAAAAAAAACCAACUCAAACAAAUUUGCAACAAAUAAAUAACAAGAAAAAAUAAAUUCAACUAAAAAAAUUCAUAUGAAAAAAAUAAAGUUGCAAUUGCUGAAAAUUUUAAAAUCCUAUAAAUAAAUCAACUAAAAAUUGAUCUCAUAUGGAAAAAAAAAAAUCCUACAACAACAUUCAUACAAUUAUUAAGAACAAAAAAAAAAAAAAAUAUAGUGAAAAAAAAAAAUUCUUACCUUAAUAUAGUUGCAAGUGAAGCUAAGAAGAGUAAAAAAAAUCAUAAAGUAUAUUAAUUAAAAAAAAAACUAAGAAGAAAAAAAAGUAGAAAAAAUGCAUAUUUGAGCAUGGAGGAGAAGAGAAAGAGUUGAGGAGAGAAGAGAAGAAAAAGAAAUAGAUAUUGAUGUUUCUUACAUAUGAGGAAGAAGAAGAAGAAAGGAGCCUUGUUUGUUGUGAAAUUGGGGAUUCCAAACUUUUUAUUGGGGUGUUUUACCAAUGAUUUUACCGACGAAUAAUUAAAUAUUAAUAUUUUUAAAUAUUAUGUCGGUAAUAUUUAAUUUAAUCAAAAAAUUUUAGAAACCGCUAAAUAUCACCAUGGCUUUUCAAUUCUUCGGUGAUUCCAUCUAUAAUAUUUAAUUUAAAUAUUUAAUUUAAUCAAAAGUUUUUAGAAACCCACCAAAUAACACCAACUUUUUAAUCCGUCAGUGAUUUUGUCUUUAAAAAACAGUAAUUAACAAUGCAAUUGGGGAGUGAACAAUUCCAUAGCUCUCUAGAAAAUACCAAUGAAUUUUUUCGUUGGUGAUUCCGUUUGUAAAUGACAUGAUGAACAAUGUUAACAUUUUACCAAUAGAAUUACUGACGGAAUUUAUUCCAUCGGUCAUUCCGUUGGUAAAAAAUAACACGUCAUCAUUUUUUUUAAUUAUUUUUUUCCCACUGUAAUUCCCUCAAUAGAUACUGAGGGUAUAUUUCCAUCGGUAAAAACCGUUGGAAAUUUAUUGAUGAAAAUAUUCCCUCGGUAUUUUCGUUUGUAUUUAUCGAUUUUCUAAUAGUGAAUUGAAUUGAAUGUCAUAUGUUUCUCCUGAAUUCAAUCUACACUUUAAUUAUAUAAUAAAUCUCAUUCCUUACUUGGUUAAUCAAAAGGACACUCAGGGUUUGCACACAACAAUUCCUUACUUGGUUAAUCAAAAGGACACUCAGGGUUUGCACACAACAAUAAUUAAAACUGAAACUUCUAAUAGAAAUUAGAUUUUAGCUACUAACAAAUUUGAAUUGUAGUUGCAAUGCUUUAUUUAUAACUCAUGUCAAAUAUCAGUUGCGAAUUGAAUGCCAAAUCUCUCCUUAAAAAAUUGAGAAACCAUCAUCCAAAAUAUCAUAUUAACAAACACAAUAUUUAAACCAAAAACAUAAAAAGGAAAUUCUCGAUGUGCUCGCUUGAUAUAACUUCCUUAAUAUACAAGGUCAGGGGUAUGAUGGUGCUAGUAAUAUACUAUUAAAUAAUAUUUAUUUACUCUUAUUUAUUAAGAGUAGAAUAGUACUUUCAAUUUAAACUAUAUAAUUUCUUUAUAUUUAGGUUAACUCUAACACUCAUAAUAAACUAAUUAUUGAGGAUUAUGCCUUCUUUUUCUGUUUGAUUUGAAUUAUUUUAACAUGGUAUCAGAGCUGAUUUAUAUGGAACGAGGCUUAAUCUCAAAAAUAUUUUGAGUGAUAUUUUGUCUUUUCGCUUUUGCAUAAUCUGUAUUUUCAUCUUUCUUCAACUUCUGUAAUUUUGGUAUUUAUGUUAUGUCUCUGCAAUUGUUUUGGUAUUUCGUCUUCUGUAAUUUGGUGUUUGUGUUCAAUUUUUGUAAUUUGUGUUGUUUUGGAGUAAUCAUGUAAUUUCAAGAAGAUAUUUGUUGAGUAUUUGUAAUAUAUGUUUAAUUUCUGCAAUUUAGUACUUUGUCUUUCGCUGCUUUUGCGUUCUAGUUCUUGUUUGUUAAUUAUAGCUACCGAAAGAGAUGAUUUGCUUCACUCUGUGAGUGUGAGGUUGGAUGGAAAGAAUUAUUUGUAUUAGAGUUAUGUAAUGAGAAAUUUUCUUAAAGGUAAAAAGAUGUGGGGGUAUAUUAGUGGAACUUAUAUGAUACCUAAUAAUACUGAGAAGGGGAAUGUUGUUUUGAUAGAUACAUGGGAAGCAAACAAUGAAAAGAUCAUUACUUGGAUCAACAAUUUGUUGAGCAUUCGAUAGGUACACUGUUGGCGAAGUAUGAGAUAGCAAAAAGGGUUUAGGAUCAUCUAUAAAAGUUAUUCACGCAAUCAAAUUUUACAAAAUAGUAUCAAUUAGAGAAUAACAUAUGAGCUCAUAAUCAAAACAAUAUGAGUAUUCAAGAGUUGUAUUAUGCUAUGAUAGAUCUUUGGAAUCAAUUGGCUCUUGUAGAAUUGACAGAAUUAAAGGCAUGUAGUGCCUAUAUUAAGCAUAGAGAGAAGCAAUGAUUGGUAUAGUUUUUAACAGCACUUUGCAGUGAUUUCGAAGGACUUAAAGGUUCAAUUCUGCAUCAUUCUCCACUGCCUUCUAUUGACUCUAUUGUCAGUGAGUUAUUAUUGGCUGAAGAAAUACUUCUUCAGUCUUAUUCUAAAAAGGAAAUUCUUUCUACUUCAAAUCCUUAUGUACUAGCAAUACCCUCUAAUCCAUUCUUUAAUCAUCAGAAUAAGCCUUACAUAAGGAUUGGCUUUGAUGAGUGCAGUUUUUAUAAGCAAAAAGGUCAUUUGAAGGCUUAGUGUCCCAAGUUGAAACAACAGAAUCAAGCUUGGAAGCAUGGCAACCAGUCACAAUCUAAUGCUCAUAAACCACUUCAGGGUUAUAAACCACCACACCACAAUACUACAGUAGUAGCUUCAUCAAGCUCUAUCACCAUUCUUACUACUUGCUAAGCAAUUUCAUAAUUUUCUCUCCUUACAACCAUAAGCAAUGUUUGCUUCUUCUUUUAUAGGUCAGUUGCCCCAUAACUCCUUAAGUAUACAUUCUGAAUGGGUCUUAGAUUUUAGUGCUUCCCAUCAUAUGUCUCCAGAUUCUUCAUCUUUUACCCAUGUGUCCCUUUCAUCCUUCAUUCCUGUUAUGACUGUCGAUGGCAUUCUCCUACCUUUAGUAGGUGUUGGUUUUGUUGUCACACCUUACUUGUCUCUCCCUAAUAUUUAUUUUAUUUUAAAACUCAAAUUAAAUCUUGCUUAUAUUGGUCAAACAUAUGAUUCUGGUGAUUAUUUAGUCAUAUUUUCUGGUUCUUUUUAUUGUGUACAAGUCAUAGGGAGAAUGGACUACAUAUUUUGGAUGAGUUAAAAAUGUCAGUUGUCGUUGUUACUGCUACUACUACUAUUGAUUUCUCUUCCUUUCGUUUGAGUCCUUCAUCUUCUAGUUUUUAUUUAUGGCAUUCUUAUCUAGGUCAUGUUUCGUCUUCUCAUUUAAUAUUUUUAGCAUUCAUAUGAGCUUUAGAAAAUUUAAAAACUUAUGAUAUUUCUGAAUGUAGUGGAUGUAAACUAGCAAAAUUUUCCGCUUUACCUUUUAAUCGAAGUAUUUCUAUUUCUUCUUCACCAUUUGAUUUUAUUCAUUAUGAUGUAUAGGGACCCUCUCCUACUGCCACAAAAGGACAGUCUUGAUAUUAUGUUUUAUUUAUUGAUGAUCAUACUCAUUAUUGUUGGGUUUAUCUAAUGAAACAUCGUUCUGAAUUCUAUGAGAUAUAUACAGCCUUUCGAGCUUUUAUGAAAACUCAACAUUCUAUUGUAAUCAAAUCAUUUAGGUGUGAUUUGGGUGGAGAAUAAACUUUUAAUAAAUUUUGUCAAUUGCUUACCUUAGAUGGAAACCAUUCACCAAACUUCUUGUACAUAUAUUCUUAAGCAAAAUGGUGUUGCUGAAAAAAAACAUAGGCACAUUGUCGAAAUUGCUUGUUCUCUCUUGUUGUCUUCUUCUGUUCCUAAUGAGUUUUGGGGAGAAGUUGUCCUUACUUCUGUAAGUUUGAUUAAUACAAUCUCAUCUUCUCAUAGUUUAGGUUUAUCUCCUUUUAAAAAGUUAUAUGGGCAUGUCCCUGAUUAUUCCUCCUUUAGAGUUUUUUGUUGUACUUAUUUCGUUCUUCGUCCCCAUGCAGAACGCAGUAAGUUGUUCUCUUAUUCUACUAUUUGUGUCUUUUUGGGUUAUGGUGAAGGUAAAAGGGGUAUCGUUGUUUUGAUCCAAUAACUCAAAAAUUUUAUAUGUCUCGUCAUGUUGUCUUUCUCGAGCAUAUACCUUUAUUUUAUAUUCCAUCCACUACUCAUAACUUGACUAGACCUGAUAUUAUUCAUAUCAAUCCUUUUUUUGAGGAUUUUGAUAAUAUAUCAUCACAGGUUCCUAGUACCUUAAAUACCAUUUCUCAUGUUCAACUAAUUUGUACUCAUCAUCCUACAGGUACUGACACUUUACUCUCUAGCAAACCUGAAUCUCUAUUUUCAUCUACAACCCCCCAAGCUUCGUCUGAGAUUAUGGAUCCACCUCUACUACUUCAAUUCAUACACAUUCGUAUGUAAACCCCAAGUUGAAAUUAAUUAGAAAAAAAAAUCAAUAUUUAUGAAGCAAGGUUAAAAUAAGUAAAAAAAUAAAUUAGGAAGUCAAUCUAACAAUUAAAGUGUGGGAAUGAAAAAAACAAAUACAAGAUAGAGGAAUUAAAGUGUAUAAAAAGAGAGGAAGAAAUUCUAGGAAUUAAUAAGACAAUAGCCAAACAACGCCAAAUCGCAAUUAGGAAGGAGUAUAAAUACAUGUGAGAGAGUAAGAUGGACACUUUUCUUCUCCAUAAAAGCUAGCGGAAACCAUAAAGAACAACUCUUCCCCAUUUUAAUUUCAAAACAGAAAUACUUUGCAUAUUCCCUUUUACCUAGCGCAAGAGUGAAAGAAGAAUAAUUGUAAGGUGAAAAAUCAAGAAUUUGAAGUAGAGAAAGAGAGAUGGAACCGGCUGAAACCAAAAAUAAAAAGAGAAGAAGGAAAGUUCAAAGGGAGGAGAAUAAUAUCACCUAAGUACUCCCUCAAAACUCUUCCAAAUUCAUGUGGUAAGAGUAAUCCUUUACUCUUGGAACUUGUCAUGGGAGGUGUUAGGUUGUAUGAGAAGAAAGCCCCGAUUUAGGAUGCUUGAAUUUAAUUAGGGUAAAUGAAAAAUCAAUGCAAAUACAUACUCUAGAGCAUAAAUAGUCUAAGAACACAACAUUUUUAACUAGGAUUAAUGAAGGUUGGAGUUGUUAGGAAACCCCUACCAUUCAACCAAAAGAACAAAAAUAAGAGAAAAGGGAGUCUCCAAUGGCAUUAUACUAAUAUAAUGAUGUUGAAGUGUGUAGUAACUAAAACUAUUAUUUUUUUACUUUUUUUCAUAUCUCUUGAUUUGCACUUAUAUGAUUUAUGUUGGUGCUUAAAGUUGUAUGAACCAUGUUAUCAUGAAAAUCAAAUAAAAAAGAAGAAGAAGAAGAAGAAAGAUUUGAUGUCUUGAUAAGGAAUGAACUUCAAUUGCUAGUUCCUAAUAGAGUUUAUAUGUAAUGGAAUACUAUAAUGAUGAAAAUAUGCAUAGAAAAUGUUUGAUUAGUGUUUGAAUCCAUGAAUUCAAAUCUGGGCAAUUUGAUAAUGGAAAUACCAACACAAAUUGGACAUAGAAGAUGAUAGAAAUUGCUAUAAUGUUUUAUAUGAAAGAUGUAAAGGAAUGAGUUUGCUAACAUUUGGCACUGGUCUUGCCUCAAUUGGAGUUUUAUAACUCUAGAUAUGGGCAAAAUACCAUCAAGAGGUCAAAUUGUCUGUAACAGGACAAUUUGGUUCUCAUAAUUAAAACUACUGUUAGAUAUAGAAGAUGAUAGAAAUUGCUGUAAUGUUUUAUAUGAAAGAUGUAGAGGAAUGAUUAGGUAACAUUUAGCACUAGUAUUGCCUCAAAUGGAGUUGUAUAACUCUAGAUAUGGGCAAAAUACCAUUAAAAGGUCAAACUAUCCGUAACAGGGCAGUUUUGGUUCUCAGAAUUAAAACUAUUGUUAGACAUAGAAGAUGAUAGAAAUUGUUGUAACGUUUUAUAAACAAGUUGUAGAGAAAUGAGUUAGAUAACAUUAGGACCUGGUCUUGCCUCAAUUGGAAUUAUAGAACUUCAUAUAUAGGCAAACUACCAUUUAGUGGACAAGUUGUUUGUAACAUGAUAGAUUUCACUACCUGACUUCUAACUAAUUUUAGAAUAGCUGAACAAUAGAAUUUUAGGCAACCUUAUAGAAGAAAGUUGUACUUAAGGAUGUUAAAUUUCACUAGGAUUUGGCCCCAUAUGAAUCGAAGCUCUAGAAUUCCAUUUAGAGACUAAAAAUUACAGACUUGCCAUGUUGCAAAUUACAGACAAGACAAAUUUACAUGUGUGUAGAAGACAAGUGAUUUUGGGCACACUGAUGAUUCAUGUUGAAAUUAAUUCUUCUGAAUCAUGGGAGAUGUAUAUGUCAACAUUAAAAAAAAACAUAUAAAAAGGUCUAGACGGAAAUAGAUGGUGAAAUUUUGUUGACGCAAACCCAAGUCAUAGAUACUGAAAGCUCGUUGAUGCAAAACUAAGUCAUGCGAACACUUGAAUGUGAUAUACUAACUCCAAAGAAAUGCACUUGAUAUGUAUAUGUACAUUAUGAUGAGGAAAUGAACAUGCAUAAAAAGUAGCAUAUGUAUAAUGAAUGAAUAUGGAUUGCCUAUAACAUUUAGCUUGAAGGAAUCAUAACCAAAGACUUCUUUGUGAAAUAGGAGGAGCGAUUGACCAGGAUUAGAUCUUCUAUUGGAGGAAGUCAAGAGACAAGCGAAGCAGGUGCAUGGUUUCCCUCUCCUUAAUGCUUAUGCAAUUUAAAAUCUCCUUGAUGAAUGUAAUUACAAUAAUAUUAUGUUCAAAAUAAAUAAAGUAUGGUAUAGGGAUGCCGGGAAAUGAAAUACAACAUUAGCUUCGGCUAAUGGCAUCCGUGAUAGGGAUGCAGGGAAAUGAAUUACAAGAUUAGAUUCGGCUAAUGGCAUCUAUGAUAGGAUUGUUGAGAAAUGAAUUAUAAAAGUAGCUUCUGCUAAUGGCGACCAUGUUGGGACACCUGGAAAUGAUCGAUAAGGCUUGAUUCGUAAAAGGUAUCCAUGUUGGAUUAUGCAAGGUUGAAGAUCUAAUAAAACCAAUUAAACAAAGUUACUAGGUUCAUGUAAGAAGAUAAGAGAAAUAAAUUAAGAAUAUAACAAUAUGGAUUGUUACACGUAAGAGCCAGAUUUUGCUUAUUCUUGUUAUUCUUUAUCAUUUACUUUCUUUUUAGUUUUUUUUUUCAUUGUCUCUCUGAGCCCUCUUCCUAUAAAGAGGCAAUUCUUGAUCCUCUUUGGCAGCAAGCUAUGGAUGAGGAACUUUCUGCUUUGCAUAAGACAGAUACUUGGGAUUCGGUUCCUCUACCUCCUGGUAAAAAUUUUAUUGGUUGUCGUUGGGUGUAUAAAAUCAAGACUAAUUCUAAUGGGUUUAUUAAGCGAUAAAAAGCUAGGUUGAUUGGAAAAGGAUACUCUCAAUAGUAUGGUAUGGAUUUUGAGGAGACAUUUACCCCUAUUGCAAAAAUGACUAUUAUUCGUACUCUUAUUGUUGUAGCUUAAGUUUGUCAAUGGAAUAUCUCACAACUUGAUGUUAAAAAUGCCUUCUUGAAUUGAGAUCUUCAAGAAGAAAUUUAUAUGGUGCCUCCUCCUAGUGUUUUAUAUGACUCUAGGUAUGUUUGUAAGCUCAAGAAAGCGUUAUAUGGUCUCAAAUAAGCACCUUGGCUUGAGAAAUUUUCUAUUGUGAUCUCAUCUCUUGGAUUUGUUUCUGGUAAUCAUGAUUCUGCUCUUUUUAUUAAGUGCAUUGAUGUCGGUCAUAUCAUUCUAUCUUUAUAUGUUGAUGACAUCAUUAUUAUUGGUGAUGACAUUGAUGGUAUCUCAGUUUUGAAGACAGAGCUAGCUAGACAGUUUCAAAUAAAGGAUUUGGGUUCUCUACGAUAUUUCCUGGGUAUUGAGGUAGUUUACUCACCUAGAGGUUACCUUCUUUCUCAAUUGAAAUAUGUUGCAGAUAUUCAUGAGCGGGCUAGACUUACAUAUAACAAGACUAUAAACACUCCUAUUAAAGUUAAAGCAAGGUACUCUUCUUUUGAUGGUUGACCUUUGAUAGAUCCUACUUUAUACCAUAUUAUUGUUCGGAGCUCGGUAUAUCUCACCAUUACUCGUCUAGAUAAUGCAUAUGUUAUUCAUGUUGUUAGUCAGUUUGUUGUUUCUCCUACUAUUGGUCACUGGGCAGCUAUUCUUCGUAUUUUGCAAUAUCUUCAAUGUAUAGUUUUUUAUGACAACCAGAAUUCUAUUUAGAUUGUUCACAACUCGGUUUUUCAUGAGCAAACUAAGCACAUUGAAAACGAUUGUUAUCUUACUCAUCAUCAUCUCAAGCAUGGCACCAUUACUUUGCCUUUUGUUUCUUCUUCCUUGCAGAUUAUAGAUUGCUUUACCAAGACACAUUUCAUUUCUCGUUUUUGUUUUUUAGUUGGCAAACUCUCGAUACUUGUAAUUAUCACAUCGUGAGUUUAAGAGUAGAUGUUAAAUAAUAUUUAUAUAGUCUUAUUUAUUAAGGGUACAAUAGUAUUUUCAAUUUAACAUAUAUAUAAUUUCUUUGUAUUUAGGUUAACUCUAAGCACUCAUAAUAAACUGAUUAUUGAGAAUUCUAGUCUCAUUUUUCUAUAUGAUCUGAAUUAUUUUAACAAUAAUAUUUAUUUAACAUAUACAUGGUGUAUAGAACAAACUACAAGAUCUAUUUCUUAAAAAUUGCCCUAAUACAUAUUAUGUCGAUUAUUUUGCCCACUCAUCUAACUCCAUCAAUAAGUGGAAAGAGAUGCAAAGCUAAUUUUAAGAGCCUUUUUAUAAAAUAAAACUAGAAAUAACACUAACUAGCUUGGCUAGAAUAGUCUAAAAUCUAGAGGAGUGCAUAAAAGCUAUGGCCUUUCAAGACUUUGUCAACAGAGCAAGAAUGUACUAAAUCAAUUUUGAAAGUGACACAUUGGAACUUAAAAAAAAAAAUUAAAUAAGUAUUUAGAUAUUUAUAUUAUUUUAGAUGAUGUUACUCGAGAUGAAAAUAUUUUUGGAAAAUAAACAAACAAAAAAAACUAUUCAGAGGAAUAUACCUAGUGAACUAUUUAAACAAAGUGUGAUCGCGUAUUCAAUUACUGAUCUUGGUUCUGAACAGAAGUUUGAAAAAGUAAAACAACAACAACUUAUAUUGUUCAUAGAACUCAAAAAGAAAAAAUCGUUCAAAAUUAUUGCAUUACGAAUGCUAAACAAGGCUAGUAGAAGCAAAAAUGAUUAAGUGAGUAGAGAGAAUAUAUAUAUAUAAGGAGAAAGGAAACUUCCAAGAAACCACACAAUUCUAAGAAAUACUAUAAGUGACAAGAUUUAAGGAUACUUAAUGUUACGUUGAAUUAAAAUAUCAGAUCUGUAAACUAAUUAGAUUGAAAAAAACAGGUGGCUUACAAAAGAACACGCUUACAAGAUGCACUGGAUAGCUAGAUCUCCACUCUAUAAAUAGGCCUGGUUCGUUCUACUUCAAACCACUCUUCCCUAGCUACGCACUUCUUCCUUCUAUAUCUAUUGUUUCUGUUUCCUUCUUUCAUUUUACUUGUCAAUGGAAAGUGGGCUUAAGGCAUUGUGGAUGCUGUCUGCGGUGUUGCUGGUAUCAAACUGGCAACACUGGACUUAUGGAAAACGCGUACCUCAGGUUCCUUGCUACUUUGUCUUUGGAGAUUCUCUCUUUGAUAACGGAAACAAUAAUUACCUUGACAAAUCAGCUAAAGUUAAUUACCUUCCUUAUGGGAUAGACUUUGACACUGGGGCUACAGGAAGGUGCAGCAAUGGUCUCAACAUAGCUGACACCAUUGGUCUGCAGUUUUCUCUCCUCUCUUAUAAUACAAAAUAUAGUGCUUUAGUUUUCUUUAACAUAAAAAAUAAAUAUGUUCUCACUAGAUAGUUGUGAUCGUUUUAUUAAAUUACAAUUAGAAAUCUUGCUAAGUCUGGUACUAAUGUUUUUGUUGCUGAAAUUUACAUAAUUUAUUAGAAGAAGGAUGAUUAGGUUUGUUCUUUUGUUUCUUGUAUACCUAGAAACAUAAAUUUACAACGGUCUGAACAUAACCGAGUUUAGUAAUGUGGGCAGUUAUGAUCUUAAUUAUUAUUCUUUUGUUUCAGCUGACCAAUUAGGUUUCGACAGUUACAUUACGGACUUUGGUGUCGGAGGUUCCACUAAUUUUCUAGAUGGUGUAAAUUAUGGAUCAAAUGGAGCUGGCAUCCUUGAUUCUACUGGCUCUCUUGCGGUGAUUACUGAUCAUAUGCCUCUCAUAACUAAAACCUUGUAUUAUUCCGUAUGAAUUUUGCGUAAUCUUGUAUGCUUUGGCAACGCUAACUAUUGAUAUGUUUCUUUUGCGUAUGUGAAGGGAGAACUAUUUACGAUGAAUGAUCAGUUAUUUAAUCACAAUAAUAUCACGGUUUCACGAAUUUCCAAAAUCUUGGGAAGCGAGGAAGUUGCUAGGAAGUACUUGAGCCAAUGCAUCUAUGUGUCUGAUAUGGGCCAUAACGACUACCUCAACAAUUAUUUCUCGGACGACUACAAUAGCAGCCAGUUAUAUACUCCUGAAGAAUUUGCUCAACUUCUCAUUGAAACUUAUGAAACUCAGCUGGAGGUUAGUCCUACUUAAUGUCUCUUGUAAAACAACAAUUAAUGUUUGACGCGAUUGGAAACUAACAAAGACCCUUGCUGCCAGAAACUGUAUUGCUCAGGAGCAAGAAAGAUAGCUGUGUUAGGACUUAUUCGGGUAGGAUGUAUGCCGCACAACAUACAAAACCAUCCCAAAGACGUAGAUGCAUCUUCUUCAUGUGUAGAAAAGUUCAACAGUGAUGUUCAAAUUUUCAACUACAAGCUUCCAACACUGCUACAUAAACUUAAUGAAAAGCAUGCUGAUGCUGUGUUUACCUACAUAAACUCUUAUGAAAUUGAUUCUGAUGAUCAGACAAAUGCAGGUAUGAAUCCCCUCCCUCCCUUGCUCUCUCUCUCUCACGGCUGAAGACGACUUUUUUGUGAGACCAAAAUUAUUUUUUCUUGCUUGCAGGUUUUACACAUACCCGUCACAGCUGUUGUGAGGUAGCAUCUGGUUCAGUCCCAUGUACAUCUCUCUCCGUCCCAUGUAGCAACAGGAGUGACUAUGUGUACUGGGACGGAGCCCAUUUUACUGAAGCUAAAGCUUGGGCCUUUGGAAAAAGAGCAUAUAAAAGUCUGUCACAAAAGGAUGCUCAUCCAUAUGAUAUCAGCGAACUAGCUAAGCUGAAGCUUGAUGAUUCUGAUGCUUACAAUAUCAACCAUGCCCAGCUCUGAUGGAGAAGAUGAUUGUCCAAUAAGUUCUUAGAGAAUAAAAUAUUGUGACUGUAAGAACAAUGGAAAGACAUAUCUACUGUCUUUUCAUAGCCUUUCACAAUAUAAUUCCAAUAAAAUUUGCCUUUAGGCAUUAGUCUAAAGAAGCAAUAAUAAUUACUUAAUCAUUUGGAUAUCAUACUUAAACUCCAUUCAUAGAAGGAUUUAUUCUUAAAGUAUAGAAGUCGAUUCGGAGAUACUCUUGCCCUUAAAAUUGAAAGAAGGAUACAUACGUACUUGCAUAAACCAAAACAACUUCAUUUUUAUAGUUAUAUCUGUGAAAUCUCGUAUGUGGACAUGAUAGGUUUAUAGAUCAUGGCUUCUGCUGCUAGCUUUAAUUAAUGUCUCUACAAAUUCCUAUACUGAUAACACAAAAUCAAGGUCUCCAAAUUGAUGUGAAGUCUAUCUCAACAAAUUUCUAAACUGAUUGUGUGCUGCAUGACUUUGAUAUAUUUUAAGCCCUUCUUAACUGUUGAGAUUGCUGCUGACAUUGUCAAAGUUUUUCUGUUAAAUAAAUCCUACUGCGUAGGACACGUAGACUAAGUUUAUAACUGAUUUUCUAUUUGUUACCACAUAAAACGUGGGUUGUUAAGUUUCCUGUUCAACAUCAUGUAAGGCUUACAUAAGCCAACUGCUACGUUCUUUUAUUUUAAUAAGACAGUGGAUUUAGCAGUGAGUGAAAAUUGGUAUCAGAGCUGUCUAUAGGAUUUAGCAGUGAGUGAAAAGAAACUGCAGUUUCUUAAGGAGAGUUUAAAGAGUUUUUUAAACACAGAGAGAGUGAGUUUUAAAACACAGAGAGACUUAUUUUUAAGGAGAUUUAAACACAGAGAGUUUUAUUUACACAGAGAGUUUUAUUUUCUUUCAAAUGGCAGCUGAAAAUUUGUUUGUUCAACCUGCAAUUCCUAAGUUCGAUGGUUAUUAUGAUCAUUGGUCCAUGCUUAUGGAAAACUUUCUUCGUUCAAAAGAAUACUGGAGCUUGGUGGAGAAUGGUAUUUCUAUUGCAGCUGAAGGAGUGGAAAUAACUGAAGCACAACGACAAUCUAUUGCAGAUCAAAAGCUGAAAGAUUUGAAAGUUAAAAACUACUUGUUUCAAGCUAUUGAUCGGACUGUUAUGGAAACAAUUAUUAAUAGAGACACAACCAAGCAUAUAUGGGAUUCCAUGAAGCAGAAAUACCAGGGAUCUACAAGAGUGAAACGAGCACAACUUCAAGCUCUUAGAAAAGAAUUUGAAAUUCUACAGAUGAAAGAAGGGGAGAGUGCUGAUGCAUAUUUUGCCCGAACACUCAUCAUAGCCAAUAAGAUGAAGAUUCAUGGUGAAAAUAUACAACAAGUCAUGAUCAUUGAAAAGAUAGUGAGAUUAAUGACUUCAAGGUUUGAUUAUGUGGUGUGUUCUGUUCAAGAAUCCACAAUCUAGACACAUUAACAUUGACGAAUUACAGAGCAGUUUACUUGUCCAUGAGCAGAGGAUGAAUGGGCACCAAAGAGAUGAGCAGGCAUUGAAAGUUACAUAUGAUAACAGAUUUGGUGGAAGAAGAGGUAGUCAAGGACGUGGAGCAUUUCGGGGAAGAGGCAGAGGAAGAAUCAAUCCAGUUUUUAACAAAGCCUUAAUAGUGUUAUAAAUGUCAUCAAUUAGGACAUUUUCAGUAUGAAUGUCCGAAAUGGGAGAGGGAAGCAAAUUAUGCAGAGCUUGAGGAGAAAGAAGAGUUGCUGUUGAUGUCAUAUAUGGAGCACAAGCAAUCAUAUGUGUGCACACAAGCAGUGGUUUUCUGAUCUUGAUGAAGACUUUCAGCAAUCUGUAAAGCUAGGGAAUGAUUCAAAAAUGGUUGUGCUGGGAAAGGGUACCAUACGGUUGUAGCUUGCUGGAAUUAUUCAGGUAAUCACAGAUGUCUUUUAUAUACCUGAAUUGAGGAAUAAUCUGUUGAGUAUUGGACAAAUGCAAGAACGGGGAGUAGUUGUCUUCAUCAAACAUGGAGUUUGUAAACUCUAUCAUCCAAAGAGGGGACUUAUUGUGCAAACAACAAUGUCUGCAAACAGAACGUUUAUGUUGCAUACAACAAUUGCACCGAAAGCUACCAAUUGUUUUCAAACAACCAUUGAAGACAAUACUCAUCUUUGGCACUGCAGAUAUGGACACUUAAGUUAUAAGGGUCUAAAAAUAUUGCAGCAUAAACAAAUGGUUAGAGGAUUACCACAGUUGAAAGAUUCAUCAAAAAUUUGCACCGAUUGCAUGGUGGGCAAGCAAUACAGGGAGGCAAUUCCAAAGAGAAGUUUAUGGAGAGCAUCUCAAAGGUUGCAACUGAUUCAUGCUGAUAUCUGCGGUCCUAUCACACCUGUUUCAAACAGCAAGAAGAGGUAAUUUUUUAAGCUUUAUUGAUGACUAUAGCCGUAAGGUGUGGAUAUACUUCCUUGCUGAAAAAUCUCAGGCAUUCACUGUUUUUAAGAAUUAUAAAAACAUGGUUGAGAAAGAAGCAGGAAGUUUCAUUUGUUGUUUGCGUACAGAUAGAGGUGGGGAGUUUACAUCUUUUGAGUUCAAUAAUUUUUGCAAAGAUCAUGGUAUUAGCAGACAACUCACUGCAGCCUAUACUCCCCAACAAAAUGGAGUGGCUGAACGCAAGAAUAGGACCAUCAUGAACAUGGUCAGAAGCAUGUUGUCGGAGAAACAGGUUCCAAAGAAAUUCUGGCCAGAAGCUGUAAACUGGACAACACAUGUGCUUAAUCGAAGUCCUACUUUGGUAGUAAAAGAGAUGACUCCUGAAGAAGCUUGGAGUGGUGUUAAACCAAAUGUGAAUUAUUUUUGGGUCUUUGGGUGUAUUGGGCACGUUCAUGUGCCAGAUAAUUUGAGAAAGAAGCUGGAUGAUAAAAGCUUUCAAUGUGUGCUGCUGGGAAUGAGUGAAGAGUCUAAAGCAUAUAGACUUUAUAAUCCAAUAUCUGGGAAGAUAGUAACAAGCAGAGACGUGGUCUUUGAUGAGAAUGAGUGCUGGAAUUGGCAAGGGAAUAAAGAAGUAUCAGUAUCUAAUACUCUUGAGUGGGGAGAUAGCUAUGAAGAAGAGGGUGAACGUGAUCAAAAUGAAGCAGAAGAAGAAAUAGAAGCUGAUCAAAAUGAAGAAGAUGAAGAAGAAACAGGAGUUGGCUUACCUUUGUGUAAUGCAGAAGCCAGCUCAUCUUCAUGCAAUCCUGUAAGAGAACAUUCACGUUCACUUGCAGCUCACUCAACAGAAGCUGCAACAGCAGGGUCACCAGUAGGGAGAAGCACAGAUGGUUCACCAGAUAACUUGCACAGUUCUCCUAUAGAAGACUCACUAGCAGGCAGAAGCAGAAGAGUGCCAUUCUGGAUGGAAGAUUACGUGAGUGGAGGAGAAUUUACAGAAGAAGAAGCUGAGCAAAACUUGCUUUUAUUCACCUCACUCACUGAUCCAGUCACCUUUGAAGAAGCAGUGAAGUUUGCCAAAUGGAGAAUUGCAAUGAAAAUGGAAAUUGACGCAAUUGAAAGAAAUGAAACUUGGGAGCUAACAGAUUUGCCAAAAGGGAUGAAGAAAAUCAGAGUAAAAUGGGUCUUCAAGACUAAACUCAAUGAAAAUGGCGAAGUUGAUAAAUGUAAAGCUAGAUUGGUGGCGAAAGGGUAUGCACAACAACAUGGCAUUGAUUAUACUGAAGUAUUUGCACCAGCGGCUAGAUGGGAUACAAUUCGAAUGGUGAUUGCUUCAGCACCUCGACAUGGCUAGAAUGUGUAUCAGCUUGAUCAAAAGUGCCUUUUUGUAUGGCAAAUUAAAUGAAGCAGUGUUUGUUGAGCAACCACGAGGUUAUGAGAAGAAAGGUGAAGAGCACAAGGUGUACAGAUUAAAAAAGGCAUUAUAUGGCCUUAAACAAGCCCCUCGUGCAUGGUAUAGCUGAAUUGAAACAUACUUUGUCAAAGAAGGAUUUGAGAGGUGCAGUUGUGAACACACUUUAUUCAUAAAGACAGGAAAUGAAGGUACAAUUUUGAUCGUUAGCUUAUAUGUUGAUGAUUUAAUUUUUACUGGUAAUAGUGAAAGUUUGUUUGUUAAAUUCAAGAAUUCUAUGAAACUUGAAUUUGAUAUGACUGAUUUGGGCAAGAUGAAAUAUUUUCUUGGUGUGGAGGUUCUUCAAAAUUCUGAUGGAAUUUAUAUUAGUCAAAAGAAAUAUGCAAAAAAUGGUUUGGAGAGAUUUGGAAUGGAAAAAAGUAACAGUGUGAAGAAUCCCAUUGUCCCUGGUGUUAAAUUAAUGAAGGAUGAAGAAGGAGCCAAAGUAAAUGCUACUGUGUAUAAACAGUUGGUUGGAAGUCUUAUGUAUUUAACUGCAACAAGGCCAGAUUUGAUGUAUGUUGUAUGUCUCAUUAGUAGAUUUAUGGCAAAUCCAACUGAGAUACACUUACAAGCUGCAAAAAGAGUGCUUAGAUACUUGAAAGGUACGGUGGAUUUGGGAAUUUUUUAUCAAAAGGAAGGAAACAGAGAGUUGUUGGCAUAUACAGAUAGUGAUUAUGCAGGAGAUGUGGAUGACAGGAAAAGUACUUCUGGUUAUGUGUUUUUACUUAGUGAAGGAGCUGUUUCUUGGCCUUCAAAAAAGCAACCGGUGGUUACUUUAUCGAGUACUGAAGCAGAGUUUGUAGCAGCUACAUCUUGUGCAUGUCAAGGAGUAUGGAUGAGGAGAGUUUUGGGAAAACUUGGUAAUUCUCAAGGAAAGUGUACUACUGUUUUAUGUGACAACAGUUCAACAAUUAUGUUAUCAAAGAAUCCAGUUAUGCAUGGGCGCAGCAAACACAUUGAUGUAAGAUUUCAUUUUCUGCGUGAUCUGACUAGAGAUGGAGUUUUGGAACUGAAGCAUUGUGACACACAAGAACAAAUUGCAGAUAUUAUGACAAAACCACUCAAGCUGGAUGUAUUUUUGAAGUUGCGUAAGUUAUUGGGUGUGUGUUAUGUACCAGCCUUAAACUGAAAGUAUUACUACGUCCAGUUUAGGAGAGGCAUUGUUGAGAUUGCUGCUGACAUUGUCAAAGUUUUUCUGUUAAAUAAAUCCUACUGCGUAGGACACGUAGACUAAGUUUAUAACUAAUUUCUAUUUGUUACCACGUAAACGUGGGUUGUUAAGUUUCCUGUUCAACAUCAUGUAAGGCUUAUAUAAGCCAACUGCUACGUUCUUUAUUUAAUAAGACAGUGAGCAUCAAGUUGUUUUAUUCUCUCAACAUUAACUCCUUUUCCUCAUGAUUUUUAAAAGAAAACUAUACUUCAUUAUACUGGGAGUGAGACGAGAGGAAUUAAAUCCUAACACAAAUUAAUAUCCAAGUGUAUAAAUUAAAACUUCUUUUUUUAUUAUUUAAUUUAGAACUCUUUUAGCUUUAUUUAUGAUGUUUAUAUUAUUAUAUAAACAACCAAACCAAAGAGAGUUGAGAUAUUCAGUAUUGAUUGAGUAAUAAAAAAUAAAAUUUGUUUUCUUCAUAGUAAAGAAUAAUGUUUUUUUAUAAACUUCUAUAUAUAUCUAUAUAUAUAUGAUUGUUAUAUUAUUUUUUUUGUGUAUUUUUUGUUUGCGUCAAAUUCUUACCAUUAUGGGAUAUAAUAUAUUUUCACUACAAGAUUUCACAGUUUUACAGACGGAAAUAUUCUGUCGGUGUAUGAUAGAAAGUUCGUCGGUAAAUUAAUUACCGACUAUAUUACCGACGGAAUACGCCCGUUGGAAUACCUUUUGUCGGUGAUUCCACAUUCCGUCGCUAUAUCGGUCAGAAAUACAAAAAAACAUUUACCGACGGACCGUGCGCGCCAAAAAAAAAAAGUUUCCUGCUUGGAAUAUACCGACGGAAAAUAUUCCGUUGGUGUUAUGUUAAUACCGAUGGACUAAAUCCGUCGGUAAAAGUGUCGAUGAUAUUUCAUACCGACCGAAUAUUUCCAUCUGUAAAUUCAUCGGUGAUGGGAUGGAAUACCGAACAAAUCUGUCCGUCUGAAUAUUCGUGGGUGAUGGUGGCAGACACUGUCCAAUGCCGACGGAGUUAUUCCGUCGAUAAAUCCAUGUGUAAUUGUUUUUUUAAUUUUUUAGAAAAAAUAAUAUAAAUUAAUGAUAAUACAAACCAAUUAUGCAAAUAAAAUUUAUAUUAAGCAAUAAAAACUCAAAGUUAAAUAAUAUUCAUUACAAAAUGAAUGUGUUUCAAAAAAACAUUAAACGAAAUUUUAAAUAUAAAUAAUGUUUAUUAAAAAUUAAUAUAAAGGUGGAGGAGGAGGAGGAGGAGGCUGGGGGUUAGGCGGCCAAAAAGAAUUAGGCGCACAUGUUCCACCUUGUGUCAUGUUCAUGACCAUUUGGCGAAGCUCUUCAUAGGCCGCUCUUUGUUGUUCAGACUCUGCUCUGUGUUGUUCGUUCGCCAAUCUUUGCUCUUCUUUUAGUUGUGUGUACGCCUCUGAUAGGUGGUCGCGCCUUUGCUGCAAAGCCACGAACUCCUUAGAUUGGGAGCUCGAUACAGAUUGGGAGCUCCCAACGGUUGAAGCAGUACCGGUCAACUGCAAGUUGGUGGCGGUAGUGUUGGAGAGCCCGUAAACCCGAUUUUUAUCGGGUCCACCUGACGAUCCAACCGCCAUCCACAAAUCCAGAUCGAAUUCCGGAUGGGUUGAAGGAUCGUCCCCGUAUCUCUCCCUCAACCGAUUAUUAUAGGUCUCCUGAAAAAAAAAAUCAUAUUCAAUUCAAUAAACAUAAUAAUAACUUACAAAAUAAAAUGGUUGAACAAACAUACCACAAACUGUUGAGCACGGUUGUCAACGAACUGUUGCGUCCCCUUUUGGCGGUCAUGACUCCGCACGUGCGUCUCCACAAACAGCUCCAUAGGGCUCGGCUCACGUCCAAGAGACGUAGCCUAUAAUGAAAAAAAUGUAUUAACAACAAAUUAAUUGAACGAUAUAUUUCAUUUAAAUUAAUCUUACCAUCCGUUUCGCAUGUGCAGCAAACGGAACGGAGCCGCCGGUGUGCGUUGUCACCGAGCCAUGAAUUGGCCGAUUCCGGUUGCCAGCACCGGACUGUGAGCGUCGAGUGAACCGCUCAGACGUCACGUGCUGAAGAUAGUGCGGCCAUAUAUCUUCCGGGAUGUAUAUUGGUUUGAAAUCCCUCCAAACCGCAACAUCGUUCCAGCCUUGGAACCCCUUAUCCCUCGCUGUUUUUUUUUGCUUUUUUCUGGGUGUCAUACCAAAAAUCACGCAACCUAAUUCACGCACGAAAAAAUUACAUUUCGAAACAUAAAUAAUUAUGUAAAAAAAAGUCGUAUUGUUUUCGAUGUUACCUAAUUGCCGCGUGAUUUUCCCACACCCUCCUCACAACAGUGUCAUGUUCAUCGUCCCAGCAGAAUCGAUGCUGUGUAUAAAAAAAUAAUUUUUUAAAAUGUUAAUAAUUUAUUUACAAUUAUAACUAGAAUUUAUUAGAAAUAAGCUGAAAAUUAUAUAUUAACACGAACCUCAAAUCUACGAAACCAUGCAUUGAUUUGAGGCAUCCAUUCAGGAUGCCUGGAUAUCUGACUCCAUUGAAACAAUGGAAUCUCCAUCGACGCUUUAAACGCCGAUGAUAUUACUCGGGCGGCCUCAAUGUUUGUGAGCCUGAAAAGAAAUGAAAUUAAUGAAAUAGUCAUUACUUCAUAAAUUAUGUUUUAAAUUUGUUUUUAUAUAUAUAUAUAUAUAUAAAACUAAAACUCUUAACAAACUUACAUUGAAAGAUCGUCCUUCCACUGUGCCUCGUACUUGUGGGUAAAUUGAUUCCGCUGCGAAGGCACGCCGCUUCUGCAAUGUGAAACAUCGCUGGAAGAGGCAACAUCGCUUCUACAAUUCACAAAUUAUUCAAUAAUUAUGUCAAUACAACAAAACUAUAAAUUCAAAAUAAAUAGAAACAAUUAAACACAAAUCAUCAAGUUAGAGUAAAAUUAAUAAUUCUUCCAACAUAUUCAAUUAUUAAAUCUAAGAUAAAUUCAACAUUAACAAUAUUAAUUCAACAAAUUAUUAAAUAAUUAUGGCAAUACAACAAUAAAAUUAUUCAAUAAAAUAAAAAAGAAUUAUAGCCUAACAAUUAAAAUCAAUGGAAACAGUUAAACACAAAUCAUGCAAUAAUAUAAAAAAAAUACUAAUUAUUCCAACAUAUCCAAUUAUUAAUUCUAAGGUAAAUUCAACAUUAACAAUUAUAAUUCAACAAAUUAAUCAAUAAUUAUAUAUGGCAAUACAACAAUAAAUUAUAUUCAAUAAAUUAAAAAAAAAUAUAGACUAACAAUUAAAAUCAAUGAAAAUAAUUAAACACAAAUCAUGCAAUAAUAGAGUAAAAUUAAUAAUUAUUCUAACAUAUUCAAUUACUAAUUCUAAGUUAAAUUCAACUUUAACAACAAAUAUUCAACAAAUUAACUAAUAUGUUAUUAUGACAACAAAACAAUAAAAAAUAUUCAAAAAAUUAAAAAAAAAACCUACAUCAAGAAAAGGAACGAAAUAUACAUACCUUGAUAAUGUGACAAAUUCAAAACUUUAUCUACAUUACAAAAAAAAAACCAAAACAACAAAAUAAAAAAAAUAAAAACAACUAAAAAUAAAUUAAAAGUAAAUAAAAUAAAUUGGAAAAAAACACAUACCUUUUAAUAUGAGGAAGAUUCACAACACUAAAUCUGGCUAGUGAUUGAAAGCAAAAAAAUAAAAAAUCUGAGGUGCAAAACGGAGGAGAAGAGAAGAGAAGCGGUGAAGGGAGAAGAAGAAAAAAUGAGGCGAAGCGGCGGGGGCUGGAACUUAUAUGGCAGUUUUGCCGACGGACUCACCGACAGAAUUAAUAUCCGUUGGUAACAGUUCAAAAAUCCGUCGGUAAUUUUUUGAAUUUCGCACCGAAUUUUUAAAAGCCCUCCAUAUUUUUCGACGUCCGUCGGUAUUUCUGUCAGUAAUAUGUGUGACCGAAAAAUUACCGACGGAAAUAUUCCAUCGGUAUUAGCGUUGAAAAAUCCAUCGGUGAAUGUGGCAUUUUGUUGUAAAUAUUUUCGAACUCUCUGUGAGAUACCGACGGACUAGUAUCCGUCGGCAUACUCGUCGGUGAAGGUGGCAUUUUGUUGUAAUUAUUGUCGAACUCUUUGUGAGAUAUCGACGGACUAUAAUCCAUCGGCAUACCCAUCGGUGAAGGUGGCAUUUGUUGUAAUUAUUUUCGAACUCUCUGUGAGAUACCGACGGACUAGAUUCCGUCGGUAUACCCGUAGGUGAAGGUGGCAUUUUGUUGUAAUUAUUGUCGAACUCUCUGUGAGAUACCGACGGACUAGAAUCCGUCGGCAUACCCGUCGGUGAAGGUGGCAUUUUGUUGUAAUUAUUUUCGAACUCUCUGUGAGAUACCGACGGACUAUAAUCCGUCGGUGUAUGUGUCGGUGAAUCCGUCGGUAAUAUCUCGGUGUUGGUGGCAUUUCACGUAAUUAAUUUCGAACUCUCUAAAAUUUCGAACUGAUAAACUGUCCAUCACAUAAAACAAUAACCUCAUUGCUUAAACAGUAAAUAUUUUAUUUUACAAAAUACAUCAUCGAUAAUCUAAAUUACAUGAGACAAAUAUUUUUACAUAGGGCUUCAUUUUCAUAAUUUGUCGGAAUUUUCUUCUUCUUCCUCAUCAAUUGAAUUGUCAUCAUCUUCAUCGCAAUCUUCAAUAUAGAUAUCAUCUUCUUCAUCGACAUUUGCUUGUCCGCUAGAGCUGAGAACAACAUUCAACUCCUCUCCGUCAAUAUCAAUAAGAAUAUCAUCGAGAACUCGAAAAUUUGAAUUCAUCUCGCACACUUGUGUCUUCGUUCUCAUCCUGAACAACCUCGACACAACCCCGUGGUUUCGUUUUUAAAAUGGACAACCAAUCAACUCUUGAUCGAUCCUUUCUAAAUGAAGGGGUGUAUGUGUAAUAAACUUGUUGACAUUGCUUUGCGAAAACAAAGAACAUCGUUUAUGUUGCAGAGUCUAGCUUUUGAGUUGAUUUCGACCAGACCAUGGUGCAGAUCAACUCUGAUUUUCUCUGUCGUGUCAUACCAAUAGCAUUUGAAUAAAAAUACUUUAUUCUGCUCGCUAUGAUAUUGCAGUUCGACGACCUCUUCUAAUCUACCAUAGUAGUCAACUUCUAACUGGCUACUUGUGGAUCCCUUAACACAAACACCGCAGUUGUAUGUCUUUCUUCCUUGCCCGUAUUCUUUAGUAUGGAAAACAUAUCCAUUGACAAAAUACCCGUUGUAGCACUUAACUUUUCUUUCAGGGCCGAGGCUUAGUGAAGACAAUGACUUAGGCGCAAUCCUUCCCAUUUGAUAAACCUUGUAAAUAUAUGUAAUUAAAUGUACAUCAAUAAACGGUAAAUGAACGAGAAUCUCGUAAUGACAUGCAUAUGUUAGAAUGAGUUUGUGAUAGUGCUUACAUGUUUCUGAACCAUGUGGCAAAUUGUUCAUCUUGUAAUUGAAAGAUCUGGGAUUCGGUCAGCUGCGAGUUAUUGGAGAAAAAUAUUGUCGAUGUUGCCUGCAAGUGAUAAUGAGUGUAUAUAUUACAAUAUAUAAUUAACAGUAUAUUACUGACAAAGUUUAAUUAGUAUUACACAUAUAUAGACUUACUGAAUAAAUGGUCUCAGCUCAUCACAGUUAAAUAAAACAUAGUUGUGUGCUUGUUUGAAUUCUAUUUCCGACAAAUAUCUUCCUCUUACGGCAUUUUUAGGUGUGGGUCGUCCAGUAUUGGAGAAUAUUGACAAGUUCCCACUGGAAGGCACUUCACCGCCAUCGUCAUGCCGUGGAACGCGAUUGAUUCUUGUUCUCAGAUGAGGUUCGAAAUAGUACGAGAUAAAUGUUGAUAUCUCUUCAACAAUAUAGGCCUCAGAUAUCGAAGCCUCAACAUGCGCCUUGUUCUUAACCUUUUUUUUAGAUUAAACAAGUACCUGCAUUGAAGUACAAUUCAAGUAUUUUCAAUUAAGAAAAACAUAGAAAAUACUUUAAGAUAUGAAUUCCAUUGCAACUGUAAUAUCUCACCGUUCGAAUGGGUACAUCCAUCUAUACUGGACCGGUCCUCCAGCUUUUGCCUCGAACGGUAGAUGUAUAGGGAGAUGCUCCAUUGAGUCAAAAAAUGGAGGGAAUAUCAUCUCAAGUUUGCAUAGUGUCUCGAUGAUAUUCGUUUGAAGCAUCUCAAUGUGCUCAACAUUCAUCUUGCUGGAGCAUAUAUCUCUGAAGAAAUGACUGAUCUCCGUUAGUGCAUCCCAUAUUCCCUUUGGCAACAAAUCACGAAAAGCUAAUGGGAUGAGUGUUUGCAUAAACACGUGGCAGUCAUGACUCUUCAUUCCAUACAAUCUGCAGUCCUCUAUGUUAACAAGCCUUGAUAUGUUCGAUGCAUGUCCAUCCGGGAAACGCAGACUCUUAAGCCAUUUGUAGACUAGCAGUUGUGCGUUUUUCUCUAACACGAAGCUUGCCCUUGGUUUUGCAACCCGUGACUCGUCAUAAACCAACUCCAUAUUUUUACGGUUACAGUAUAAAGCUAUAUCCAAUCUAGCCUUCAUGUUGUCCUUUGUCUUCCCCUUCACAUCCAUGACGGUGUUGAAAAUAUUCUCAAACACGUUCUUUUCGAUGUGCAUGACGUCAAGGUUAUGGCGGAGAAGAUUAGUCUUCCAAUACGGAAGCUCCCAAAAGAUACUUCGCUUUACCCAAUUAUGGGUCAAACCAAAACCAGGAAACUUUUGCUUACCUGAUUGAAGGCCAAACACAAUGUCACCGUACUCUGAUACAACAUGAUGCAAUUCUUCACCAGAAAGACGCGGGGAUGCAACAUCUUUUUCAACUCUACCAACAAAGAAAUCUUUUCUGUUCUUUCUGAACCUGUGAUUAAGUGGCAAGAAGCGACGGUGACAGUCAAAAAAAGAAGCUUUACCUCCGUUUGCUAGCGUGAAUGCCUUGUUGUUUUCCAUGCAGUAUGGACAUGCGAGUUUCCCAUGCGUGCUCCAACCAGAAAGCAUUCCAUAAGCUGGAAAAUCACUGAUAGUCCACAUCAAAGCCGCCCUCAUAAGGAAAUUUUGUUUCCUCGAUAUAUCAUAAGUCAGAGAUCCGGAGGACCACAACUGCGCCAGCUCAUCUAUCAACGGUCGAAGACAAACAUCUAUAUUCCGCCCCGGGCUGCUUGGACCGGGUAUGACAGUAGAUAGAAACAUGAACUCCGGCCUCAUACACAUUCCCGGUGGCAAGUUAUAAACUGUGAGAAUGACCGGCCAACAAGAAUAGGGAGCAGCAAAUGACCCAAAUGGGUUGAACCCGUCUGUACACAACCCAAGUCGAACAUUCCUUGAUUCAGCAGAAAAGUCAGGAUGAACACUGUUAAAGCGUUUCCACGCUUCGCCGUCAGAAGGAUGCACCAUCACACCAUCAACGACAUCGUGUGUUUGGUGCCAUGUCAUGUGCUCAGCAGUCCUUGGUGACAUAAAUAACCUCUGCAGUCUAGGUGUGAUCGGGAAAUAUCUAAGUUUUUAUAUGCCACUAGAGUCUUCCCCUGCCAGUUCUGGGUUUGUAACGGGAAUGCCCGCAUGUCAUGCACUCGGUCAUCUCAGCAUUUUCAAGGUAGUAUAACAUGCAGAAGUUAGGGCACAUGUCAAUUUUCUGGUAUCCUAAACCGAGGGGUUUCAUCAUGGACUUCGCAGCAUAGAAGUUCUCUUUGAGCCUGUUCCCUUCAGGUAAAAUGCUUCUUGCCCAAUCAAUAAUUUUGUCAUACCCGGCCUCACUCAACCCGUGAUCUGACUUGAUGGUGAACACCUGUGCCACAGCCGAUAAUUUACUGUGGUUUAUGCAGCCAUCCCAUAAUGGUUCGUCAGAAUCUUUCAACAAAUAAAAAAACCUUGCUGCCUCUGCAUUAGGUUCUUCUUCUACGAUUGGACAUUGAUUGACAUUAUCUUGAUUCAUUCUCAUUGCAUCCAUUACCAUGUUUCUGUAAGGAUUAGUGUUGUCAUUUGCCGCUUCAUGCACGUUGCUAGCACUAGAAGUUGACCCAACCACCGUUUCUCCCAUUCUCCUAUUACUAACAAAUACCUCUCCAUGUGCAUACCAACACUCGUAAUCCUCCACAAACCCUUUGUGUAGAAGAUGCAUCAUUACAACAUCUGGAUGCAGAUACUUCUAUCGAACCUCUAUAAAAAGGACCCAUUAAGCAAGCUCUUAAUUAUUUCAAAACAUAACAUGUAAUCCGGUAAUUCUACAAAUUAAGUUUUAACAAUUUACAAACAAAUACAAUCUUACAAAAUCUAAAACAAACCAUAACAAGUAUAAAAUUAUACAUUCAUAUACUACAAGUUUGUUUGAGAAAUAACAAUAAAACAUGUACAUCUACUAAAAAAAAAAUACAUAUACUAAAAAAACAAUAAAAUUGACAUUUAAAUGUUAAAAUUUUAAAAGAUAGAAUUACUUACAAAAAAUGAUAAAAUCCAUCGGUAAAUCAGAACACGGAUGCUGUGACCACAAAACUUCAAGAAGUACAACUUGUUGUGCUGAGAUGAGGAAGAUUUUUGUUUUGGGGCGAGGGGGGACUGGUUAUUUGCAGAUUAGGAGGGUUAGGAUUAGGAAGAAGAAGGAGAAAUGGGGGAGGAGAGUGUCGGCAGAGUGGCCAUAUAUUCACUUUUGCCGACGGACUUACCGACGGUUUUAUUCCAUCAGUGAAUACGUCGGCGAAACCGCCGGUAAUUCUGACGGGCAAUCGACACGUCACCGCACGGACCUGCUAUUCAAAUCCCUCGGUGAUUCCGUCGGUAUUUUUAACGGUGCACCGGUCGCGUCACCGGUACGGAUCUGGCAUUUCAAAUCCAUCGGUGAUUCCGUCGGUAUUAUGGAUGGUGAACAGGUCCCAUCACGCGUACGGCUCCCCGAUUUUCAUUCCGUCGGAAACAUCACCCGCCAAAACCUCCGCGCCUUUUUUGUCAUUAAUUUUGAAUUUUCUGUCGGUAAUUCGGUCGGUAAUUACCGACGGACUAUAUCCGUUGGUAAUUACCGACCGAAUUAUUCUGUCGGUGAGUUCAACCGAAAAAUACCUACAGAAAAAAUUCAGUGUUUGGAGGCGCAAAAUAAAACUAUACCAUGAUAAACAUGAAUGUUUAAAUUGUAAUUUACCAAUAAAAGUUACUCCGCUAUGAUACUAUAUGUAACGUAUCAAUUUUUUUUUAACGAUUAUCUAAUAUUAAUUAAUUAAUUAAUAAAAUGGGAAAAAUAGCCAGCAAGGAAGUGGCUUAAAAUUUCAUUUCCCUAUUUCCUUCUCUAUGUACAUGAUUUAAAGUAUCGGAUUUAUAAGCCAUACUUAUACAUUAGAUUUGCAUUAAACUCACUGCAUAACCUCCAUGGCCAGUUAUCUGGAUCCCUUUCAAACCAAUGAACGUAUUUGCUGAAUAUGACUCCAAAUAUAAUCUACUUGCUGAAAGUUUGCGCUAGAGAUGCUUAUCUCCGUUAAGUUCUUUCCAUUGCAAGAACUUUCACCUCAUAUGAAUCUAUACUUAUACAGUAGAUCUAUUAGUUUUUCAAAUGAAGCCGAAUUCAUUAAUGAAUCAAACUUUUUUUUUUUUUUUUACGAAGUUGAGAUUUACUAAAGAUGAGGAGCAGUAGCCAGUAAGAUGGUGGCCAAGACUGGAAAUGGAAAAGCAAUCUAUGGCCAAUUUAUAUAAUCAGAAUUUCUACCUGUUAUUACGUACACCUACAACAAUCUUGUGACAGCAAGAGAGACACAACAGAAACAAUACUCUAGACCUAGAAAUUAAACAGGGAAUAAAAAUCAAGUAUGACAUUCUUUAAACUCUUCUCUCCUGUUCUCAAUUUCCUAGAAUAGCUUUACUAGGCCAUCUGCCAGUACAUUUAUAAUAACCAAAAAAUAUAUAUGUUUUUUACACUAUGUUUUCUAAUAACCAGUACAUUAUUUUUAUAAUUUUAAUAUGUCUAAUAAAUUUUAUAAAUUAAAUACUAAAAAAUAAAAAUUUUAACAUUUUAUAUUUUAAUCCUUGCUUCUUGCUUUUUAUGACAGAUUUUUUAUCAAGUUGGAGUUCCAUAAUGUUGAGUCAAGGUUGAGUGAUUUGACAGUGUUGAUGUGAAAGGAGUUAUUGAAAAUUCCCAUCCUUCUAUCUUAUUUCCUAUAGUACAAUUAUUUGAACUUUUAACUAUGAGUUUCUUAAAAUGGAAUUUCGAGGGAGCUGGUCAUAUACAUAAGCCUACAUCUUUAUGUUGAAGUGAUGUUUUUGAGAUUUAGUUUUGUUCAAGAACUUUAAUAAUUUCUUAAAUUAAUGGCAUUAGAGUUAUAUUAAUAAAAGUUUAUAAAAAUAUAGACUUUAGAUCUCUAAGCUCACGUACUGAAAUACAGACUUUUAUCUAAAGAAAUAAACCAUUAAAUUUGAGUGUUCUAGCUUAGAAGUACCAAAACCUUAAAAAAAUUCCAUGAAUGUUUUUCAUCAAUAACAAGAGGAAUAUUUUGAUCUAUUUAUUUUUCCACAUUAAAUCUAAAUAUAAAUUAUUUUAGAAAUAUGUCUAAAUCUAUCAAAUUUAACAAUUAGUAUCAAAGCCACAAUGAUAAUACAUUUGUCUUGAUAUCGAUAUUGAUAUAUUUGUCUAAGAAUUCUUGUUCUCAAAGAAAUUAAUUAAUCUACUUAAUUACAUUUUUUAUGGAUUUUUUUAGUGGUCAAUUGAUUUUUUAAUUUUGUCAUAUUCUAUCAACCCUGAAGAUUAUAGGAAUAACCUUGGUUCCCAAAUUAAAUUAACGAUUAUGUUGACUUUAUUUAUGGCUUGAAAUUUUAGUUUAUGGUGGAAUGAGUUGCUAUAAUUUCCAUAAGAAUGCCAGCUAGAAUAGGAAUAAAUUGAAAAGCAUUUGUUCAAAAAUAAACAUUUGGGAGUUUUUAUUUUAUAGGUGUUGUCAUAAUCUAAUUUUAAAACCACUAAAUGUUUUUUUAUAAAAAUACAUAUUUUUUAUUAAAAAAUAAAAAAAUUAUAUCCAAAAAAAUCUUCAGCGCAUGAGGAGAUAAAAAAAUAAAUUUGAAAAUCAAUUAGGCAAAAAUUGAAAGAAUUAAUUAAGUUGAAGAACUUAAUUAAACUUCUAAUGGGUUUUAUGGAUUCAAUUGAAAACUCAAUUGACCAAACGACAAUUGAAACUUUGAAAGGUUAAAUUGGUGUCAUCAGGGGUUCAAUUGAAAGAUAUUUUAAGAUUGAAGGUUAAUUGAGGGUCAAGUUAAAGAAUUUCAAAACUGAGAACCAAAGUGCAAAUAUCACCUGAGUUAGGGGACUGAAAUUAAUCAAAUCAAGGGUCAAUUUGAGAGAAACUGAAAGUUUGAUGGUUGACAGGGGUUAAAUUGUUUAAUGUGAAAAUUGAGGAUCAAAUUAAAAGGCGCUCAAAUUAAGGGAUUUUAAUCAAGUUUUCAGAGGUGUAAUUGUAAAAAGUAAAGGGUGUUUAUGCUGAAAUUUUUUUAAAAAACACAAUGACUAAAUUAAAGUUUUUUUUGGUUUCAGCUGAACAAUUAGGUUUCGACAGUUACAUUUCGGACUUUGGUGUUGGAGGUUGCACUAAUUUUCUAGAUGGUGUAAAUUAUGGAUCUAAUGGAGCUGGCAUCCUUGAUUCUACUGGCUCUCUUGCGGUGAUUACUGAUCAUAUGCCUCUCAUAACUAAAACCUUGUAUUAUUCCGUAUGAAUUUUGCGUAAUCUUGUAUGCUUUGGCAACGCUAACUAUUCAUAUGAUUCUUUUGUGUAUGUGAAGGGAGAACUAUUUACCAUGAAUAUUCAGUUAUAUAAUCACAAUAUCACGAUUUCACGAAUUGCCAAGAUCUUGGGAAGCGAGGAAGUUGCUAGGAAGUACUUGAGCCAAUGCAUCUAUGUGUCUGAUAUGGGCCAUGACGACUACCUCAACAAUUAUUUCUUGGACGACUACAAUAGCAGCCAGUUAUAUACUCCUGAAGAAUUUGCUCAACUUCUCAUUGAAACUUAUGAAACUCAGCUCGAGGUUAGUCCUACUUAAUGUCUCUUGUAAAACAACAAUUAAUGUUUGACGCGAUUGGAAACUAACGAAGACCCCCGCUUCAUUCCGUUUUUUUCCCCUUGCUGCCAGAAACUGUAUUGCUCAGGAGCAAGAAAGAUAGCUGUGUUCGGACUUAUUCGGGUAGGAUGUAUGCCGUACAACAUCCAAAAAAAUCCCAAUGAACUAGAUGCAUCUUCAUGUGCAUACAAACGUCAGUCACCAAAGGAUGCUCAUAUCCAUAUGAUAUCAGCGAACUAGCUAAGCUGAAGCUUGAUGAUUCUGAUGCUUACGAUAUCAACCAUGCCCAGCUCUGAUGGAGAGGACGAUUGUCUAAUAAGUAGUAAGAAUAAGAUAUUGUGACUGUAAGAACAAUGGAAAGACACCAAUAGAAGAAAGGUUGCGAGCUAUCACUACGAAACAGGCAGCCCACAAACUCUUUCUGAAUUAUCCACUCCUCUUCUUCCUCCUCAUAAAACUUAAACAUCCCAUCUUCAUCAACUACGAUAACGUUGAAUACGACCUUAAAAGCUGUUACCUGUAAAAGAAUCAAAGAAAGCAAGUACAGAUCAGUGGAACUACAGUAACUUUAGCUUUCCCUUUCGUCCCCGAUCCCCUUCUCACCAAACCCAUCAGGCCAGCCACCACUCUCCUCGCCAGCGACCACAACCAACAUCCUCAACAGCAGCCCCAGUCAUCAUCCUCAUCUAGAGCACUACCGACUGCCUGUAUCGGCCAGCCUCUCUACACCAGCACCGCGAGCAGCAUCCUUGAGUGACGGCUACACUUCUCUUCAUCUACAACACGACCACAAGUUUCAGCAUCAGCAAAUGCCAGUGUUGGUGUUUCGCCCAGUUGGGUUUCUGCUUAUAAGAAGGAGAGAAGCAGUGAAGAGAUCUUAAGCUGUUUUAACCAGGUAAGUUGCCUUACUAGUAAAUGAUCAAAUCAGUUUCUUUAAGGAAUAUCGAUUCACAGGAAUGAUGGGAAUACAGUUCUGCAUCUAGCUACUGCUGGGAAACUUAGUACUAUGAUUUGGUAAUAGUCGUUCUGGAUGCUCAUGUAAUUCUCAGAGAUGAUUGCCACAAAUAAAGAAGUUAAGGUGCUACGUGCAAACAUGAUCCCAUCCAAAAAGUCUUCGCUCGCCCUGCAAACCAGACUAUAGCAACUCUACAGACUCUGAAUAAUCUAGCCUCUCAAGUACAUGUAAACACAACUUUCAAGCUCAGAUAUCCUCACCCUGCCCCUCUUCAACACCCACAACAACCUUCCAUUCUCCUUGUUACACAAAGUCUACCAAGACCUGUACACCACACAAUAAACAUCCACAACAACAAUUCUAAUUCUAACACAACAUUUUCGGCCUUUGCCUCUUCUAAGUUCUUUUUUGAAAGUUUCCCAUCAUGGUUAGAUUAUCAUGACCUCAAAAAGACGUUUUUAAAGAUUAGUUCUAUUACCAACCUUUUUGUCUCCAGGAAAAAAACCUCGUGAGGGAGAUGAUUUGGUUUUGUUUCCUUCCUCUCCACUUUAAACGAAAAAACCUCGCGAGGGAGACGAUUUGGUUUUGUUUCCUUCCUCUCCACUUUAAACGAAUCAGAAAUUUGUGACAGCUUGAACCUUAUUUGGUUCAAUUCAUACAAAAUUCAUGCAAAUCCAGUUAGAUUUCAAAAUCCUCUAGAGGGGAAAAAACCAAACCUUGUUAAAAAAACCACAACCAAAAACCUUGCCCAAACUCACCUUUAGGGACUCCCGGUCCUUUGCUGAAGCUCUCUCUGGCACCAACCACCCAAAGAAGACGGUGUACUAUGAGUCUAUCCCUGAUGACAAGGAAUGACUUCUGAGAAGUCUAGUGGGAUUCAUGGACUAUGCUCACCUUGAGCAUAAGGUUCUAAAAAAUGUUAGGCAGAUAGUGGGCUUUCGUUUUCUGGGAGCAAGCCAAGCAGUCAUUACCUUUACAAAUAGAGAAUCUAUGGAGAAAGAGAUGGUUAAUGGAUCCUCUGUUUUGAAAACAUCAUUCUCUCAUUUGAAACCAUGGAAAAAGGAAGUUAAAGCUAUAGAUAGAUUUGUGUGGGUGUCCAUACUGGGAUUACCUUUGAUAGGAUGGAACCGCAGAUGUAUUGAAUCCAUUGUUGAGAAAGCAGGGAAGAUGAUUGGAUAUGACAUUACCAGUGUAAGCCAAAGAUCUCUCACGGGAGUAAAAGUGUUGCUGAGCACAACUUCCUUUGAGACUCUAAAUGAAUGUGUAUUGCUGGUUUUAGAUGGCGAUGAAUUUGAUAUCUCAAUCAUGGAAAUGAAACCGGAUUUUUGCCCCCUACUGUCUACAAUCAAACAUUCAAUGGAUGCAACUAGCAUUCCAAUAUUAGAUGAAGAGUCAUGCAGUGAAUUUGCAGCUUCAGAUGAGGUUAUGAUAGCGGGCUUAAAGACCACUGACCUUGGAGGUGACCGUUGUGCAACGGAUAUUACUAUAACAGAGCAAUAGAAGGUGAAUACGGAUAGCGAUUUCUCUCUCAUUCUUUGUCAAGGGCACACUGGACCAGCAACCAACUGGGUUCAUACUAAUAUAUUUUCAAAAACCGCCUGCCUUUUUCCUGAAAUAAAAGGAACACAUACCAUUCAGACAAAAGACCAGCAAUUACACAAUGAUACAUAUCAGAUGCCCUCUACAAUGUCACACGAUAACAAAUUAAAGGCAAACAUGCAAGAGGCAGCCGACAAUGAUGGCAACACAGAUGUCUCAGUACACUCAGGUACAGGAGUGGGCCUUGGAAAAAUAGGCAUCACAAGCCAGGUGAAAGGAAAAGGGCUAAUCAACAAGGCGACAAACCCAUGUGUAAUGGGACUUACCACUUCUUCAGCACAGGUUUUAAGGCCCUCCUCCAAAACAGUCAGAACCUUGAAUUUAGAUUAGAAUCAAUUGCAGAACUCCUAUUCUGAUUUCAUACGUGACCUGGCAGAUCCCCAAGAGUUAGUGGAAAUGGAACUAAAGGAAACAAAAAGGAAGAAGCUUAGACAAAUCAGAAGAAUUGGCCCUAAAUAUGCAUAUAUAAAAGUGAAGAAAGUGAAGAAAGAUAGACAUGCUUUGGUUCACAGUGGCUUAGUUGAUGUUGUACCAGACUCCUACAGAAACACAUCUCUAAAAGAUAAUGGCUCAUCCCAUGCUAUUAAGUCAUCUUCUGAUAAACAUGAAGAUAUUACCUCUAACCAUGCAUCUAUGGAUACAGAGACCAAUCAUGCACAAGCUAGUCUACCAAGCCCUUUGAGCUCUCACUGCAGUCAACAGGCCUCCUCAGAAGCGGUCAAGGAAAACAACAAGAAUUGUAGAAGCAAAACAAGGAAACUGAAACUGUUGCAAACCAACGGUAGUGUAGCUAACACUACCGAGAAAGGUGUCUCUUCUAAUUCCCUCAAUUCAUGAAUUAAGCAAGGAAAUGUUCGGUUUCAAACAACCUACGAGGAUAAUCAGGUUGAUGGUUUUGAUAGAGACAAGGAGACUCAGGAAAUGUUACAUGAUGCAGCGGCUCUAGGCUUGGGAUUCUAUGAAGAUCUUAUGGGGUAUGAGGAUGGAGUUCGGGGGAACAUUGACAGAGAGGUAGACGAGUGGACAUCAGCCAAUCAAUUGUAAAUUUCUCACCCUGCUAAGUUUUGUUCAGUCUUGGUCUUGCUAUAUCUAUGAAUAUCUUUGCUUGGAACAGUUGUGGGUUAGGAAUGUUGAACAAACGAAUUCCAUCCGGAAUACGUUACUCAACAGUAAUGUUGAUAUAUGCUUUCUAUUAGAAACAAAAAAAGAUAAUUGAUGCGAUUCCUUCAUCGGAAAUUUGUGGAAUGUUGUAACUGUUAAAUGGGCUUUUAUUGAGUCUGAAGGAAAAUCAGGAGGGAUCAUAGUGAUGUGGGAUAGCUUUACUUUUGAGGUUAAUUCCAUCGAAUUUCGGGGACAGUGGAUCAGCCUAUGCGGCAAACACGUUAAUUCUUCCUUUAACUGCAUGGUAAUUGGAGUAUAUGUUGCAUCUUCUGCGCAAGAUCGUGUUAAGCUGUGGGAAGACAUCACCCCUCUCAAGUUUGCCUUUGAUUUACCAAUGGUGGUGAUAGGUGAUUUCAAUGAAAUUCUUCAUGCUCACGAGAGAAGCAGCGGCUACAUUAAUCAUUCAGGGUCAGCUGCUUUCGGUAAAUUCCUAUCCGAUUGUGCUCUGAUUGAAUUCAAACUGCAAGGCGGCCGUUUCACUUGGUUUAGAGGGGGUUCCAUGAGUUGUAUCGACCGGGCCUUUGCAUCUUCAGAUUUCCACCUUCAGUUUCCAUUCUUAUCACUCUGCCGCUCCACAAGAGGGAUGUCUGAUCACUGUCAAUUGCUUCUUCAGACACCAAAGGUUGAUUGGGGAUGGAAGCCUUUGAUAUAUUUUAAGCUCUUCUUAACUCCUUUUCCUCAUGAUUUUUUUAAAAAACUAUAGUUGAUUAUACUAGGAGUGAGACGAGAGGAAUUCAAUCCUAACACAAAUAUCCAAGUGUAUAAAUUAAAACUUUUUUUUUAAUUUAGAACUCUUUUAGCUUUAUUUAUGAUGUUUUUACUAUUAUAGAAACAACCAAACUAAAGAGAGUUGCGAUACUCAAUAUUGAUUAUCAAAAUAUUGAGUAAUAAAAAAUAAAAUUUGUUGUCUUAUUGUAAAGAUUAUUUUUUUUUAUAUAAAAUUCUAUAUAUAUAUAUAUGAUUGCUAUAUUUUUUGUGUUUUUUUUUGUUUGCGUCAAAUUCUUACCAUUAUGGGAUAUAAUAUAUUUUGAAGGCGCAAAAUAAAACUAUUAAAGAAAAUCUGAAGACGUGAGUAGAACAAUUUGUUCUAAUGGUUUGUUUACUAAAACGUGAGCAUACAAUCUUGUUUUAUACAUUACACUACCAUAAGCAGAGUAUUUAAAGUUUACUGAAGAUGACAUAUACAAGGAUUCAAAGAGCUAGCCAACUAACGAUUAUCAUGAGUGUUUAUCUUGAUAAGUAUGAACAAGGACAUGAGGCGGCUUCCAUGCAUUGUCAAUUCUGACUUGGAAUCAUAGCAGUCUCCUUAUCUUGUUAGACUACCAUUCUGACUUGAAUUUGUUACCCUUGAAGACAUCUUUAUCUCCUGACUUUUCUCCAUUAAACUCGGAAGUUUUGUAGAACAAUGUGGGCAGCAUCGUAGGGAGCUUUGUGAGAGAAUUCUGGCUUAUUACUCCACUAACAUAGACACCCUUAUCUCUCCACUGGACUCUCACAAAGCUUGUUGUCAGAUUGUGUUGUGCUAACACCCUCUCGCAAACUUGGCUAGGGCUGGAGGAAAAGUUUGGUUUGGAAGUAAAUGAGCGCAGCUUUUGACACAGGUUUGGUAAAUAUGUCAGCAAUCUGAUUACUGGAGUUUAUAUGUGGGUGAUAUGAUGUUCAGAUCUUUGAGAAGAAAGGUCAGCCAAGUAAUUCCAGCUGCAGUGUUAGCCAUGGACCGAUACUCAGCUUCAGUGCUUGAGCGGGAGAUUGUAUAUUGUUUCUUCUAACACCAAGAGAUUAUAUUUUUUCCGAGAAAGAUGCAGUAACCAGUAGUAGAGCAUCUUGUAAUAGGACAUCCAGCCCAAUCUGCAUCUGAAAAAGCAGAGAGAUCAAGUGUAGUUUGUGAAGUGAAGAAUAACCUGGUAUGGAGAGUUCCUUUCAAAAACGUAGGAUACGAUUGACCAUUUUUAAAUGUGUAGUAUUUGGGGCAUGCAUGAAUUGGGACACAAAAUUAACACUAUACGAAAGGUCAGGACGUGUGAGAGUAAGGUAUUGUAAAGAGCCAACAAGACCUCGAAAAUGACUCGGGUCAUCCAAAGGGGUGUCAGCGGAGGAGGUCUUUGUCUUUGCUUCAAGUGGUGUACUCGUGGGUUUGCAAUCUAUCAUGUUCGCACGUUCAAGGAUGGUGAGGGCAUAAUGAGAUUGAGAGAGGUGUAGGCCAUCUGAUGUGUGAGAUAUUUCAAUCCCGAGAAAGUGAUGAACAUGGCCGAGGUCUUUCAUUGCAAAUUCACUACUGAGGAGUUGUAUAAAUUUUGUAACAAGGGUUGCAUUUGAACCUGUGAGUAGUAUGUCAUCAACAUAUAGAAGAAGAAUUAAUGAGCCAUGAUCGGCAUGAGAGAUAAAUAAUGAAGGAUCUGCUAAACUACAAAAGAAACCAUAUUUAAGUAAAAAGGUGUUGAACCGAUCAAACCAGGCACGGGGUGCUUGUUUAAGGCCAUAUAGAGCUCGUUGGAGCUUGUAGACAUGCGUGGGAUAUUGAGAAUCUAACAUUCCAGGCGGUUGUUCCAUAAAUAUAUCUUUAGAGAGGAAGCCAUAUAGGAAUGCAUUUUUGACAUCAAGUUGUCGAAUGGACCACUGUUGAACAAGUGCAACUAUAUGACCAUGCGAAUGGUGCUUGGUUUUACCACAAGGGAGAAGGUUUCGGUGAAGUCAAUGCCAUCAAUUUGAUGAAAUCCUUUGGCAACAACCCUGGCUUUUAAACAAUCUAGGGAACCAUCAGGUUUAAGCUUUGUCUUAAGUACCCAUUUGGACCCGAUAACAUGCAUAUCAGAGGUGCGGGGAACCAGUAUCCAGGUUUGGUUUUGAUGCAGGGCAGCUAAUUCUUCAUUCAUUGCUGCUUGCCAACCUGGAUGAGCUAGUGCUGCCUGAACACUCCUUGGCUCUCGUGGGAUAGAAGAGGAGUAUGUUGUUGAUAAAGCAUACAUAGGAUUUGGCUUAACAAUCCCAUGGUGUGACCGUGUAGUCAUAGAAUGAGGGAAAAUUACCUGGGGAGACUGAUUCGAACUAGGUGGAUUAGCUGUUAGAGCUAAUUGGGGAGAAAGUAAACUAUCAGUGUUAUCUUUGUAGGAGAAAGUACUAUAUCCUACAACUGUUAGAAAUGAAUUUUUUUUUGCUUUUUGGAUGGAAACAUUUAUAUCCUUUAUGAGUACUACUAUAUCCUACAAAGAUGCAGAGAACAGUUUUGGGAUCAAAUUUGUUAAGUCGUGUGUCCCAAGUGUAAGGAAAGCAUUUUGAGCCAAAAGUACACAGUGAAGAGUAAUCCGGAUGAGUAUGAUGUAGCUUAAAGUAUGGAGUUUCAAAAUUAAUGGAUGAUGAGGGCAAGCGAUUGAUGAGAUAAACAGCAGUAAUGAAUGCUUCUACCCAUAGAAAUAAUAGUGCACAACUAUGAAAUAACAUGGUCAUACCUAGCUCUCAUAUGAGCGCGGUGGCGUCGUUCAACCAUACCUGUUUGUUCUGGAGUAUACGAACAUGAUAUCUGAUGAAUAAUUCCCGUGGAAAGACAAUGAUUGGAGAGUUUUGAGCUGAUGAACUCUCCACCUCCAUCAGAAUGGAAAAUUUUGAUUUGUUUGUUGAAUUGUCUUUUGGCAUAUUGUUCAAAGGAAAAAUAUGUAUUCGUCAAAUCAGAUUUAUAUUUGAGUGGGAUUAUCCAAGUAUAUUUAGAUAAGUCAUCAACAAAACAAACAUAGUAUCUGAAUUUUCCAAUAGAUAAAGUUGGGGCAGGUCCCCAUAAAUCACAAUGAAUUUUUUCAAAAAUAUUAGUACUUGAGUGUUCAGAGCUAAAGAAAGGAAAUCUACUGAGUUUUCCUAACUGACAGCUAUCACAUAGAUGUUCAGUUUUUAUUGCUCCUAUGACAUCAAUCAAUCCUUUAUUUUUUAAUAAUUGCAAAGCUGAAACUUGAGGGUGUCCUAAACGUUGAUGCCAAAUAUCUACUGAUCCGGAUUUAAAACGAUGAGAAAAAUAAAGUUCUGGUGAGUUGUGAAGAACAUAAAGAUCACCCUUGCGUCGUCCUGUAAUUGGUUUUGUUGGAUUUGUAUUUCGGUGUGGGGGGAGAGAGUGAAAAUAAACGGUUCAGGUUUUAUGUAAUCAACGGUCUAUAUAAUUUUAUUUUUCUAUUAACAUUUUAAUUUGUUUUUCAAUUAGCAACAGAAAAUCCGUUGCUAAAAUUCAACGUAAAGUUUGCAAUGGAUUAUCCGUUGCUAAAGUCCAUUGUUAAUAUUUAAAAAAUUAUAUAUGUGUAAUCCAUUGCAAAUUCGUUACUGAAUUUAGCAACGGAAUUAUCUGUUGCUAAAUUCAGAUGCUAAUAGCCCCUAUUUUUAAUAGUGUGUGAUAUAUCAUACUACUCGAUAAAGUUUCUUCCAUCUGAAAACUAACAGUAAUUAUCCUCAUCACACAUGAAAUCAAUGUCAGAAGAUCCAUGAGGGUUGUCUUCCUCGUUAACCAUAAACUUAGGAACUCGUGAAUCAAAUUCAAUGGAAAAAGAGAAGGAGAAACGCCUUUUCCAUGGUGUCUUCAGUUGGUGGAAAAUUUGGAGUAGAAGAUGUUUUCCAAGUUUAGCUAUAUUUAUAGAACAAUGAAAAAUACUUUUUUUCUUUUUUUCUAAUUUGUAAAAAUAGUGAAUUUGAACACAAACUCUACUUUUUCAUUUUUUUUUAUAAAACUAGAAUAAUACUCCAUUAUUGAACUUCGUUGAUCAAUUUCGCAAGUUCAAGAAUCGUAACAGGUAAUAAAGUGAUUAGAAUAGUAUCGUUCCACAAGGAUUUGUAAAAAUUACUACUAAUUACCAAAAUCUUUUAAAUUAUGAUCUAUUUGAGGAAGUUGAGAAUAAGGGAAUGUAUUGGGUUGUGCCUUAGCCAACCUUCCUAUUUAUAUAGAGGCAGCAGAACACUGCAGUAACUAUAGGGAUUACAACAUCCUAUAUUAAUUUUCUAUUUUGAUAGAUACACGAUAUACAUUCUAUAAUAUGCCCCCUCAAGCUGAGAGUGGGAAAUCAACCCGAAGCUUGAACCGAAAAGCAGUAAAGGACACAACAGGAAGCAGUUUAGUGAAGACAUCAGCAAGUUGAUCCUGAGAGGGAACAAAAUGAAUCUGAAUUUCUUUCUUGGCAACACGGUCACGGACAAAGUGAUAAUCCACUUCAACAUGCUUAGUACGAGCAUGGAAGAUAGGAUUUGCUGAGAGAUAGGUAGCACCAAGAUUAUACACCAAAUGGUAGGAGCAGAGACUGAGGGAACUUGUAAAUCUAUUAACAAGUAUUGAAGCCAAAUGACUUCAGCGGUACCAUCAACAAGGGCUUUAUACUCAGCCUCAGUAGAGGAGCGAGCAACAGUGCGUUACUUGCCAGAUUUCCAAGAAAUCGGCGUCUGACCAAAAAAGACAAGAUAGUCGCUCGUAGACUUGCGAUCAUCAAUACUACCAGCCCAAUCUGCAUAUGUAAAGCCAUGUAGAGCAAAAGAGGAGCCUCGAGUGAUAUGGAAACCAUAAGAUGUCGUACAUUUAAGAUAGCGUAAAAUACGUUUGACAGCGGCCUAAUGAAAAUCUAUAGGAGCAUGCAUAAACUGACAGACUCUGUUAACAGCAAAGCAUAUAUCUGGAUGGGUGAAGGUAAGAUAUUGAAGAGCACCCAUGAUUUGACAAAAUCAUGUAGGAUAAGAGAAUGAAUGAUCCGAUAAUAAAAUGACUUUCGAAGGGGAGACUAGAGUAUCAACUGAUUUGAAGGAAGUCAUACCAGCUCGGGUGAGGAUGUCAAGAAUAUAUUUAUGUUGAUGCAGCAUUAAACCCAUACCGGUAGAUUGAACUUCAAUACCCAAAAAGUAGUGAACAACACUAAGUCACGAAGCUUGAACUCAAAGCUGAGUAACUGUAUAAGGUGAUGGAGCAUAGCAGAGUUGCUACCCAUGAGCAGAAUAUCAUCAAUAUACACUAGGAGAUAAAAGAUAUUAGUACCAUCAGAUAAGAUAAAUAGGGAGGUGUUAACCUUGGAAGCUCGGAAACCGAUGGAGAGCAAAAAUCACUUAGACGAGUGUACCAUGCUCUCGGUGCUUGUUUCAAACCAUACAAUGAUUUGUGCAAUCUGUACACAUGAGAUGGAAGAGAAGAGUCAACGAAACCUGGAGGCUGUUUCAUGUAGACCUCUUCAGUAAGAACACCAUUGAGGAAGGCAUUAUGAAUAUCAAGCUGAUGAAUCUUCCAUUUCACAAAACCGUGAUAGAGAAAACCAAUCGAACAGUGGCGUGCUUAAUAACUGGACUGAAGGUUUUAGAAUAAUCAAUACCUUCCUGCUGGGUAAAACAUCUAGCAACAAGGCGCACUUUAUAGCGCUCAAUACUACCAUCAACACGAUAUUUGAUCCGAUAUACCCAUCUACUGCCAACAACAUUCAUCGAAGGAUAAAAUGGAACCAAAGACCAAGUGCGAUUUUCACGUAAAGCGGCGAUCUCAUCACACAUAGCAUUAUGCCAAACUGUAUACCGGUCAGCAUCAGAGAAUGAAAAAGGCUCAGAAGAGGGAGAAUACAGUACCCGUGUGGAGGUAGAAGUAGUGCCAGCAAAAGCAACCAGAUUAGUUGUCUUCGACUGCCGCGGUCUAAGAGUCAUAGGAUGUUUGUUGUGUGCUGGUGGAGACACAGGGGAAGACGGUUGCAGCGAGGAGACCUGUGGCAGCUGAUAAGGAGAGAAAUCAACCAUAAGUUGCAGACCAGCAAGAGAGGAUGAUAAAGAAGCAGCCUCAAACAUAGGAUUAUCAGUAGAGGAGGGGCUGGAAGCAGAGACUGAAGCUGCAGGAGUGCUGGCCAGGGAGGGUGAAGUAGAGGAGGGACUAGAAAGUGCCCCAAGACCAUGAGGAUAGGAGACCAAUUGAUGAUCUGAACCUACAUCAUAAGGGUUAGAUAAACAAGCAUGGGAUGAUGGCCAAGGGAUGGGUCGAGGCUGUGGUCGGGUGACUGUUUAGAGUGGCAAGGCGGAGUGUUCUGGGCUGUUUGGGUGGCUGGUGAAAAUUGGUGGCGGUAGGUGGUUUAGCAAAUUUGGGAGGGUGAUAGUAGCGAGUGGGGUGGGGGUUGUGGUGGAGACCUUUGCAAUCUGUUCAGAAUUAUCAAAUGGAAACACAUGUUCAUGGAAGCGGACAUGACGGGAAAUAUAAAUACGGUGAGAUGCAAUGUCAAGACAUCGAUAACCAAGAUGCGAGGAACUAUAUCCAAAAAACACACAUGGAGAGGAACGAAAAUCCAAAGGUACGCAAAAAAUGAUAAUCAGGAGACCAUUGAAAUAAACAAUCAAACAGAGAGCGAUGGGCAAGAACAAGAGUAGGCAUGCGAUUUAUAAGAUAAACAGAGGUUUCAAAAGCAUAAUUCCAUAAUCGAAAAGGUGUUUUACAUUGCCCUAAAAGAGUAAGACCUGUUUUCCACAAUAUGCAUAUGACGACUCUCUAUUGUUUCAUUUUGUUCAUGAGUGUAGGGACAAAUUAGACAAUGAUGAAUACCAAUGGUCUGAAAAAAUGUGGAUAAUUUUCUGUAUUCACCGUCCCAAUCAGUUUGAACAGAUUUUAUUUUUAAUGAAAAUUGACGUUCGACAAGAGUCUGAAAUUGAUGAAAAAUAGAGUAAAAAUCAGACUUGGCAAUGAGAGGAUAAUACCAUACAUAUUUAGUAUAAGCAUCAACAAAGAUAACAAAAUAACGAUAGCCAUCUGAAUAAAAAAGAGGAGCAGGACCCCAUACAUCACUAAAAAUUAAUUCAAGUGGAGUAGAAGUUUUGUGAUCCGUAGGUCCUAAAGACAAACGGAUGAUUUUCCUAAAGGACAACUUUGACAUUGAAAAUUAAGACGUUUGUUGUUACAAAUGAUCUUAUUUUUCGAGAUUAACAAUUGAAAAAUACAUGAAGUAGGAUGACCUAGUCGACGAUGCCAUAAAUCGGCAGAGGCAGAAGUGUAGGGAGAGCAAUAGACUUGAGGAACUGAUGUGACGGAAGACUUGGUCAGGGCAUAUAGACCAUAUUUACUCUGACCUGAGAGAAGGACUUCAUGGGUGUUGAAAUCCUUGACAUAAAACACACAAGGGUGAAAUUCAAAAUAAACAUUAUUAUCAAGACAAAAUUUAUGAACAGAGAGUAGAGGUUUCGUGAUUGCAGGAAUAUGAAGAACAUUAGAUAAUGUGAAAGAACAAUGUGGUGUAUAUAUUUUUGUAUGACCAAGAUGAGAUAUAUGAAGGCUCUUACUAUCACCAACAUGCAAAUUAUCAUUACCAAGAUACGGUUCUGAAGCGAUCAAGGUGGCAGGAUCAGGUGUGACGUGUUGAUUGGCACCGGUAUCCGGAAACCAAUCAACAGAACUGGUUGAGGAGAGAUUGGGCUGCACCAGGUUGGCAGUAGGUUGUUAGCCAUAACCUCACUGCUAGAAUUGAGGGCAAUGGGGAGUUGUAUGGCUGAAAUUCUGACACUUUUGGCAGCGUGGAUUCUACCCCUAUUGCGCUGCCAAGAGCCCUGCCUAUUGUCACUGAAGGAGUUUGGGAAGUUGCGGUGAUCAGGUCUGGAGCCAGUAAAUCGAUUGCCUCUACUGUUGGACUGGUUGGGACGCCAGCCACCGUUGAAGCGGCCCCUACUACGGCUAGAAUUGCCAAAAUUCUAGCGCUGCGCAACAAGAGCAGAAGAUGGAAUGCUAGGUGUGGGCAGUAGAGGAGCAUGUAUGGCAACAGGAGAUUUAUGAAGAAAUUCAUGUGUGAGGAGAUGGCUGUGAAGAUCUGCAUAUGAUAAAGGUUCAGCCUUGGUAAUAAGAUUGGUAACUACGUCUUUAAACCUCCCCGAAGACCACAAAACACAUAUAAAUUGAAAUCUUCGAGCGAAACUGGCUGACCAGCAGCGGCCAAUUCAUCAAAUAAGGCCUUCACUUUUUGCAUAAAUGUAGUUACUGAUUCAUCACCCUGUCGAAGAUCCUAAAGAGAGCCGUGAAGUUGCUUAAUAUGAGAGUUGGAGGUGGAAGCGAGAGCUCGCUCAAGAGUGCCCCAAGCUAAACAAGAACUUUGACAGCCAACAACAAGAUGCAAAACUUCCAUAGAUAGGGAGGAAAGAAGAGCACUUAGAACGAGUUGGUCUUGUUGUUUCUAGGUUUGAAAAAGCGGAUUUACCUGAAGAGAGAUACAAUCAUGGGCAAGAACAUGUGUUGAUGGACAUGUGUUGGAGCCAUCAACAAAACCAAAAACUCCUUGGCCUAGGAGAUAAGGCAGCAUCUGCAUACGCCAAUAUAAAUAAUUGGUGUUUGUUAAUUUGAGGGAGAUGACUUGAUGAGUGUGAGAAAGGGAGAUAAUGAUUGCGGUAGUAGAGGCAGCACAGGCAGCAGACGUGGGCUGCAAGAGGAGGCAUUCACCAGCCAUGGCAGAGGAGAAUCCAGGCAGUGACACAGCAGAGGAAGCGCUGCAAGAGAAGAGGGUUGAACUGCCAGAGAAGAAGAAAGAUGGACUGCUGAUGUUGCAGAAUUUGAAGAUGUAUGUGGCGGUUGUUCCAUUGAAGAAGGGAGGCUGGGAGGCUAUGAGAAAAGUAGGUUUAAUUUAUUUUAGGGUUUUGUGGCUUUGAUACCAAGUUGAGAAUAAUGGAAUGUAUUGGGUUGUGCCUUAGCCAACCUUUCUAUUUAUAUAAAGGCAGCAGAACAUUGCAGUAACUAUAGGGAUUACAACAUCCUAUAUUAAUUUCAUAUUCUAAUAGAUACAUGAUAUACAUUCUAUAAUAGAGGAAUCGAAUGAGAUAUUAUAUGAAAUAAAAAUUAAUGAUUAAAAACAAACAACCAAUUGAUUAAAUAUUAAUGAUUUCAAUUCUACUAGUUAUAGGAUUUUUGACUUACCAUAACUAUUUCUAUGUGAACUUUCUCAAUUGAAUUAAUUACUUGUAACGUUGAUAAUCAGGUUUUUCUAACUUAAACAUUAAUUUUUCUCUAGUAUCAAUGAAUUAUUUCGACAAGCAAAUUUCAUAUACUCUACAAAAGUUCUGAACUUAUCGAAAUUUAUUAAGUACCGAAAAACCUGUAACGAUUACAAAAGUUCCUAGGAUAUCUAUAUCCUAUAGAUUUCUUAAGGUAUUUCAAACAAUAAUUAAAAUAAUUAUCACUUCUCAAUCUCAAGUUGAAUUCUAAAUCAUACAGAUGUUGGCCAAACAUACACAAGCAUUACACAUAUAAUGAAAUACUCAACAACUUAAUGUAAUAAUUCAAUCGAAGAAAUUGUUCACAUAUUCAUAGUAAGGUUACAUCAAAAAUCCCAGAAUAAAAGUUUACUUCAUAGUUAAAUUAAAGAGAAACAAACUUAAUACGAUGAACAUCACUCAAAAGCAGAGAAUGGCAGUGAAAUAGGUAGGUGUCCUCCAAAUCUUCUCUGUUUUUUCCUCUAUUUUCCAUCCCUCUUUGUGCCCGCCUAUUCUUCUUUGUUUAGUCUAUUUUAGGGUCUCUCUAUGUAUGCACGUCUCCCUUACAUACCCCCCCCACCUUUUUCUUUUAUAUUGUGGUCUUUUUACCCCCGUUGGAAUGAAGACAUUUUUCUUUUUUUUUAUUUGAAUUCCUUCCUACCCAGACAUUACGAGCCAAUUUGAGGCAGGAAACAUACGAAUUCAAAGAUCUCUAUUUCUAGUGAAAUUGUAGAAAAUCGAAUCUUCUUUCCAAUGACAUUGAUCUUGUAAUUUUUGGACCUUUGAGACUUGAGAUAAGGGCCAUAAACCGAGACAGUAUUUAGAGUGCAGGAAGUUCGGGUCUAAUUCAAUCCCUGUUUUUCAACUCAUUUUUGGGCUUCGAAACAGCAAAACUGAGUUAUAUGCCCUUCAUAUGUUUUGUAGACCUUCAUCUCAGAUAUUUAAAAAUGGUAACGAACAUUUGGAACUGAGUUGUAUAGCUUCCUUUGCAGCACACAAUGAAUCGAUAUUCGGUUUUAUUGCUGAAUUCUUCGUACUCAGUAACCUAGUAUCUGAAAACACAUUAAUUUCUCACGAGGUCAAUAGUUCAAAAAGAAAUCUAAAAUUCUAAUUAUCUUGUGAUACACAUCUAAAAUAUUUUAAAAUCAAACAUGAAUAGUGGAAAAUAUACAUACUAAAAAUUUCCUUAUCAAACACGCCUAAAACUCCUGGAGUUACAAAUCUCCAACAGAAAAAAAAAAUUCACACCUACAAAUUAGAUUUAAAAAGAUAAAAUUUCUGGUAGAGUUUUUUAAAUUCGAGUCUAGGUCUUUGUCUUUCGGAUUUUUAUAAAUGAUUGAUAAGUUUGUACCAAGAGAUUUUAGUAUGGUGUGUUUCAUGUGUGGGCCCCGACGCCUUAUAAGUGAUUGAUAAACACCACUUAUGAUAGCCAAUGAAUAAAAUUUCUCUUAAGAAAUAAUAAUAAAAAUAUCAAAUUUCGUGGCCCUUUCUCCUUUGUACUGAUCGCUUUAUAUCUUUUUUUUGAAUUAUGAUUUUUAUUGUGGUCGUCGACAUCGCAGCUCUAAUAUAAGGAUAAUAUACAAUUAAUAUACUUAGUGAAUUUGUUUCCUUAUUUAAUGUUAGUUGAUACUAAAUUAUUCGUCUGCGUUACAUUGAGAGUCGGAUUAAUUUUUUUUAAAACAUAAAAAAAAUUAUUCAGAUAUUACUAAUAUAUUUUUUUUAUAAUAAACAAAAAUAUUAAAUAAUAUGAAAGCUGAUUCGAUAUGACCAAUUAACUUUGCAAGUACAAGAGCAACUGAUCAAUAAUUUUUUAUUUUUUUUGUAAUUAUGGGUGUCUGGUCAAUAUAUACUCAUCUCAAUUAAUUCUCUGAAAUUCUAAAAUUAACGACCAUAUAAUCUUUUAAUAAUAGUACUUAAAUAUAUAUUUAUAGCACUAUGAUAAAUUUCAAAAACCAGAUCAAUAAUUCUCUAAAGUAUGGAGACUGGACAGGCCCUAAAGCAAAGGAUUGAUCUUUUCGCUUUUAGGACUUCAAAGCACUGCAGCUAGGUUGCUGAAGAAUUGAGUUUAACUGUGUGGCCUUUCUUGGGAAAAUUAAUGUCUUCAAUAAGGAAAGAGAAAUGGAAAACUGCAAGGCAAAUGGGGUAAGAAAUCAAGAAGAGGAAUGAAGCAGUGACAAACCAUUUCUUUUUACAUGUGGGUCUUCUAAUUGUUUUUUUGUUUUUUUCCUUUCUGUGGACAUGAGGCAAAAUUCAUACAAGAUAUUGUGAAAAUUAAGUUUCGAGGAAAGCUGAACCGAACUAUGACAUUAACAGCAGUGACAGGCCUGAAGAUGCUAAAAUAGCAAGUAAUUGCCAAGAUUGAUGGAGCUUUCUAAAAAGAUGUUGAGAUAUAAAUAUGUGGCGUCAAUUCGUUUCCACGUCAUAAAUGUGAUUGAUAAACGCCACUUAUAAUUAUGUGUAUACAGCCAAUGAAUAAAAUUUCUCUUAAAAAAAUUAAAAAACAAAACAAAACAAAAUAUUAAAUUCCAUAGCCGUUUUUCCUUUGUAUUGAACAUCUUAUAUUAUUAUUUUUUUCGAACUAUGAUUUUGGUGGUGUAUUGCAGCGUAGCAAGACGUCGUAACCCCCUUAAUUAUUUUUAAUUUUUUUAUAUUAAAAUAUUAAUAUAAUAAUUUAAUGAAUGGUUUAUAUAGAAAAGUUGUUAUUGCAGCUCAUUUCCUUUUCUUAUCCUAACUAUGCAAAUUUCUCUUUUGCUUUCCCUGCCUCUUUUCUGCCCCCCCCCCCCCCUCCCCGCGCGCGCGUGUAUAUAUAUAUAUCUUCAAGUACAGUUAAGUAAUUAAAUUUUUUAGUUUUUGACUUUAUAUUUUAGGUAAAUUUCCUUUAUCUGUUUUAUUUAUUUUAUUAUUUUAUUUUAUUUUUAUUAUAUAUAUAUAUAUAUCUUCAAGUACAGUUAAGUAAUUAACUUUUUUAGUUUUUUACUUUAUAUUUUGGGUAAAUUUCCUUUAUCUUUUUUAUUUAUUUUUUUAAUUUAUUUUUUUAUUUUUAUAUAAUUAAUUGUUAAAAAUAUCAGGGUUUAUAAUUAUUUAAGGUUUUUUAUAUGAAUAUGUUUAAAAUAAAUAUUUAAAUUUUCUAAUUAAACAAUUAAAUUUUUUUUUUCUUAUUAUAAAGGAAUAAAUUAAGAUUCAUGCAAAACCACUAUUAUUGACAUCUCUUGCAUUGGUAAAGUAAUUUAUUAAAAUUUAAUAUUUUCAUAUGAUUUGUUUGUAAGUAAAAUAUCAAGUAAAAAGCAUGUUUUUCGAGUAUUGUUCCUCUUAUACAGUCAUCAUGCAUUAUUUCUCAAUUAAAUGUCUAGAAAUGAUUAACUAUAAUUUAAUCAAUAUACUUAUUAUAUACAUAUAAAUAUGUAAGUUUCAUGAAGCGAUUUUAAAAUAAAAAAACUCGAAUAGAACAAUUACAAUGUAAAUUUUUUCAUUUUUAAAUUAAUUUUACUCGAUAUAAAUUAUAUAGUAUUUGUUAGUAAUUAAUUUUACUCGAUAUAAAUUAUAUAUAUAUAUAUAUAUAUAUAUAUAUAUGUUUUGAAUUGAUAUCUAAUGCAUAUCUACAUAAUAUAGUAUUUGUUAGUAAUUUGCUCUCUCAUUUAAAAAGCUCUGGCUCCGCCACUGAUAAGGACAAUAUACAAUUAAUAUACUUUGUAAUUUUUUUAUCUUAGUUAAUAUAAAUAAUUAUUAAUUAAUAAAGCAUUAUAGCUGUAUUACCAUGCUAAUUUGAACUGAUAAAUUUAUUUUGAUCUUAUCUUAUAAUAAUAAGAUAUUAUUUGAACUGAUGAAGUUAUAUUUUAUAUUUUUUUAUAUUUUAUUUCAUCUUAUAUUGAAGAUGUUAAAAAGGAUUUUACCUUUUCAAAGUAUAAAAACUAAGUAUUGCUAUACAAGAAAUCUGCUGGUUAAUAGAUUGAUGUUUAUAUAAAUUAAUUAAUACCGAGCAUAAUAUAACCAAGAAUAUUGAUAAUAUCUUGAAAGAGUAAAAAAACAAUUUAUUAAAGAGUAAUAGUAGCUAAGGUCAAAAUGUAACAAGGUUCAUCAUUUGUAAUGGCAAAUGUGGUCACCGUGUAUGCAAACCAUUUUAUAAAUGCACUAAUGAGAGUUUAUACUUAUGAAAUUCUGCACACAAAAGUCGUCGACCCUUCAUGUGGGCGUCAAAUCCUUUUCGCGUUAGAAAUGAUUGAUAGUUCGUUCCAAGAGAUUUUAGUAUGGUGUGUUUCAUGUGGGCCCCGACGCCUUAUAAAUGAUUGAUAAACGCCACUUAUAAUUAAGGCUUGAGAAAAGCUGAACCGCACAAUGCUGCAUUUGCCCUCUUAUUCAGGUAGAAGACAUUAACAGCUGGAUAAGGCAGGCCUGGAGAUGUUAAGAUAGCAGUCAAUGCAAGUCUAAAAAUUUAAAAAUCCUAUAAAUAAAUCAAUUAAAAAUUAAUUUCAUAUAUAAAAAUCCUACAACAAUAUUCAUAAAGUAUAUUAAUUUUAAAAAAAACUAAGAAGAAAAAAAAGAGAAAAAAUGCAUACUUGAGCAUGGAGGAGAAUAGAACGAGUUGAGGAGAGAAGAGAAGAGAAGAGAAGAGAAAGAAAUGGAUAUUGAUGUUUUUUAUAUAUGAGGAAGAAGAAGGAGCCUUGUUUGUUGUGAAAUUGGGGAUUCCAGACUUUUUAUUGGGGUGUUUUACCAAUGAUUUUACCGAUGAAUAAUUUAUAUAUUAAUAUUUUUAAAUAUUUCGUCGGUAAUAUUAAUUUAAAUUUUCAAUUUAAUCAAAAGUUUUCAGAACCCGCUAAAUAUCACCGCAGCUUUUCAAUCCUUCGGUGAUUCCAUCUGUAAUAUUUAAUUUAAAUUUUUAAUUUAAUUGAAAGUUUUAGAAACCUGUCAAAUAACAUCGACAACUUUUUAAUCCGUCGAUGAUUUUGUCUUUAAAAAACAGUAAUUAACAGUGCAAUUGGGGAGUGAACAGUUCCAUAUCUCUCUAGAAAGUACCAACGGAAUUUUUCGUUGGUGAUUCUGUCUGUAAGUGACAUGAUGAACAAUGUUAACAUUUUACCAACAAAAUUACCGACGGAAUUUAUUAUGUCGAUCAUUCCGUUGCUAAAAAAUGACAUGUCAUCGCUUUUUUUUUUUGCUUUGUUUAAAUUUUUUUUCCUACUGUAAUUCUCUCGAAAAUUUACCGAUGAAAAUAUUCUCUUGGUAUUUGUUUUUGUAUUUAUCAAUUUUCUGGUAAUGAAUUGAAUGUCAUAUGUUUUUGUUGAAUUCAAUUUGCACUUUAAUUAUAUAAUAAAUCUCAUUCCUUGCUUGGUUAAUCAAAAGGACACUCAGGGUCUGCACACAACAAUAAUAAAAACUGAAACUUCUAAUAGAAAUUAAAUUUUAGCUGCUAACAAAUUUGAACUUUAGUUUGACUGCUUUAUUUAUAAUUCAUGCCAAAUCUCUCCCUAAAAAUAAUUGAGAAAGCAUCAUCCAAAAUAUCAUAUUAACAAACACAGUAUUUAAACCAAAAACAUAAAAAAGAAAUUCUCGAUGUGCUCGCUUGAUAUAACUUGCAUAUCCUCAAUAUACAAGGUCAAGGGUAUGAUGGUGCUAGUAAUAUAUUGUUAAAUAAUAUUUAUAUACUCUUAUUUAUUAAGAGUAGAAUAGUACUUUCAGUUUAACUUAUAUAUAAUUUCUUUGUAUUUAAGUUAACUAUAAGCACUCAUAAUAAACUAAGUAUUGAGAAUUCUAGCCUUCUUUUUCUGUUUGAUUUGAAUUAUUUUAACAUGGUAUCAGAGCUAGUUUUAUGGAACGAGGCUUAAUCUCAAAAAAUAUUUGGAGUGAUAUUUUGUCUUCCGCUUCUUCAAAAUCUGGUAUUUGGUAUUUCCUUUAACUUCUGCUAUUUGGUAUUUCUGUUAUGUCUCUGCAAUUGUUUUGGUAUUUCAUCUUCUGCAAUUUGGUGUUUGUGUUCAGUUUAUGUAAUUUGUGUUGUUUUGGAGUAAUCAUAUAAUUUCAAGAAGAUAUUUGUUUAGUAUAUGUGAUAUCUGUUCAGUUUCAGCAAUCUAGUACUUUAUCUUUUGUUGCUUUUGCGUUCUGGUUCUUGUUUGUUAAUUAUGGCUACCGAAAGAGAUGAUUUGCUUCACUCUGUAAGUAUGAGGUUGGAUGGAAAGAAUUAUUCGUAUUGGAGUUAUGUAAUGAGAAAUUUUCUUAAAGGUAAAAAGAUGUGGGGGUAUAUUAGUGGAACUUAUAUGAUACCUAAGAAUACUGAGAAGGGGAAUGUUGUUUUGAUAGAUACAUGGGAAGCAAACAAUGCAAAUAUCAUUACUUGGAUCAAUAAUUUUGUUGAGCAUUCGAUAGGUACAUAGUUGGUAAAGUAUAAGAUAGCAAAAAAGGUUUAGGAUCAUCUACAAAGGUUAUUCACGCAAUCAAAUUUUUCAAAACAGUAUCAAUUAGAGAAUAACAUACAAGCUCUUAAUUAGAAGAAUAUGAUUAUUCAAGAGUUUUAUUAUGCUAUGAUGGAUCUUUGGGAUCAAUUGGCUCUUACAAAAUUGGCAGAAUUAAAGGUAUGUGGUGCCUAUAUUGAGCGUAGAGAGCAGCAACGAUUGGUAUAGUUUUUAAUAGCACUUUGCAAUGAUUUUGAAGGACUUAGAAGUUCAGUUCUGCAUCAUUCUCCACUGCCUUCUAUUGACUCUAUUCUCAAUGAGUUAUUGGUUGAAGAAAUAUGUAUUCAGUCUUAUUCUAAAACGGGAAUUAUUUCUACUUCAAAUCCUUAUAUACUAACAGUACCCUCUAAUCCAUUCUCUAAUUAUCAGAAUAAGCCUUACAUAAGGGUUGGCUUCAAUGAGUGCAGUUUUUGUAAGCAAAAAGGUUAUUGGAAGGCUCAGUGUCCUAAGUUAAAACAAUAUAAUCAAGCUUGGAAGCAUGGCAACCAGUCACAAUCUAAUGUUUAUAGACCACUUCAGGGUUAUAAACCACCACACCACAAUACUGCAACAAUAGCUUCAUCAAGCUCUAUCAUCAAUCCUAGUACUCUAGCUGAGCAAUUUCAGAAUUUUCUCUCCUUACAGCCACAAGCAAUGUCUGUUUCUUCUUUCAUAGGUCAGUUGCCUCAUAACUCCUCAGGUAUGGCACAUUCUGAAUGGGUCUUGGAUUUUGGUGCUUCCCAUCAUAUACCUCCAGAUUCUUCAUCUUUUACCCUUGUGUCCCUUUCAUCCUUCAUUCCUACUAUGACUGGCGAUGGCACUCUUAUACCCUUAGCAGGUGUUGGUUUUGUUGUCACACCUUAAUUGUCUCUCCUUAAUAUUUAUCUUAUUCCAAAACUCAAUCAAAAAGAAAAAAUCGUUCAAAAUUAUUGAAUUAAGAAAGCUAAACAAGGCUAGUAAGCUAGCCUUCUACGAAAGAAGCAAAAAUGAUUAAAGUGAGUAGAGAGAAUAUAGAAGGAGAAAGGAAACUCCUAAGAAACCACACAAUUCUAAGAAAUACUAUAAGUGACAAGAUUUAAGGAUACUUACUGUUACGUUGAAUUAAAAAAUCAGAUCUAUAAGGUAUUGUAAACUAAUUAGAUUAAAAAAACAGGUGGCUUACAACACAACACGCUUACAAGAUGCACUGGAUAGCUAGAUCUCCACUCUAUAAAUAGGCCUGGUUCAUUCUACGUCAAAGCACUCAUCCCUAGCUACGCACUUCUUCUUUCUAUAAUUAUUGUUUCUGUUUCCUUCUUUAAUUUUAUUUGUCAAUGGAAAGUGGGCUUAAGGCAUUGUGGGUGCUGUCUGCGGUGUUGCUGGUGUCGUCAAACUGGCAACACUGGACUUAUGGAAAGGCCGUACCUCAAGUUCCUUGCUAUUUCGUCUUUGGAGAUUCCCUCUUUGAUAACGGAAACAAUAACUACCUUGACACUCCAGCUAAAGUCAAUUACCUUCCUUAUGGGAUAGACUUCGUUACUGGGGCUACAGGAAGGUGCAGCA
rnacentral:lncRNA from 1 species